rnacentral:lncRNA from 1 species
AUCUCUCCAACAAGAGCCCUUCACUUCUCCAGUAUAAUCCUGUCCACAAAAAGGUUCCAGUUCUUGUACACAAUGGCAAACCCAUCGCUGAAUCGCUUGUCAUUCUUGAAUACAUCGAUGAGACAUGGAGGGAAACUCCCUUGUUGCCUGAAGACCCUUACGAGAGAGCCAUGGCUCGCUUCUGGGCCAAAUUUGGUGACGAUAAGGUUGUUCUUGUUCCUUGGUUGAAACGAAAUUGGUAAAGACUUUGUAUAGAGUUUGAUCCAUAUUCAUUUGUUUUGUUUGGGAUGUAGGUUUUGACAUCAAUAGUUUGGGGUGUCUUCUUCAAGGAAGGGAAAGAGCAGGAGGAAGCUAUGCUUGAAGCCAUGGAGCAUCUCCAGUUCUUGGAAGACGAGCUGAAGGGGAAGAGGUUCUUUGGGGGAGAGAGGAUCGGGUUUGUUGAUCUUGCCUUGGGAUGGCUUGCUAACAUGAUCAGCAUAUUUGAAGAGGUAGCUGGCCUGAAAAUGGUGGAUGAGGAUAAGUUUCCAUUGCUGGCGGCGUGGAUGCAAGAGUUUGCAGAUUCUCCCAUAAUCAAAGACAACUGGCCACCUCGAGACAAGAUGAUUGCCAAGUUCCAGGCCCUUCGUGAUGCCAAACUUGCAGCAGCAGCAUCUAAAUGAACCGCCUUCCUGAAAUAGCAUAAAUAAGAAUCAAUUAAUUUCUGAUGUGUCAUGAUUCACAUCAAUAUGUGUCUGUCUGCAACUGAAAUUAAAUUUCUGAUACAAAAUACUCUCAGUAUUGUGUUGAAUCCGGCAUCCAUGAGAUCUAAGAUUAAAACUCCUCAAAACAGUUUGAUAUAAACUUUUUUUUUUUUUUUUUGGUAAUGGUAGAACAUGGCACUGGAUAGCGACCUCUCCAAGUCAAAGUCCAAUCAAACACAAUAAAAUAUCCAUAGGAUAAGAAACAAAUUGCUGACCACAAUUAGCAUUGUGUACCAACAACUGCUGCAGUAGCAACGAAUAUCCAAACACAAAAGAGUGUUGUUUGAAUAGAUUUAAUUUAUUGCAAAUGUCUCCAUUAGUAUAAGAUUGCUCGUGUUAUUUAUAUAAACUAUUAUUAUAAGUAUCAACACAUAAAGAUAUUUGUAAUUCAAUGGUCUAUUUUAUUAGACUAAAUUAUAAAAUGUCAGUGACGUGUAUUUAAAAUAUUUAUAGAAUUUUCAUAAUUUCUAUUCAAAUUUUACUCUUUACAAUAUUUAAUAUAAAUACAAUCAUUUUCUAAUUGUAUUUUGUAUAUCUUAAAAAAUAAAUAUUUUACGAUCAUUUUAAUUUAUUUCAUAAUUAUUCUUAUAUGAUGCCAAUGAGCGUAAUUUACAAAUAAAUAUAUUUUAUUAUUGAUGGUAUAUCUAACAUUCUAUUACUUUGUAGUUCUUUUCUAAUAAUUCCUUUUGGAGAGAAAAUUAAGAGAUCAUUACUAUAUUUUUGAAAUAUUUUAAGUAUAUAAAAGUAAUUAUUUUCUAAUAGUUCCUUUUGGAGAGAAAUCAUGAAGCAUCAUUAAUAUAUUAUUGAAAAUUUUAAUUUUUUUUUUAUAAUUACUUUAAUUUUUUCUUAAUUUUUUAUCACAUCAUACAAAUAAAUAUUAAUUCAAUGUUUAGUUAAUUUGAUCCUUAGUAUGUACAUGGUAGGAAAUUGUUGUUUUUUUAAUUGUUUUGAGAUUUUAUGAGCUAUUUUUAUAAGCUUAUGGCUAUCAUAUUGUGGACCCACGUUUUUCACGCGCCUCCUCACUUGAACGGCAAGACCCACUUUUUUAUUUCUGAAAAUUUGAUUCUUUGAAAAAAAAACUAAACACUUAGAGUAGUCAUUUAUUUUAUUUUAUUUUAUUUUUAAUAGAAAACAUAAUAAGAAAUAAAACUUUAUAUGACUCCUUAUUUAGAAAAAACACGUCUUUAAAAACAAAAGUUUAGAUUUAGGAAUUAGGUUACCUAUUGAAAAGAUAUAGUGGUGAGUCAUAACAUUGCUCUAAGCUCGUAUAUAUACUACCUCUACUAAACUAAUGGAGGAAAUUGUGACAAUUAAUUAAUUAAUCAUAGAUACCAAGAUUAAGGACAUAAAUCAAUAUACAUAAAAAUGACGAUAAAAUCAAAUUAUAGGAACGUACAAAAUAAAUGAUAAGAGAAUUGUGCAAAUUGAUUUAUCAAACUAAUUAAAAAAAUAUUUCAAAAAAAUAAUUUUUUAAGAAAUUCCAAAGAAGUUUAUUAAAAAUAAUUUCAAAUAAAUGAUUUCAAUUUAUUUAUUUUCCAAUAAGUGAUUAAUUCAAUUUUAUUUGUAUUCGAUUUUUAUUUUUAACAAAGUUAUUUGCACUUGUUUUAUCAAAAUUAUUUUUUUUUAUAAAAUUUCAAUUUGGCAAUAAAGCUUAUUUUUACUUGCUUUUAUUAGAAAAAAGAAAGAAUUUUUACAAAAUUAUUUAAAAAAUAUUUCAAUUUGAUUUUAUUUACAAAGGAAUUAAUUUCUUUACAAAGAUAAUAUUUUCAAUCCAAUUUUAUUAAGAAAAUGAUUUCUACAACUUCAAUUUGCAAAAAAAAAAAAUGAUUCUCAUUCUAUUCUUAUUAAAAAGAUUAUUUAAAACCUUUAUUUACAAAAAUUACUUUUAGUCACAUUCUAAUUAAAGAAAGAGAACUUAUUUCAAAAAUCAUUUUUUUGGAUAAUUUUAUUAAAAAGUAACAUUUUGGGCAAUUUUAUUUAAAAAUCCAUUUUCUGAACAAUUGUUAUUAAACAAAUAAAUUUUUGGACAAUUAUUAUUAAAAAAAAUUUCAAUUUAGUUAAAAAAACAAUUUUUUGAAUUUUCCUAAAAACAUCUUUUUGAAUUUUUAUUAAGAAAACUUUCUUUUAUUAAAAAAUGAAUUUUAUUAACCAUUAUUUUUAUUAAAAAAUAAUUAUUGAACUAUUUAUUUUAUUAAAAAAAAAUUUAUGAGCUAUCAAAUGUUCAAUUCUGUACACACACAAUAAAUAUAUACAAAAAAAUAAAAUAUUUAUAGGAAUCAAUAGAAGAAAAACUAAUUAGAAGUGAAAAAUAAAAUGUGUACUCAAACAAACUAACAACAAGCUCAAUGUUCUCCUAUAGCUUUUCGAGUCUUAUUUUCUUCCAUGAAAUUCAACGCUUCACGUGUUAUAAAUUCGUACUCAACCAAUAGAAUGUCAAUAGAGUAUUGAAAUGAGCCCAUGUAAAAACAAAAAUAAGUCAAAGAUAAAUAUUCAGAAAUGUACAAAGCCCAAAACAAAUAUUUAAGUCCAAAUUCAAACUUCAAAUUAGUCCAAUAAAUUUCACCAAUUAAAAUAAACCCAAAUUAACAAAUAUAACCCAAUAGAAAUAUCCCACAUUCCAUAAGCCCCAUCCAAAAAUUUUAAAUUAAUAACCAAAAUAUAAGUAGAACCUAAUAAACCCAAAAUAUGAUAAAUUAAAAUAAAUUUAACUCUACCUAAUUUAAUAUCCCAUAAUCCAAAAAAAAUGAGCCCAAUUUAAUACGUAAACCCUAAUCCACAACAAAAAUCGAGUCAAUUUAACAUGAAAAGCCCAAAAUAAUAUCCAAAAUAUACCACAAUUGUCUUGCUCCCAAAUAAAUAAUUCAAAUGGGCAAAGCCCAUAUUAAUUAUCAAUCUAUCCAACAAAUUUCACCAACUUUCAUAUUAAUUAACAAAACCAAAAUAUGACAAAUCAAAAUAAAUUCAAUAUCCCAUAUUCCAAAUAAAUGAGCCCAAUUAAAUAUCAAGUAAAAAAUACAAGCCUAAAAUCCAAGAAUAACAACAUAAAAACAACAAUAAACCCAAUCAAACAUUCCAAUAGCACAAUAUCCAUGGACCUAAAUCACUAAAUAAAUCCAAAUUGAAGUCUACAAACAUGCCCACAAUUAGAAUCAAUUAGUGUGCAAACCAAAUUUUUUUUAAAAAAAGUAAAAAAUAAAAAUAAAAUAAAGUAAAAAGGAAAUUUACCCAUUUUUUGAAGAACUAUGGAUGGCCGGAGUUGCUAGUCGGUAAUGACUGGCCGAUUGUGGCUGGCAGUGAUAGUGAAGGAUGGUGGAUGGAGAAAAACUAAGGGAAAAUGAAGAAAAGAAAUGGGAGUGACAGAUAGAGAGAGAGAUGAAAAGAAAGGAAAGGAAAACAAAAUAAAAGAAGAAAAGAAGAGAAAAAAAAAAGUUGGAGGGAAGAGUCUUUUGGCCAUCUGGCUGGGGAGUAGAGGAGGAAGAAGAAUGGAAGAAAAAAUGGGGAAGCCAAAAGGAAAGAAAAGGAAGAGAAAAAAAAAAAGUUAGGUAUGGUCGUGGGCCGUGAGAGGUAUGGGGGGUAUGGGUAGGAGAGAGUGAGGGAAUGGGUGGAGUAGGUGAGGAAAAAGAGAAAGAAGAAGAAAAAAGUAAAAUAAAAUAAAAUAAUAAAAAUAGCAUAAAAUAAUAGAAAUAAAAUUUUAAAAAGACAAAAUAAUAAAAAUUAAGAUUUGAAUGGUAUAAGUGGGCCAAAAAGUAUCAAAUAUAAUUGAGUUUGAAAUUUAAAAAUAAAAUUGGGCUAAAAAAACAAUGUAAAAAUAAAUUUGGGACAAAUUUUAAGGUCUAUACAUAUAUUACCUCUACUUCAUAAUUAUUCAUUAAUGUAACAAGCAUUAUAUUCUUGAUUUGGACUGCCAAAUAUAUAGAUCAAAUGAUAAUUUCAUGAAACAACCUCACCAAUGGUUGCCUAACUAUUGAGUAAUCCCAAAAGCUUCAUAAUGGAAUUCAUGACAGAUCUUCCCUCUCUCUUAAGAGUUUAUAGUUUUAUCAAUCUCACCAUUAAUUGAAAAAAGAUUAGUCCUGCCCAAUGCAAGCCAAAUGAUCUCAAGUGCAAUAAUGUAUCCCACAACUUGGGCAUAACUCCCUCAAUCAAUGAAGCAUAUAUAGAAUCAUCUCAUAAUCAAAUUGAAAAAGCAUAUGUCUAGUAGGUUAACACCUAGAGGGGGGUUGAAUUGGUGAUUUUUUUUUUUAAAUUACAAUACAAGAGUUGAAAAGCUUAACCUAAAUUAAGAACUAGAGAUAUUAUGAAUGAUCAAAUGAUAAACAAAACAUACAAGAGACCAGAACUUUUAUGUGGAAAACCCCCAUACUAACUAUGGAAAUAAAAAAACAGGGGAUCUAAGACUUCUAAUCUAAUAAUCCACUAUAUGAGAACAAGACACACAAAUUUACCUGACACCUUUACCCUAAAGACUUGCUCUUCAAUACCUAUACCUUGAUCCACAUAUGUUAUGCAUCACCUUUAAUGCUCUAGUGUAUUCACCUCUACCUGUAAGGGGAUGUAGGUCUUUCCAACAACCUAGAAUUCUAAAUGAUGAAUACUUGUUGAGAGUUUGAGAAUGUUAGGGCAAGUUGGGGCUUGAUCUCUCUAAGCAUCUAAUGCAAAAACAAAUUAAGGUUAGGUACAUAUAGGUUUAAGAGCCUAGAGAGUUGAAAAUGGAAUUUUCUUAAAAAAUAAAAUAUCAACUUUCCAAAAAUUAAUUAAGAAAAUAAUUGUAUUUUUUUUUUUAAAAAAAAAUCAACUUUAUAAAAAUUAAUUAAGAAAAUAAUUUUACUUUAAAAAAAAUAUCAACUUUCUAAAAAUUAAUUACAAAUCGAUUUUAUUUAAAAAUAAAAUAAAAUUUCAAAGUUGCCAAAAAUUAAUGAAGACAUUUUAGUUCAAUUUUAAAACUUCAUAUCCAAUUCCACCUAAUUAAAAUACCUAACUUACCUUUAACAAACCUUUUAAGACUUACUUAUGACAACACGGUUGAAUGAACAUUGACCUCAAAUCUUCAAUAUAGAGUAAGUCACUAUCUAAAAAAGUUCCUAUGUCAAGAUGAAAAGGAACAAAAUUGUCAAUACAUAAAAGUGUCUUAACAAUCUCCCCAUUUGACAAUUUUAAGACAAAACAUAAAAAUACAUAAACCCCUAAAACUCUUAAACAAAGUUUACAUAACACUCAAAAAACACUUGUGUCAGCCUAAUCAUCCUAUAACAUGUAGGGAAUGAUGUGAUGCAUCUAAAAAUAAUAAGAUACUAAUAUUUGUAGUGCAAAUAAAUGACUUAUUCACAGUCAGUUUAUCAGUUUAGGCAACCCAUUAGAGCACCUCCUAAUUGGAGGGAUGGUUGAUCUUGCCUAUUGGGACGAGUUUCUCAUAGCGAGUACACUAGUGUGUAUGGUUACAAAUUAAAUAAGAUCUACGAUGAGUCAUGACUUAAAGCUAUCAAGUAGUCAUGACCUCACCAAGCUACUUCAUUAUGCUGUCUCUUAAUCUUGAGAUAAUAUUGAACUUAUGCUAAAGUUAGCAAUGGCUUUGACCUAUGGGUGAGAUCAUAAGCUAAUUAAUCAUAUAUUUCCUAUGGAUUGAGUCACUAUUGAUGGAAGCAAGUAACAAUAGGUAUUCUCAAUAGAGGCACCAUGAUAUCUCAUGACAUUGAGACAAAGUGUCCUCGUAGGUGAUCCUAAGGAAGUGUGUUCAUGGAAAUUAUGGUCAUAGUUCCUUAAGUGGAACUUGACAUAAGCUCUUUUACUAGUAGUACAUGUUAGUUUAACACAAAAUAGAAGGAUUUAUAACUCAAGAAUAGUAGAGGUAGUCUUAAAAGGUUGAUAUAUUUCACCUUGUUAAACUACAAACACCAAUUCAUGCGGAAACUAAAUGCAAUGGAUAGCAUAUCACAAACUCGAGUACAUAGUGUCUCGUUGUUAUUUGCAUAGGAUAUUGGGUUCAGUUGAUUUGUUGUACUAAGAUGUUGAAUCAACUUCAAAAUUGAAUUAUGAGGAAGCCAAUACUCCUAUGGGUCCUUAUGGUCCUGCUUUUAGUUCAUAUAGCUUGUUUGUAUAGGUUUUGAGGGUUAAAUUAACUCUAGGUUAACUUUUGUGCAUAAAGGUAUUUUGGUCAUUAUGCAAUGGUGCACAGGGGUAAGUGAACGAGCUCUUUUGAUUAGGUUAAUUAAUUAAUUAAUAGAUCUUUUUAGGUUAAUUAAUCAAUUAGGACUCAAUUUGGGCUAAAUUAAGUGACCCAAGCCUAUGUGGGCUUAAGUCACUUAAGCCUAGUUAGAAACCCUAUAACUAAUCCAUAAGGAUUAGGGUUUCCAUAACUUUUCAUUUUCCACCAUCUAAAGAGCAACGAGAGUCCUAACCUUCAACCUCCUACACUCCCUACUAUUUGUGUUCCAAGGAAUGAGGUUGAGUCAUCAAGUAGAAGAUCAUGGGUCUAUGAGACUUCCUACGACAUCAAUUUGAUUAUUCAACACUUGGAAUUAAGGUUUGGGGAACAUCCAAAUGUAAAGGCUAGUACUUUGACCUUAAAGAUCAAUUUUUUGUAAAAAAAAAAAAAAGGUGUUGAUUCCAUUGCUUAGAUCAAUCUAUCAAGAUUACCUCUCUAAUCUCUAGGUUAUAGAUCACCGUACUAUGUGAUCAACUGACAUAUUCUAACUCAUAAAGAGCAUAUGUCAAAUUCCACUUAGGGAAUUAUUGCAGCCAUAAAUUUCAGGAUCACGUGUCCUUUAGAUCACCUAAGAGGACACAUAGUCUUAAUCCCAUGAGUAUAUGGUGCCUUUAUUGAGAAUAUCUAUUGUCACUAGCCUCCAUCAAUAGCGACCCAAUCCAUAGGAUUAUAUGACAACAUUAGGGUCUCACCGUAGGUCAAAGCGUUCCAUUGAUUUCAACAUAGACUUAAAAUCCUCUUAAGGUUGAGAGUCCAAGAAAUAUAGUAACUUAGUUCAUCAUGAGAACCUAAUAACCUUACAUCAUGAUUCAUCAUAGGCCUUGUGCAAUGUGUAGCCAUACAUACUAAUAUACUCAACAUGGGAAACCUAUCCCAAUGGCCAAGACAAGUCAUCCCUUCAAUUAGAAGGUAAUGUACUGCAACUCUAUUAGAUUACCAAAAUCCAUGAAUCAACUAUGAAUUAUUUAUCAUCCUAUAAGGAACCAAUGACUUGUAUCUUUUAUGCAACUCCUAAUGUACCUAAGUCAUGUACAGUACUGAUACUAAUAUGGGUUUGAAUGCUCAAAUUAAUAUCAAUGCAAAUGAUAAAUUGAAAUAUAAAAGCUCAUGUCUAACUUUGUUACAUGAUGCCUUGUUUUUAAGUGCUUUAUCCCUAUAAGCAUAUCUUGAUCAUCAACAAUCAAACUCCAAUGAGAACAUAUAAUCAUAAAUAGGCACUCCCCACACACUAGUUAAUAUAUGAAAGCCCAUUUAUAAGACUCAAGCUAAGAAUCCUUAGAUUUCUGCCUACAAGGUGGAAUAAAGGAAAUGAUAUGACUCUUCUCCAUGCAAAGAUAUGUGAAGAACCAUAACCCAGGGUAAUGAAGAGAUUAAGAAAACCAAGUGAUGAUAAAAAUAAAGAAGAUGAAAAGAAAAUUACAAAUAGUGAAACAUAAUGUAAGAAAAGUGAUAAUGAUGACAAUCUACAAAUACCACAAUGAAAAAUGAGAAAUAAAACCCAAAUGUGCCUACUAGGUCUAAGGCUUAUGAAGCUCCUAAUCAAAGCAUGCAAACACUAUAGGGCCCUUGACUUGAUAUAAAAGGUAAGCAAGGGAAUGAAAUGAAAAAAAAGGCUAUGAUGCUCGCAUGAGGCUUACAAAGGCUAGCAAUAAUUUGUGUGCGAAUAAGAGUGAUAAGGUAUAAGGCUAAUCCAAAUGAAAGCCACCCAUCAUGCAACCAUAGCCAUAAACAUAGUACUCCUUCAACUAGUAUGCAUCGGUCAACUUUGAGAAUAAAUUUCUAUCUAGGCUCAUCAACCAUGCUCUCUCCUUUGGAGACAACUCUCAUAUGACAAAGUCAACAAUCUCGACAUUCUUUGAGAUGGGUAAGGCUCUGUGAUUUGCAAUGUUUCGAUAGGGAGUCAAGAGAGUCCUAAUUUGAAUCAUAAUAUCCAAACUCAUCCUCUAUAUCAAAUAUAUAUGAUGUGGGUAAGGGGAGUAUACACAAAGGAAUAUCACCACAAAAGAUGGACAUAUACUAAAAAAAGAAAAAAACAAAAACACUCAUACCCAUAGAUGAAAUAGCGAGUACAUCAUUAGAGAAGGAGAUAAAUCUCAAAGAUACAUCAAAAGAAAGAGGUGUGUUCACAAUAGGUGGGCUAAUAAUGCCCUCAAAUACAUCAUCAACAAACAAAAUAUGUUGUCACCUCUAAAGCAAUAACAUGAUGAACAUUCUUUGUACUCUUAAUUAAAGUAGGAAUAAGAUAAACUACCUUUGGUUGAUCCAUACUAACCAUCUAGCUAAUACCUGACAUAUCCAUCCCAUCAUUGCACUUAUCAUAAGGAACAACCCUAUCUACCAUUUCUCUCAUCUAAGAGAAAACAUUAUCAUCCUUUAUAAGAUCCUCAUCUAGUACAAUAGACUCUAGUUUAAUGUUAUCCCCACUCAUCAUAAAUAUGGUGUCAUCAUCCUCAACAAGAUCAAAAAAAUGAAUAACAAUUGAAGGAAAAGGCUCCACAUGAAUAGGAUGGGUAGGUAAAGGGUUACUAGUUGUAGACCCCUUCUUUUGGACGCCUUAAAGAAAACGUUUUUGGGGUGGUGAGCUAUUAACAAGAGGGAGGUGGUACCUUUUUGGUCAACUACAGGAGACAUGUAGUAGUUGUUGAUUAUGGCUGCUAGAGAUGUAAAGAAUAUUCUCUAUAGGGGUGAGCUGUACAGAGGGAGUAUUUGAGUGGGAGAGGUUGGAAUUGGAUGAGGUGAGAAAUAAAACUUAGGGAUUAGGUUUUUAGAGAGUAGAUGGGAAAUCCAUUUUUUUUUUGGAGUGCCCAUUUUACAGAGGGGAAGCAAAAAGGGAAAAUAAGAAGAAAAAAACAUUAGAUGAGAAGAAGAAACUGGGAUAAAAGAGUAUUCGUUAGCCUGCAUUUGCUUGGAAGUAAGUUUUUCACUAUAAAAACCCUACCCUUUGCUACAUUUCUUUCAUUUGUUGUUAUUAAGAUUUGUUUGAUGAUUAAACGCAACCACUAAUAGCCAUGUGUUUGUUGUUAAUUUUAGGUUGAUCAUAGAUCUGUCAUAGUUUUAGAUUUUUCAAGAAUGGUCUACCCCUAUUUUGGCUUCAUAGAGAUAUUUGGAAAUCCUUCAACUUAGAGAGGAUUAGUUAAGAAUUAGUUUUGACAGCCCAUGCUUAACAAAUUAUAAUAGUAUUUAAGUUUUAAAUUUAUACAAAGAAAAAUAGAGACUCAUUCUUCAGUCAAGAAGACAAUUCUUUCAUACUCCGCUAAAAUCUUUUCCUCUAUCUUUUCACUUGAAUAUUCCUUCUUAGAAUUCUAUCAUGGUAUCAGAGCUUGGAUCUUCUUCAAUGGAGGUUAAUAUCAGUCAUACAAUAGUGAACUGGAAUCCUUUGUCUUCCACUUGCUUUGUUCUAAUUAGCUUCAAUCACUCACUGUCUGUGAAGCUUAAUAGCAAGAAUUUCUUGAUUUGGAAAUAGCAAAUCAUUUAUGCAAUUUGAGGCUAGGGGCUACAAAAGUUCAUGUUCAAUAAAAUGAAGUACCAAUUCAAUUUCUUACUAGAGAAGAUGCGAGAUUUGGAAAACCAACUAAGGAAUUCCUUGAGUGGAAACAAUAAGAUCAACUACUACUCUUUUGGCUUCUCUCGUUUGUUUCUAAGUCGAUUCUUCAUCGACUAGUUGGUUGUUAUACAUUCUUUCUUCUUUGGUGACAAUUAGAAUAGUAUUUUACGUCCCAGACUUAAGCCAAGGCAAAGCAGUUCAAGACUCAACUUCAACAUAUAAAGAAGGGAGGUUUAACAAUUGAUGAAUACCUUGUGAAGAUCAAGGUUUGUGUUGAUUUACUUGCAUCUAUUGGUGUUUCUUUCGUCAACCAAAGAUCAUGUUGAAAAAAUUCUUGAUGGUUUACCCAGUGAUUAUGAAUCUUUUGUUACUUCAGUCAAUUUGAGGAAUGUUGAUCUUUCUUUAAUGGUUCAUGAAUCUAGAGCUGAGAAAAACAAUAGUUCUCUUGAUUCAUUUCCUUCAAUUUAUGUUGCAAGUUCUAAUAUUGGAGAUAAAAGAAUCAUUUCAAGCAGAACUAUUAUGUUGCUAACUCUCAAGGUAGCAUUAAGGUUACAAUGGUGGUUCUAAAUAAGGUGGAGACUUUGGUCGUAGAGAUGGCUUUAAUAAUGGUUGUGGAUUCAAUUGGAGUGGCAAUGGAAGACGUAAUAGAGGUCUUUUUCAUGGUAAAGGAAACAAAGAUGGUAUUUAAGCAAGGCCAUCUUAGAACUCUAGCAAUCAGAAUGAGAAACCAAUAUGCCAACUAUGUGGUAAAAUAGUACAUGUAGUAGCAUAGUGCUAUUAUGGGUUUAACCAUACUUUCCAAGUACCAUAGAAUCUGUCUAGCAGGAGUGCUUCUCCUCGAUCUUGUUACAACUUUUCACCCUAAAUAAAUGGUGUUUUCUCAACUCUUAAAGUUUUUGGCAAUGACAAUUGAUAUCCAAACACUAGAGCUUCGAACCAUGUGACAUCUAACCUUGCAAAUUUGAUGAAAACUAUUGAGUUUACUAGGCAAGAUCGGGUUCAUGUUGGGAAUGGAACAGGUUUGUCCAUUAAGCAUAUUGGCUAAUUUGAAUUAUUAUCACCUUUUUUUGUCUAAACCUCUUUUACUUAAUCACUUGCUUCAUGUACUUUCCAUUACCAAAAAUCUCCUAUAAGUUUCCAAAUUUGCAAAGGAUAAUAAAGUGUUUUUGGAAUUUCAUUUUGAUUCCUUUUUGGUCAAGGAUCAGGUAACCAAAGUUGUUAAAAUGUUUGGGAGGGUUAGAGAUGGAUUAUAUGCUUUUGACUCGUCUCAUCUUGCUCUCAAACCAAGUCAAAGCUUAUUGAAGUCUCCUUCUAUUGAUGCUAGUUCAUUUUCUUCUAAACUUUGUACAACUUCUUUGUCAUCUACCUUUGAUUUAUGGCACAAAAGAUUGGGUUAUUCUUCGACUACAAUAGUUAAAAAUGUUUUGUCCAAAUGUAAUGUUGCUAAUAUAAAUAAAAUGGACUCCAACUUCUAUUAUUUUUGUUGCUUGGGUAAAAUACACAAGUUCCCAUUUUUUUUGUCUCAUACAACUAAUACCAAACCCCUUGAGUUAAUUCAUUCAGAUUUAUGGGGUUUAGCCUUAAUAUUAUUUAGUAGUGGAUAUAGGUAUUAUAUUCAAUUUGUGGAUUCCUUUUCAUGAUUUUCGUGGAUAUUUUUACUCAGAAAUAAAUCCAAAGUUGUCAAAACCUUUGUUAACUUCAAAACUCAAGUAGAAUUCCAAUUUGAUUAAAAAAUUAAAUCCUUACAAACAAACUAGGGAAUGAAUUUUGUACGUUUUAAUCUUACUUUGCUGAAAAUUGCAAUAGAUAAUGUUCAUUCUACUCACACACAUGCACCUAAUAGAGUUGAUACUACUCCAACACCUGCACCCGUCACAGUUUUUUAUGUUACUCCUUAGCAGGUUGUUUUUCAUCCAAUUGUUAUUCUUGUAUAACAUGUUGUCUCUUCUAUUACAAAUGCAUGUGUGUCUAGUAGACCUACCAAAGAUGUUGUAAUACUCAUCCAAUGACUACUAGAGCAAAGAAUGGGAUUGUUAAAUCCAAAAUUUUUAUUACAGCAAUAAGAAAAUCUUUGAGUGUUGCAGAUGCCCUUCAGAAAGAUGAGUGGAAAAAGGUUAUGGUGGCUAAGUAUGAUGCAUUACAAAGGAACAACACCUAGUCAUUGGUUACUUUACUUGCUGGUAGAUAGGCUAUAAAAUUGAAAAUGGGUUUACAAAACUAAAGAAAAUUUAGAUGGCAAUAUUCAAAAGUAUAAAGCAUGAUUAGUCACCAAAGGUUUUCACCAACAAGCUAGCUUUGAUUUUUCUAAGACUUUUAGUCUAGCUGUUAAACCUUCUAUAAUAAGAUUUGUUCUCACCAUCACUCUCUCAAGGAAUUGGGCAAUCAAGGAAUUGGAUGUAAAUAAUGCGUUUCUCAAUGGAGAUUUGUAAGAGGAGGUGUUUAUGUAACAACCACAAGGUUUUUUUUUAUGAUAAAAAUCCUAAUUUGGUUUGUAAACUUCACAAGACCUUGUAUGGCUUGAAACUUUCCCCAUAGACCUUUUGAGAGGUUCCAUUUAGCAUUACUAAGUUCUGGGUUUGUGUUAGCUGAGUCUAACCAAUCACUAUGCUUAAGGUUCACUCUCAGCCAUACUAUAUAUGUCUUGGUCUAUGUUGAUGACAUUUUAGCCAUUGGUAGUGACACGACUGUAGUUACUUCCUUAAUAGAUCAAUUGAACCCAUAAUUUUCCUUGAAAGACCUUGAGGAAGUGCAUUAUUUCCUAGGUAUACAAGUUUCCCAUAACAAUAAUGGCUUACAUUUAUCCCAAACUAAGUACAUUUGAGGCUUGCUAUAAAAGACAAAAAUGGUGCAUUGAAAACCUACAAGAACUGCCCUACCUAAUGGUCUGAAAUUGAGAGUUAGAGAAGGUGAUCAUGUGGAAGAUUUACAUGGUUAUACCAGUAUGGUAGGGGCUCUUCAGUAUGUGACCAUCACAAGGCCCGAGAUCUCUUUCAGUGUGAAUAGAGUAUGUCAAUUUAUGCAGAAUCAUAUAGAAGAGCAAUGGAAGGUCGUGAAAAGAAUUUUAAGAUAUUUAUAGUGCACUUUGCAUCAUGGUUUUCACUUGAAAAGAUCAUCUAGCCUUGACUUGGUUGGAUUCUAUGAUGUUGACUAGGCAUCUAAUUUGGAUGAUAAAUGCUCAACCUUAGCCCAUUAUGUAUUUUUGGGGCCAAAUUUGGUAUGGUAUCAAUUCAUGAAGUGACAUAUUCUUUCAAGGUCUAGUAUCAAAGUUGAAUACCAAAAUCUUGUAAGUUUGAUUGCUGAAAUCACAUGGUUAAGGUCAUUAUUAAGUGAGUUGUAAAUUCCACUAGCUAAGCCUCACCUAGUUUGGUGUAAUAACCUCAACACGGUUUUGCUUUUUGCAAAUCUUGUUCUUCAUAAAAGAACAAAGUAAAUAGAGCUUGAUCUCUAUUGUGUUCGUGAAAAAGGUCAUUUGGAAGAAAAUAGAGGUUCACCAUAUCCCCUCAGUUGAUCAACUAGCAAAUGUGUUCACAAAGACAGUUUCAUCGACUCAAUUUAUUGAAUUUAGACACAAACUCAAGAUAGAAAAUUUUUCUAUCCUAAGUUUUAGGGGGAAUAUUAGAGAUGAUUAGUUAAGAAUUAGUUUUGAUAGCUCAUGCUUAAUAGAUUAUAAUAGUAUUUAAGCUAUAGAUUUAUACAAAGGAAAAAAGAGACUCAUUCUUCAAUCAAGAAGAUAAAUCUUUCUCAGUCCUUUAAAAUAUUUUCCUUUAUCUUUUCUAUAGAAUAUUCCUUCUUAGAAUUCUAUCACUUCACACCCAUCUAAAUUCAAGUUUGUUGAUAAUGUAUAAAACAUGGUUUGGUGAUCACUUUGUAUUUCACUUGUUUUCUCUCUAUUUUUUGUUCCUUGUUUUAUUUCGACUCUUGUCUAGUUCCUUCCCUGCUUGGUAUCUUUGGUUUCAUACUAGUGGUGCCUACCCAUUCCACCUUCUCCACUACCAUUUGCUUUUGCCCUUCCCCUUGUGAAUUCUAUUGCCCAUCAUUUUGAUUCUACUGUUGGCUCAAUUAGUUCAAAGAUAUGUUAAAGUGCCCUAUGGUUGCCUUGAUUCUUGCUUACUCAACAAGAAAAAUGAUGGCUAACAAGGCCUUGGUACAGAGGUUUUCUGCUUGUGAGACCAUGGAUUCCUCCAUGACCAUUUGUAGUGAUAGGAUAGGAACUGUAAUUGUGAAUCAGAUGACUAUUGUUGAUGUUUAUUCUAGCAAUAAGAAAAUUAAUCAACUAGACAGAGGCUAAUUCGCGUUUUCUAUGCUAUCCACUAUACUUGAUGAAAACAUGGCUAGACCUUUUUGCUAUAAGAAGAGGAAUAAGUAAGGUGGAAUAGCAAUUUAGCAUAAAUGAGUAAAUGUUUGUGCAUGUUGUUGUAGACAAGAUGAGGCUCAACUACAUGAUUAUUUAGAAGGCAGGAUGAGUGUAAUACCUAGGAAUUUGUCAUACACGCCAGCUUAUAGUAUUAAUUAUUUUUUUCAACUUAGUAAAAAAAAUAAUUAGUUAAAAGUGAGCAGUCAAAGACACGUGUUGCAAAUUAAUUGGAUGUUAAAAAUGUUGAAAUUAGGUCAAGGGUAUGGUUUGAAUUCUUUUCAUGUCAACCUAUGACAUAAUAGGAAUAUGAAUUGGAGAUGAAAUAUUUGAAUUUGUUAAAUUGAAAAAAUUUGCAAGAACCAAAUUUAGAGGAUUUAAUAAUUUUGGGCAUGUUAAAUUGAUGGAAUUAAGUUUUAGAUUAUUGAGUAAAUUUCUAUUAAUAGAUAAAUAUUAAAAAGAUCAAUGGGUUAAAGAUUACUAUGAAUUUCAGCUCUUAGGAUUUCGGGUUCUAGGAUGUCAGAUUUUAUGCUUCAAACUUUUUCUAAAAUUGAUUUUUAUAUAAUUUAUGAUUUAUGAAAUCAUGUGUUGAGUGAAUUUUAGAGUAGAAGCAUUUUAGGUAAUUAAUGUCAAAUAAAUUUUUUUUAAGCAUGAACUUGUAGAAGAUUUAAUCAAGAUUACAUUGGUUUUUUUUUUUUCCAUAAGGCAAGAAAUCCAAUGCUUUCAAAACCAAACUAGUUAUUGAACUGAAAAAGUUACCAGUUCACGGUUCAAUGGUCCAACUGGUGGUUAAACCGCGGUCGAACCAGUGAUGUUAUAAAUAUAUAAUUUAUACAUUAUUAAAAUUAAAAAUAGUUAUAGAAAAUUAAAAUAAAUUAAAAAUCAAUAAUAUUCUUUUUUAUCUCUAAUGUUAUCAAAUUAAAUCAUGCAUAAGUAUAAAAAUAUUAAUAUCUUAAAUUUAUUAAAUGACAUAUGUAUAAUAUUUAAAUAUGAAUAUAUUGAAAAUGAAAGAAAAUUCAAUUAUUUUAUUUAAUAUUAUAAUUUUUUUUAUAAAAAAAAUAUUUUUUUGUUUUGUUUGUUAUAUUAAACAUCAACUAGUGUGUAGUCGAGUGGUGCCCUGUAUGUUUUGCUUAACUUGAGGUCAAGGGUUCAAGUCCUUUUAGGUGGGUUUUGUCAUUUGUGAUUGUUUUUCAUUAUCUAAUAUCAUCAAUCCCACAUCAGAUCUUGAUGAGAAUAAAGAGGUUUAUAAAAAAAAAAACACUCAUCCAAUAGAGGCAUGUCCUUCAUUUGGGCUUAAGAAGCAGCCCACCAAUUGGGCUAAGGUAAGCUUGGCUUAUAAGGUUAGGUUUUUUGCCAAAAAAUAAAUGUGUAAGGUGGGCCAUAUAUAAAGGUGGAAGGUGGCGGGUUUAAAUGAUUAAAAAAAGGCCUAAUGCUAGGCUUGAAUCAUAAAAUAAAAAAAUAAAAAAUAAAAAGGUCUUCAUCAAGAACCAUUCGGUUCAUCUGGUUUACCAAUCCGACCAUUGGUUUAGGCGGUUCAUGACUGGUCCAUUGGCUAAAUGGUUCAAUAUAUGGAACCAUACGAGAAAUGCCAUUGAUCAGCAAUUGAACCAAUCCGAUCGGCUGGUCCAGUUUGGUUUUAAAAACCAUGAAGAAAUCAUAAGUUUAGCAUAAAUUAUAACUAUGGAAAAUGAAAUAAGGAAUAAUGGUUUUAAUUUAUUGAAAAAGGAUGUGCAUGGUAUUUUAGAGAUUGUUUUUGAAAAAAAUAAAAUAAAAGGGGAGGAAAGUGGCAUAAUAGGAGAAUGAGAGAAAUUACAGGGAGAUGAAAGAAAAAAAAAAUUGGCCAUCUACAUACCUCCGCUGAUCGGACAAUGAAAUGACCUUUGAUCGUGAUGAAAUUUUAGACAAUGAUAGUCUUCAACGUGGUGAAUACUUCUAUAGAGUUGGAUUUUCCAUUCAAUGGUUCGAUUCUACUAUACAGGUAGGGGUGUGUUUUCCCUAAGUUUCUUUGGGGCUUUUCAUUUUGCUUUGAUUUACUUUCAAAAACCCCCAUGGAAUUAGGUGAGUUGUUGAGUUGUAGUAUAUCAUCACAUAGUUUUCAUUGAAGUUGUUUUUAGAAAACCUAAACAUGUAAAAUGAUUUAAUUUUGUUUUGAAAUUGCUAAGUGGGAAGUAGAUGAAAGUUUAAUGCAAAGUCAUGAUAUUAGAAUUGUUGGUAUUUAGUUGUUUUUCUUGUGAUAUAAUUUACUGGAUUGUUGUGGUUUUGAAAUAAUUUUAUUGAAAUAAGGGUUGAUAUAUUUUUCUAAUUGUUGUCAUGUUAGAAAUUAUAGAAAUUUUUUGGUGAUAUAUUAGUGUUGAAAAUAAUGAGAAUUGUUUGUUGAAAAUUUUGAGUAUUAAUAUAUGUUUAAAAUAAUUGUUUUAUAUUAUUGGGUAUUAUUAUUUGAUUUUGGAGUGAACAAUGAUGUUAUAUUGCAUUCAUUUUGCAUCCAUGUUUGUAUGAAAAGAAAAAAAAAAUGGUUGUAUGAAAUGGAAAAGAGAAUGAAUAGACCAAAGGAAAAAAAUGAAAAGGAAAUGAGAAAUGAAAGGACCCUAGAGAGGAUGAAUUAAGAAGGGGGUGAAAUCCCUAGUGUACAAAAAACAGAAGUUUACCCCAAGAAUACUCCAAAUGAGGAGUGUAUUAAGGUGUGGACGCAAAUCAUUCGAUGAAUGCCUAAAAACAAGAUUGCAUUAUUUGAUUAUGUCUACACGAGCAUUAUCAUGAAUAUAAAUUUCAUAUAUUGGAUUUUUUUUAACAUUUUAAUUAUGUUGAGUACCAUGUUUUUAUAUAGUUCAAAUGUUUCAUAGGGUGAAUGUUCCAAUAAAUUAAAAUUUCGUAUGUUCCUUACUUGACAUAAACAUAUUGGGUUGUAAAUAUGCUAGUAACAAAUAAAUAUUCUAUGUUAUUAUAAAACUGCGGGCAUGCUUAUCUCAUUAAAGUUUAUUAAGUCUUAUUGGUGGAUAAAUUGGGUGUUUUAAUAUUCUUGUUAAGCUUUUAUAUGAUGUAAGUUAUUAUUCCUUCCCUCGAGUGGAAAUGCUCCUACUAAGCAUAGUGGAAAUGCUCACCCUUUUUCCCCUUUAGAUGCAAAUAUAAUUUGAUGAAAAGAUCAAUACCCAUUAGAACUCUUGAAGAGACUUUGCCAUGAAGACUACAAUUACCUUGAUUCUUUUGUAAUUCUUCCAAAUGUAAUAGUUUAUGUUGAGUUGUAUAGUGUGAUUUAUUAUUGAAUUACUAUAAUGUAUGAAGAUCUCUUAUUAAUUUUUCUUUCUCUUCUUGUUGUAGUAACUGAGACAUACCUAAAUGAUCCUUGUAUUUGACUAGAUAGGAAUAACCUUUAGGGUCAAACCUUUGACUUGGGUUAUAGGUCGAAUUUUAGGUUGCCUAGAAUUCGGGGCGUGACAAUGAACACCAUUACUCCAAAUUUAAUUGCUCUUGUUUCAAAAGCUUGUUGGUGUGCAACUUAUUGCUUAUGGGGAAUGCUUGAUAAAUCUUGUGAUUCGACUCAUGGUAGCUUAGCUUUAAAGGCGUAUCAACAAAAUUUAUACCUUAGAUACUAUUACUAAAGUAGCCAAGCUACUAUAGCAUAGUGGUUCUAGGAUCGUUCACUGGGAAGGGUUUUCGCAAACACUAGUGAUAUUCGAAUUAGGAAAAUAGGUGAUUUUCUUAUGGAUGUUAGCUUUAAAAGAAGAUGUAAAUGUUUUAAAAAUAUUUAAACUAAUCUAAGCUAACAUUAAAGACUAAAAUGAAAGGGUGUAAAAACAAGUUUCUCAAAGAUAGGAUAGCUAUGCUCUGGCUCUUAUGCAAAUUGGAAAUCUCAGGAUAGGCUCCUCGCGUUGGGGUUGCAACUAUGGUGAUGCUUGCUUCCCGAACCGGUAUGGAUUUAGCAAAUCAAGUUUUAAUCCUUUAAAAUGACAAAACUGAUGGUAGUGAAUUUCAUCAAUGGUUAUUCACCUUAGACUUCCUUUGAAUGGCUCGUAAGAGAUAACUAAUGGUCUAAAGCCAAAAGCUUACCAAAUAUUGGCAACUCAAAGUCAUUCUAGGUGAUAAACUCACCUUUCAAUGGCCAUUGAAAUUGGUUCUAACGGAUUAAUACAAAACUUGGAAUUGAAAACCUCACCUUCCAAUAGCUCAUAGGAGAUAACUAAUGGAUAGAAAUCCAAAAGCUUAUCAAGUAUUGGUCGUUGGAAGUUGUCCAAAGGAAAUAAAAACCAAACUUUGCAUUAAUGAACCUUUAAUGAAAAACGUCUACCUUACCUUCCAGGUGCGAGAAAUUUCCAUGGGAUUGCAUCCAAGCCAUCACAUAACAUCCAUACUUUGAGAAACUAAAAGUUUUAGCCAAUCAUCCUCUGAGGAAAAGCCCUCAGAGGCUGUUUGGCUACUAAGAAAAUAGAAAUAGUAAAGAGAAAAGAGAAACGAGAGAGCUCUGUAUUUUUAUAAGUGUAAAACGUAAUACGUAUUCUAUAUCUAUAUAUAUAUUACAACGGAUGCAAAGGGGAUAUAAAUAGAGAAGUUUUUCCAACCUUCCUAGCUAAUAAAUCUUAUGAUUGGUGGAUUACAAGGAGAAGAAUGGAAAUUUAUACAAAAAUAUCCAAAAGAAAAGAUAUCGUGUGGAGUCGGCAGAAACAGGGGAAAAUUCGCACCACGCAAAGGGGUGUGCGAAUGGUGUGCGAGUUUCGCACACCGUUCGCACAGCUGAGGGGGUGUGCGAGUUUCGCACACCAUUCGCACGCUGAGGGGGUGUGCGAGUUUCGCACACCAUUCGCACGGCUGAGGGGGUGUGCGAGUUUCGCACAAGCCUGGAGCAGUUGUCUUCCGAAGGCCAUAUCUUCCUCAUUUCAGCUCCAAAUCGUACACGGUUUGAAGCGUUGGAUUCUUGACUUCCUGAGCUUUGAAAUGGUAUAUAGCAUGUAGAAAAUGGGCAUCGGUAAGUGCUCCAAAAGUGCCAAAGAAGACUGCAGCUGCUGUCCUCUGUUUUCCUCCUUGCUUCUUUUUGCUUCUCUUUGCUUUUCUCCUUUUGUUGGCUUGCUUUGGUGUAGCUAAAAGCUUGCUUUAACUUGUCCAAGUAGCUCCUCCAUCAUUUGGCAUGCUUGAAUUGAUUCAUAAGCUGAUAUAGACAUGUAAACUUGCCACAAAAUGGUUAAAACCAAUUACUAAGGACCUUAAUGAAUUAAUUGGGUUAAAUGAAUAUAAUUACUACUCAAAGGUGCUUAAAACCAUUAUAAUUAGGUCUACAAAAUAUCACUUUUUGGUAGUAAUCAUCUUGCAAAAUAGCUUGGAAGCAUGAUGUAGUUUCUUGGUGUAGAAAAGGCUUUUAUUCAUGUUGCUGGUUCAUUGCUCCCACCAAAGAGACUUAAGUUUUAGUCCUUUUAUUAGACUAUGUUUGUCCAGCCUAUGAGCCCAUGUAUUAGGUUAUUUUAUAUUUGGGUAUUCCUCUAGCCUAAAUAUAUAUAAAUAAUGUUAGAGCUUUGGUAUUAUGACAUAAGGGGAUUUGAUUGAGAAAAGGAAAGAAAAUCAGCGUUAUAUUCUAGGCACUAUUCUAAGGCUUAAGGAUGAAGUUAUAGAUUCCUUAAUCAAUCUUUUUGGGGAAUUUAUAUGGUAUGUUUUCUCCCUGAUUUCUUUUUGUUAAUUUUUUUAUGGGGUGAUGAUUUACACCUCAAGCAUUGAAAUAUUUAUAUAAGUUUUCAAGGUAAACAAACUUAUGAGAACUUAAUUAUUGUAUCCCUAUUUUAUUGAAGUGGAAGAAAUUUUCUCUAUGGUUUUUUACCUUCAUUUCGAGGGUUUUUCCAUGUUAUAUUUGGUGUCUCUUUUUUAAUUGAAUAUUCUUAGAUUAUCAUUCUUGAUUCUUGUUAGGUUGUUAUUAUUCUUGAGUGGUGGUUAUUAUUGUGGAGGAAUCUUUUAAACUUGGUGGGUGAAUACUCUAGAUCUAUACUUUUAUCUUCCCAACAAGUGGUAUCAGAGUCAGGUUGUGGGAACUCUUAUUCUUAAAAUGGAUGGAAAUAGAAGGGAACUCAACCUCCAUGGGAAAACUUAACAAUUCAAAUUAGGUUAUAUGGAAGUCCAUAAUGGAAGAUUUUCUCACCAUCAAAGAUUUGUCAGAUACUCUUAAGGGUGAAAAAGCUAGACUAAAAUAUAUUUCUGAUUUGGAAUAGAAUAAGCUGAAUGAAAAGGCAAUUGUCUAUAUUAAGCAAUGGAUUGACAUAUCCUCACGUCAUUGAUUACUACCAAAAAGUGCUAUUUUGUAGACCUAAUUAUAAUGGUUUUAAGCACCUUUGAGUAGUAAUCAUAUUCAUUUAACCCAAUUAAUUCAUUAAGGUCCUUAGUAAUUGGUUUUAACCAUUUUGUGGCAAGUUUACAUGUUUUUAUCAGCUUAUGAAUCAAUUCAAGCAUGCCAAAUGAUGGAGGAGCUACUUGGACAAGUUAAAGCAAGGAUUUUGGAAGUUUACAGGCUUGAAUUUCAAGUGGAAACACGAGCACAAACAAAGGAAUAGCCAUUUCGCAAGGCAAGGCAAAGUACCUUGCCAAAAUGCAAUUUUCGCAAGGUGAAAAUGCACCUUGCCAAAUUUGGCAAGGUGAAUUUACUCAUGAUGCGAAAAUAUGGCACUUCGCAUCAUGAGUAAUUCACCUUGCGAAAAUUUCGCAAGGUGCAUUUUACCUUGCCAAAAUUUCGCAAGGUGCAUUUUACCUUGCUAAAUUUCCUCUGUUUCUCCAUGCACGCACCACUGACUUCCCAGAUAUUUUUAGCUUGAUAUUUUCUCGUGUAAAUUCCUUUUGUAACCUUGUAUUCAGCCGACAUAAGGCUUUAUCUUGUAAUUUUGCUAUAUAUAGAGGUGCACAAUGCUCCAAAAGGGAUUGAAUAUUGGAUAAUUGGGUGAUCGAUCCUCUGUACAUUAACUUAGAAAUAUAUAAAGCUCUGUUUUUCUCUCUUCUCCUGUUCUUCCCCAUUUUUAUUUUCUUAGUAGCCAAACAGCCUCUGAGGACUUUUCCUCAGAGGAUGAUCAGCUAAAACUUUUAGUUUCUCAAAGUAUGAAUGUUAUGUGAUGGCUUGGAUGCAAUCCCAUGGAAAUCUCUUGCACCUGGAAGGUAAGGUAGUCGUUUUUCAUUAAUGGUUCAUUAAUGCAAAGUUUGGUUUUUAUUUCCUUUGGACAACUUCCAACGGCCAAUACUUGAUAAGAUUUUGGAUUUCUAUCCAUUAGUUAUCUCCUACGAGCUAUUGGAAGGUGAGGUUUUCAAUUCCAAGUUUUGCAUUAAUUCGUUAGAACCAAUUUCAAUGGCCAUUGAAAGGUGAGUUUAUCACCUGGAAUGACUUUGAGUUGCCAAUAUUUGGUAAGCUUUUGGCUUUAGACCAUUAGUCAUCUCUUACGAGCCAUUCAAAGGAAGUCUAAGGUGAAUAACCAUUGAUGAAAUUCACUACCAUCUGUUUUGCCAUUUUAAAGGAUUAAAACUUGAUUUGCUAAAUCCAUACCGGUUCGGGAAGCAAGCAUCACCAUAGUUGCAACCCCAACGCGAGGAGCCUAUCCUGAGAUUUCCAAUUUGCAUAAGAGCCAGAGCAUAGCCAUCCUAUCUUUGAGAAACUUGUUUUUACACCCUUUCAUUUUAGUCUUUAAUGUUAGCUUAGAUUAGUUUAAAUCUUUCUAAAACAUUUACAUCUUCUUUUAAAGCUAACAUCCAUAAGAAAAUCACCUAUUUUCCUAAUUUGAAUAUCACUUGUGUUUGCGAAAACCCUUCCCAAUGAACGAUCCUAGAACCACUAUGCUAUAGUAGCUUGGCUACUUUAGUAAUAGUAUUUAAGGUAUAAAUUUUAUUGAUACGCCUUUAAAGCUAAGCUACCAUGAGUCGCAUCAGUCAUCAUGUGGCAAAUGAAAACAAAUGUCUAUAAUCUUUAGAAGAAAUUGGAAUUGGUGUUUGAACAAAAAACUAUUGGGAAUAAAAUUUUCUUGUUAAAGAAGUUAGUGACACUAUAAGAAAAAAGACCAAUAAUGACGCUUCCAUGUCGCUUCUAGAAAGCAUCAUCUAUAAAAGCACUUACAUUGAUGCUUAGCCAAGUGUCAUCUUUCCAAAAGCAUGACAUUCUUUAAGUGCCAUUAUUUCCACCAAAUUUCCAAUGUUGACACUUUUAAAGUGUCAUCUUUAAUGUUCAUUAUCUUUAACGCUUUAUAAAGAGUCAUUGUUGAUUGAUCUAUAUUGACACUUUUAAAAGCGUCAUUAUUGAUCUACCUAUGUUAACACUUACAUUAGCACCGAGGAAUGUCCAAAACAUCAUUUGUCUAUUUUGACACUAAAAAAAGUGUCAUCUUAUGUGGAUAAUAAUAUUGAAAAUCCCCCUAUUGAAAUGAUAUAUUUUGUAUGUCCUGUUAUAUAUAUUUUUGGCUACAUGAAUUUUUAUAAAGUGCAAAACAAUAACUUCAAUAUUAAUAACUAUAUCUUCCAAAAGAAAUUGAAUAAAUUUGGGAAUAAUAUCAUGAUAAAGAACUAAUCUCUACAUAGUUAAUUAAUACAUAAAUUUGUUAAUGUAUCAAAAUAUUUACAACAAGCAUAUUUUCCAACUCCAACAUAAAACAAGUACACAUGUAGAAAAAAGCAAGGUCUCUAAAUUCCUUAUCAAAAAUAAUGUUACAAGAAGAAGAAGAAGAAGAAGAAGAAAAAGAAGCCAAAAGUAUUCCUAUUGAUUGCAUACUCACUCUUGAAGUUGAAAUCUUUUACCUGUAUACAUUAAAAAAACAAAACAAAACAAUAGAAGAAACAAAUUACGUUUAGUUAAUAUAUAUGCAAUGAAAGUUAAAUUUAAAUCUAUAAAUGGUCAAUGAAAGAAGUGCAAGUGAGAAUAACUUGGUAUUUAAUGAGAUGUUAUGCUUUAAUGAAGAUGAAAAAUUGUUUAAUUUGAUACUUGUUUAUAAAAUAUUAAUAGGCUUUUUAGUUUAUUAUUAAGUUAGAGGAAACAAGUUAGGCUUUCAAUGGUAUAAAUUCUACAAUAUGGAAUGUAAUAUAAUAUUUUCUUAUCUAUUUCUAACAUAUGAAACUCAUUUCUCAUAAAUAUAUAUAUAUAUAUAUAUAUAUAUAUAUAUAUAUAUAUAUAUAUAUAUGAAGAUACCAAUAGGUAUGGUUUAUAAUUAGUUUCAAUCAUAAAUCAUCAUAUCUAGUAAUAUAAGACAUUUAAUACUAACCAUUUGCAAAUGCCUUAAUUUCUUCUUACAACUUUCCUAUAUUACCAAAUUUAGUUGACUAAUAACAUUCCAUAAGGAAAAAAAGAGUAUUAAACUAAAAAUUAAUAGAGCAUAACCAAAGAAAUAGAAACCUACAAAUCAUUGGUUAAAUGUCAUAAUAACAACCAUUCUAAAACUUGCCUUUAUUUUUUAUUCCAAAAUUAUAACCAAAAUAUAAUAAUUGACCCUACACAAAAGAAGCUCUCUACCAUCUUUCCAUCCAACAAAAACCUUUUCAUGCAAAAACAACCUCUCCAACAACAAUAACAAUUUCUCCAUGUCACAACAACAACAACAACAAUAACAAUAACAUUGAUGAUGGUGAUAAUUAUAUUAGUAAUAAUUUGAUUUGUUUAGCUCAAACAUAUAACAAUAACAACUUCUUCAUGCAACAACAACAAUAAUAAUGACAACAUUGAUGAUAAUGAUAUAAUAAUUUGAUUUAUUGAGUUCACAAAUUAUAUGCUUCUUCUCCAUACAACAAUAACAAAAAUAACUUCUCCAUGUAACAACAUUGGUGAUGAUGUAAUAAUUUGAUUUGUUAUAUUGAAAUAGUUUAUGCAUAAAACUAUUAUCUUAUAUUACUAUGGAGGAAAAAAUUACUUAUCAUGAGAUGAGAACAUAUGAGAAUCAUGAAAAUGUGAUCUACAACUCUUAAUGGACUGAAAUGAGGGCAUCUGCACACAUAAGAUGGUAAAUUAAAAAAAUUAUUCCAUUCAAGACUUCAUUAAUAAUUAAAAUCAAGCAUUGUAGAUGUUAAUUUAUACCUUCAAGCAUGGGUAAGAAUUAAUUGAGUUGCCAACAUAACCCACUUAGAUCGUACUUCAUUAAGCUCGACUUCACUAUACGAUUUCUUUUUUCCUUUAAACUAAUAAUUAAUUAUACAUACAUGAUGAUUAGUUAAGUUAACAAAAAAUUACUAAAGUAUGGAAACUAAUAAAAUUUAUUAAUGAGUACAUACCUUUGUGGAUAGGAGGCUUGGAUCAACAAUGAUAUCUUCUAUGUAUCUCAUCACACAAUAGCCACACUCCACAGUACCUAGUUGUCUUGGGCACUAUAGGCACACAUAUGAAUUAUGGUACUAUAAAGACAUUAAUAACAUGAUGUUUUAUGUCAUUAUUAUCUAAGUGACAAAACAAAAAACCAUAUUCAAAUUUUAUGGGUCGAUAUAAGUGGUCAUAUGAUAUAUCUUACUCUAAAUAAGUAACUUACCACUACUUUUACCCAUGUCGGUUCCCUCUUUGAUGAUUUUCUUUUCUCUGGUGGAUGAAUUUGUAGUGCCCCACAUGGAAAAAAAAAAAUUAAUGUUUUAGAUACUAUGCACUAUAUUCAAGUAUGGAAAUGAAGACACUUACAUGCUAACAAUUUCCUUAAGAUCAUCACAUGGUUGCUUUUGCAUUGGAUCGAGGUAGUACAUAGUCAUUGUCCUCAUAUCCAACGCCACCAAGACCCAGUGGAAACUACAAUAGUAAAUUAGAUAUUAUUUACUAAUUAGCAUUGAUUAAGCUAUUUAACAUAAAAAAAAACUUUGUAUUUUUUGUGACUUACUCAGGGUUAUAUGGAAUAAAAAUGUAGCCACCACGUUUUGCAUGCAUUAAACAAUUUGCAAUCAACCUUGACCCAUUUUCCUUUGUUGUCUCACCCAUUCUAGCUUUAGAGACCAAAGCUGGAUUGAUAAAAACAAAUCGUUUGGUGAGCCUAGUAUCACUUAUCUUUUUCUGCAGGUGCCUGUUUAAAUUCCACAUACCUUGAUAAGAAAUGAAUACUUUACUUAUAUAUAUAUAUAUAUAUAAUUAACACAUAUUGGCAAGUUAUAAAAUUAUUUACCAUAUAUAAUAUAUGACACAAUUAGCUAACACUUUCUUCAAUAAAAUUAUCCUAUCCAUGUCUUCUUUCAUAAGGAAGGUCUUAAAACUCUCACCAAAUACAUCAUUUGGGACCUUCACACCUUGUAAUUUCCCCUCCUUUAGCAUGAGACCUACUAAUGCAUCAAAAUUCUUGAUAUCUUGAGGGUUUUCACCAUUUUUCAAUUCAUUUUCUUUUGUUUUUUGUCUCUUCCCUUUAUGAGAUUCCUAUUAAAGAAAGCACCCUGUUUUCAAAUGAUAUACAUCUCUUUAUAAACUGUUGCAAAUGAAAAUAACACGCCUGGAUGAAUUUAGUAUUGAAAUUGACUAAAUGGGUUUACCAUAAAUCUUGGUAGCCCAUUGCCACUCCAAUUGUUGUAGCUUGACCAGGAAUGGGAUUAGGAAGUGGUGUAUUUGACUCAUAGGGUGCAUCCAAAACAACUAGGUAGUUGGGACAUUACAAUUGUUCCACCAACCACUGUAUUUUCCUUGGUCCUUAUCGUCAACCCACAUUUUGUUGCCUUCAAAAUUAAAUUAAAUUCUUAAUUUUAAUAUAAAAAAUAAUAAAUAAUUGAAGUUUAAGGUGCAUUAACUAUGUUAGGGCUAUAUUUAAGACAUAAAGUUACAUCUUUUAUAAGUACCUAUUGUAGUGGAAUAGAAUAUUAGUAGUAUUAAUUAUACUGUAAUAGAAUCUACCUAAAAUGCAAGUAUCAAUCGAACAAAAAUAUAAGCGAUUGGAAGAAAUUAUUUAUGAAAAUUAUCUAGGAAUUUGUUACAAUUAUGUCAUUGAACUAGGAAAUGUAAAUUGAAAAUAACACACCUUCAUGUGUGGUUCUAUUUUCACAGUUAAGGUUUCCUCCUAAACUUUACGAAUUAGUUUCUCCACUACUUUUGGUAGGAGCAACACUUUUGAUUUCAUGUUAGAACUACUCACUUCGGAUUGUGGUGUAUGAUUACUACUCAAAAAUUGCUAUUUUAUAGUUUGUAAUUAACUCUUUUAAACACUUUUGAGUAGUAGUUAUUACCUUUUAACUCAAUUGGCAUGUUAAGGACCCUUGCAAUCGUUUCUAAUCAAAUUGUGUUAAGUUUUGGUGUUUUUGAUAGCUUUUUGAUCACCAAAGCAAUCUAAGAUGAGGGAGAGCUUUAUAUAAUCCAUGGAAAAUCAAAUGGAAGCUCAUUUACAUGAAUAAUCCAAGCUUUGGAGCUUCGUAGUUCUUUGCCAAAGCCAAUCAAGAAUGCAAGGAGGAAAAAGAGAGAAAUCUAACAUGAAGAAAUUCAAAAGGACAGCAACUGUUGGACACAUUUCGAGUACUUCCUAGAGUCCAUUUCAUGCAUACUAUAUGUCGUUCCGAAGCUCGGGAAGUCAGGAGUCCAUUUCUUUAAAUGGUGCAUGAAUUAGAGUUGAAACGAAGAAGUUAUGGCUGUUUGAAGACAACUGCAUCAAGCUGUGCGAAAAUUUUGUAGCUGCGAAAUGAGAUGCAAAACCCACCUUUGGCACGCAAGUGCCAUUUCACAGCCCAUGCCUCCAUCUUCGCAACUGUGAACCACUUGAGAAAUCACCUCCAAGCUGAAAAUGAAGUUGCGAAUCAUCUCCAAGUUGCAAAAUCAUCUCCAAGUUGUGAAAUCACCUCUAAGUUGCAAAACCAAAGUUCAAACUUGCAAAAUGGAUAAUUUAACAUGUGAAUCACCUUGCGAAAUCCACCUGUGUAAACUCAGAUAUUUGCAACUGACUUAGUUAGAUUUUUUUCUCAAGAUAUUUUCUCCUUGUAAUCAGUCAAAGAUAUUAUUGGGAUAUUUCUUAGAAAAUAUCUUCCCUAUAUAUAUCUUUGAACCAAUGUAAGGAAAAGAGGAGAAUCAUAUAUCAGAUAUGUAAUCAACGAUAGUAAGAAAUAUAUCUACAGAGCACUUGCUCUGUUUUCCUUCAUAUUUUUGUUUCUUGUUAUUUUUAUUUCUAGCAAAUCAAACUCUGAGGAUGUUUUCUCAGAGGAUGAGUGGCUAGGUUCUUUGUCUCUUAGAGUGAAGAAAGCCGGGUAAGGUGCCGAGUGCAAGAAUUGGUAGUUUUGUUGUUUCAUCUUUUAAUGAAGAGAAAGUGAGACCCGUUAAUGGUUUUUAUCUUUUUAGUUAACUUAAAAUCACCUGGGCCAACACUUGGUAAGGCAAGUGGUCUCCGUCCAUUGAGAUACACUAGUUUACCUCUUGCGAGCCUUUGGGAGGUGGUUUAAAUCACCUGAGCCUAGUAAUCUGAAACUCCAAGAAACGCUUUUCUUUAUUAGUAAUUUCAGUUACUAUUAUUUUUGGUUAGCUUAAAACCAAUCAUUUUUCCACCAAAGAUUAUGUUUUCUUUUAAAGCUAACCUUGAAAUGAAAAAGCACUAAUUCAGCUUUGAAUUAAUAUCAAUUGUGAAGUGAAAACCCAUCCCAGUGAACGAUCUUAGAGCCACUAUGCCAUGCUAGCUGAGGUUAUCCUAGUACAUGGUGUAAUAGGUUAUAAAUUUUGUUGAUUACUCCCGUCUGAGGACUGGAAUCAAGGUACACCAGCAGGGCACAAAUUAGUGUAGCAACUCCUAUCUGAGAUAGUUUCACUAACACAUCAGCCUUAAAAUUAACUUGACGUUCUUGAAUUGCUUUUAAAAUAUGCCUCACAACACUUUCUAACAUACUAUUGAAAUAUUGUCGAAGCAUGUAGUGCUUCCCUUUAGCCCGAACAUAACCAGUAUACUCGGGAGUACUUAGUGCUUGAGCAAGUAUGUCAUUACUCCCACUCUAGCUUAUGCCACUCUCUUGAGACUCUUUUAUCAGUUCAUCCUAAAAUAAGAUGAAGUUAUGAAGUUAACUUUGAAAUAGGUAAAAUUAAAGAUGUGAUUUUUGGGUACAAAAUGUCUACUUACUAUAAUUUCCACUACUAGUAUGACCACAUCAUCAUAACUACCAUCUUUUUUUUUUUUUUUUUUUUUUUUAAUUUUGCAUUUCUCUCUUCCAAAGUAAACUCCUAUCACUGCUUUCUAUGGAACCAACUUCAAUCAUCUAAUAGAAAUGGAAAAUUUAAAAUAGUUAUUAGAGGACACGUUUUUUUUCUUUUUUUGUCAAAAAAGAAACAAUUAAGAAACCUACAUAAACUAUUUCUUCAUUACCUAUACAAUCAUAUAAAAUUAAACCACAAUAAGAAUUAACAAAAACUUACCAUCUCUUCCUCAAGUCCAACAUACCCUUUUCUACUUAGAUGAUGAUUAUAUAUAUGUUUCUUCCUUCUCUGUUUUUGUACUUCCCUAUAUUCCUACAAAUUAAAAUGGAUGAUUAGUAUAUAUAUAUGUGGAUGCAUGCAGUAUGUUUAAUGUUAAUUGUAUUUGUACCUGAAAUUUUUCAGACAACCUAUUUUUUACAAAAAUAUUCCAAUUUUCAUCAUCGAUAAAAUGAUAUUCAGUUGGUGGUUUCUCAAGAAGCUCUGUCUCAUCUUUAAAAGGAAGCAUAUGUUUCACAAUCAACAUGUUCUUAAAAUAUUGGAAACAUUUUCCCAAUGUAAGCAUACAAUUCCUUCUGCUUUUCUUGUUUAAUGUAAAAGCAAUCUACAAAUUACAAAGUCAAUAGUACCUUCAAAUUUUAAAGAAAUGUAGACAUUAUAGAAUACUCAUUUAUGUUAAAAAAAUAAAAAUUAAGUUACCUCAAUAGAGUCCCACACCUUAUCCUUCAAUCGUUCAAGGACAUCUCACCAUGUGUUAUAUCUGAUUAGCACCAACAUACGUGCUAAUACACCUAAGUAGCUUGUUAGGUGCACAGAAGAUUCUCCUACAUAGAUACCACCAGCAUUGUACUUUAUGACCAACUUUAUCUCUCUAUUCCUAUUCCUUAUAAUCAUGGAUUUCCUUGUUGUCCCUCUAUAUUUUUUUUGUGUUGGGGUUUUCUCUUCCUUUGAAUCCAUGCUUAUAAUACAUCAACGAGAAAUGAUAAGUAAAGCCUUUAAUUGCAAGCAAAAAUUAAUUUUGUAUACUAUGCACUCAUAUUAGUAAAAGGAGCAUACUAUGAAUAAUUUACAUGCUAGAUAACAACAUUAACAUGUUGUCAUGAAAUAUUUAAUAAUAAUAAUAAUAAUAAAAACUUACUAGAAGAUCCUUGCUGACCUUUUUUCUUAUGGAACUAGAAAUCAUAAGCUUUGAGAUGAGACAAAUUAAUAUCCUUGUAUUACCCUUUAGAUCACUUUGAGAUAAAUUGAUAUCCAAAAUCAUGAUAUUCAAUAUAAAAGAGAUCUACUCGAUGAUUUAAUUAGAACAAUUACUUUCAAAAAUUAAUCACAUAAAUCCACUCAUUCACAAAUCCAUAUAAAUUGCAUGACUUGAUAAUUCUUAUAACACUGACUCAAUGCCACAUGAAUCCAUUUAUUCAUAUUUCUUACAUUAAUUCAAAAAAUUUGAAAUUCAAAAUAAACCUUAAAGCAAUAAAAAAAAACUGAAUGCUAGUCAUAAUUUUUUUUUUAAUUGUCACUCAUAAUUAUUUUUAUAAUGUCACUCAUUGUUUAGCUAGAUAGUAUUUUCAAAGUCUUUAUUUCUUGAAGAAAUAUGUGCAUAGUAAUAAUAAUGAAAUAGGGAAUCAAUAAAUCAAUAGAAAUGAUGAAUUUAAUGACCUUAGAAAAUAAAUAAACAACUAUUUACAAAAAUGCAGAAUUUCAAUAUUAACAAGUUAAUGGGAUAGUUACAACCUUGACAUCAAAAGAACAAGGUCUUAAAUUUAGUUACAUAGAAGAUUUGUUAUCAAUCCACAGUCUCCUCGAAUGCAAAUGACAUCAGAGUCAUCCAUUGCAUCAAAUUAUUCAAGUUGUGGCAAGGUGGUAAUGAGAGGAUGGUGUUCAAUAGAAUUAUGCAUGAAGUCCUCAGAAUCCUCUCUUUUGAAGAAGUCUCUUUGAGGAGUUGACAAAACAACUAACCAUCUUUGAUCAAGUUGGUAUUGUACAUAGAAUACUUGCUUAGCUUGGGAGGCUAAAAUGAAUGGAUUUGAUUUAUGAGCCAUCUUAGUGAAGUCAAUUAAUGUAAGCCCAAACUCAUCAACUUUAAAGCUGCUUUUAUUAUCAACCCAAUUGCACUUGAAAACUGGAAUCCUAAACAUGGUAUAAUUAAGAUCCUAGAUCUUAGUAAUAAUCCCAUAGAAACAUAGCUCACCAAAUACCGGAUUCUUAUCCUUGGCACUAGAAAUUUACAUUAUUGUUGCUACAAUGCUAACUCCACUAUUAUGGGUAACUCAUAAGUCAUCACGAUCUUUUGUAUUGUAACGACACCCAUUUAUAACAUAGCCAUGAUACUUGGACACGUAGUGGGUAGGACCAUGUGCUAUCCAUCUUAGGGUUUCAGAUAAAGGUUCUUUGUCAACAAUGGCAACUUCAACCUGUUUGAAUAGGCCAUAGUUAUUAAUAUUUUUUAUGAUUAGUGCUAAGAAUGGUGCAAUUUUUACAAUAAAUUCAACACCUUUUUUCGCAAACAAUGAGUGAAUGUUCAUAUGUGUUCUUCUUGUAGCCACUUUUGUCUCUUAGAUUGACGACGAUUGUUCAAUUUUAACCAUUUCAUGUGUUCUCUAUAAGAUAUGCAUAAGAAAGUAACAAUAAGUUUCCAAAUUUAGUUUAAGUAAUCUACACAUAAAAUCAAAAUAGUUGACCCUUACUUGAUAUAAGGUUGGAUGAUAGUUGUAUUUUCUAACACAUAAUGAUGUGCUUGUAACAACAAAUUAGAAUCAACUUCAGUGAUAUGACCUCUAGGAAUAGGCGCCCCAACUUUAUGGUCAACAUUAGUGCUACUAAGAACCCUAAUUGCAUCCAUAUUUGAUAAGUACUCUGUACAAAAUUCAAUAGCUUUCUCUACAAUAUAGCAUUCAACAAUGCAACCUUUAAGGUGGUUACGGUUUUGCACAUAACCCUUUAAUACUUUCAUGAACCUUUCAAAUGGGUACAUCCAUCUAAAAUAAAUCAGUCCAUAAAGUCUCACCCCUCUAACAAGAGGAACCGUUAAAUGAAUCAUGAUAUCAAAGAAGGAUGAUGGAAAGUACUUUUCAAGCAAGCACAAUGCCACAACUAGUUCAUUUUGUAACUUAUCCAAUGUAGACACAUCAACCACCUUCUUAGAUAAAGCAUUGAAAAAAAAAGCUCAAUCUAGCAAUAGCAUGUCAUACAUGCUUUUGAAAAAGUGAUUGCAAUGCCACUAGUAACAAUUGUUUGCAUCAAUGUAUGAUAAUCAUGAGACUUAAGGCCAUAGAGCUUCAAAUCUUCCAUUGACACAAGAUUUCUAAAGUUUGAGCAAUACCUUCAGGAACCUUUAACUCAAUUAAAGUUUGACAAAAUACUUUGUUCUCCAUUCUAGACAAUGUAUAACAUGCAGACAUGAGGUAAGUUCGAUUCGAUUCAAAUCUUAGUGCCAAUCCACACCUUAAACCCAUGUCCAUAAGGUCUAGUCAAGAAUUGAGUCCAUCUUUUGUCUUUCCUAUAAUGUUAAGUAUUAUACCAAUGAUGCUUUCAUAAGCACUUUUCUCAAUGUGCAUUACAUCCAAAUUAUGACGAACAUGCAAAUAUCUCCAAUACUCAAGUUCGAAGAAAAUGGACUUUUUCUUUCCACAAUUGGUAGAAGUCACAUUGGAUUUAUCAUGUGUUACCCUUUUUUCCCCCAUGAAUUACAAAUGGCAUUCAUUUUCAAUAGUAUUUCCUCUCUAGUUAAUGGUUGUGGAGGUGAUCGAAACUCUUGCUUUCCAUUGAAUGCCUUUUUAUGUUUCCUAAAAGGAUGAUUGCAUGGAAGAAAACAUCUGUGGCCUAUAAAUGAGUUUCUUCUCCCAUGCUUCAACCUAUGUGAAUAGGUUUCUGGUCCACAUAUUGGACAAGAAAAAUAACCUUUGAUUGUGCAACCAGAUAAGUUUUCAUAUGCAGGAAAAUCAUUUAUUGUCCAUAAUAGAACAACCCUUAAUGUAAAGACCUCUAUUUGAUAUACAUCAUAAGCUUCUACCCAUAUCUCCCACAAGGUUUUGAGGUCCUCAAUCAAUGGUGUUAAAUAGAUAUCUAUGUCAUUGCCAGGCUGUUGUGGACCUGAUAUUAACAAAGAUAACAUAAUAAAUUUUCUCUUCAUGCACAACCACGGUGGAAGGUUUUAAGUGAUCAUGACAACUAGCCAACAACUAUGCCUACUGCUCAAGGAACUUUAGGGAUUUAUGCCAUCUACUAAAAUGGCAAGUCUAAGGUUUCUAGGUUCUGCAUCAAAAUCAAGCCAUCUAUGGUCAAUUACUUUCCAUGAUGGGGUGUUUGAUGGAUGAUGCAUUUUUUCAUCGAAUUCUUCACCUUGUGCAUGCCAUAUGAGGUAUUUUACGAUUUUUAAGGAUUGAAACAUUCUUUUAAAUCAUGGGAUAGGUGGAAAAUGCCACAUCACUUUAGCAGGAACUCCCUUAGUCUUUUUGGUUCCUUUUCUAUUCACCUUCCACCUUGAAGCUCCACAUGUAGGACAUGAAGAUGUAUCUUUUAACUCAUUCCUAAAAAGUAUGCAAUCAUUGGGAUCUGCAUGUAUUUUUUUUCAUAUUCCAUUCCCAAUGCAUUCAAUGUUUUUUUGCUUCAUACAUAGACAAUGGCAACUCAUUGUUGAAAGGCAACAUAUCACCAAGUAAGCUUAAUAACUUAGAGAAGCUUUUAUCAGACUACCCAUAUCUUCCUUUCAGAUUGUAUAAUUUAACUAAUGCAAAUAAUUUGGUGAAGUUUUUGCAAUUGAGAUACAAAGGUUUUUCAGCAUCUUCAAGCAACCUUUCAAAUAAUUUUGGAUUAGCCUUAUAAUCGUCUUGUGCAACUUCAACCAUUUCUAUUGUAUAAUCCAUAUUACCAACAUGAAUUCUAUCAAAACAUUCAGUUCUUGUAGUUGGUGGUCCACUACUUAUAGUUGCCUCCCCAUGCCAAAAUCAAUUAUGGUAACUUUGGUCAAUUCCAUAAAAGAAUAGGUGUUCUCUAUUCUUUUGAGGAGUAUUGAAUAUCAAAUUUUCACACUGUAAACAUAAGCAUUUGAUAGAGCUUUGAUUUGCAGAAUUUUGAACUGCAAAUGAAAUAAAAGUUUCAACCCCAUCCUCAUAGUCUUUUGAUCUUCUAUCUUUUGACAUCCAAGAACAAUUCAUUUGCCUAUAAUAGGUGAACUCAAUUCCUAUAUAGCAAACAUAAGCAAACAAUGAAAAGUAAGACUUAAAAACAUUACCUUUAGAAUGCACUCAAAACUUUCAGUUUCUCAUUUGUGACAUCCAAAAUUUCUUUUUAAUUUUCUAUGGACAAAUAAUUAGGAUUCAAAUGCAAUAAAAAUUUGAACCUCAUCCUCAAUAAAAUAGGAUGAAUGAUUCAUUCCCAAUUGGUGUCUCAACUGAUUCAUGUCCAGUUGGUGCUCUUUGAUUGAGGGAGUAAUCAACAAAAUUUAUAACCUAUAUCACCAUGCAUUAGGAUAGCUUUAGCUAAUAUAGCAUAGUGGCUCUAAGAUCGUUCACUGGGAAGGGUUUUCAACUCACAACUGAUACCAAUUCAAAGUUAAAUUGGUGCUUUUUCAUGUCAAGGUAAGCUUAAGAAAUAAAACACAAACUUUGGUUAAACGAGGUUUUGUUUCAAUCUAACUAAAAAGAAAGUAAUGGAAAUUACUUAUGAAGAAAAACAUUCCUUGGAGGUUUGGGUUCACAGGGGAGGUUCCUUAUGCAAAAACAAAGCUCUGGUCAUUUGGUUCAUUUCCUCGCAUUAGAGAAUUAACAUAUAGUUAAUUCUCUAACCAGUGUUGUACAGAUGUAUCCUUCAAAUGGAUUUCAGCUCUAAUUCACUGUCACUAAUGCAACUUGCAAUGGCUCGUGCCUCUCACCUAGCAUUUUCCAUUCAAGGUGAUCUUUAACUUUGGACUUCCCUUCUCAAGCUCGCAAGAGAUAACUAAUGGAUGUCUCCUUAAAGUCCAAAAGCUUACCAAGUGUUGGCAAUUCUAGAAAAUCCUACCUUCAAGUCACUUCCUAAAAGCUUGCAAGAGGUAAACUAGUAUAUCUCCAUGGACAGAGAUCACUUGCCUUACCAGGUGUUGGCUCAAGUGAAUUGAAGGUGUUUUAAGUUAACUAAAAACAUAGAAAUCAUUAAAGGAUCACACUUUCUCUUCAUUAAUGGCUGAAACCACAAAGCUAUAAAUUCUUGCACUUGGAACCUUUCCCAGCAACCUUAGCUCCAAGGAACUAAAAGUCUAGCCACUCAUUCUCUGAAGAAACUUCCUCAGAGCUUGUUUGGCUAGAAAGAAAACUAACGAGAAAACAAAAAUAUCAAGGAAAAACAAAGCAAGUGCUCUAUAAAAUAUAUUUCUUCCUUCCGCUGAUUACAUAAUAAUCCUUUUGUAAAGAAAAUUACAAACUAUAUAGAAGAGGUUAUUCACCCUUUGUUCUUACCUAAAGACUAAGGAAUCCUAUGAUAGGUGGGUUACAAGGAGAGUUUGGGGAUUUAGACAUCAAAUAUCUAAAGCAAAAUAUCUCAAAAUGUCGGUCGGAAAUAUCAAGAAGCUUAAGGAAAAAUUCCGUUGCACUGUGUAAAAUGGCUGCAAAACUCUCCGGGUAAGCGCUAUCAGAGGAUCCGGAUAUGUCUGACCGGACAAAUUUUCGGAUGUGAGAGAUCCGGAGAAGGUGAAACGUCCUCCUCUCCCAUCUGGCGUCAGGCACCGGAUGUGAAAUAUCCGGAUAAGGUGGAAAGUCGCAAGGGGGACCGUCUGUGUGUGCAAGGUGUAGGGACCCCUACCCCUGAUGACACGGAGCUCGCAUCGCUAUCCGGAGCAACUCCAUCCGGAUUCCCCAAGAGGACACGCGGUGCGCUCCCUUAUCCAUACUCCCUCAGGGAGAAGAACACGGCGCUCGUGAACAUCACAAGACGAUAGCAUAUCCUAUCCGGAUAUGUUGUCCGGAUCAUUGACUAAAGUGAGCAAGCCUUGCUACAUCAUUCCGACAGCCUGCCCAGCGACACGUUCCGCCGCCCUCCGAUGGUGUGUCUAGACGCCCUGUCCGGACAUCUUUUGCCAUGAAUUCCAAAGAACUCUCCUCAAUCUCGGAUUGCUUUGGUGAUUAAAAAGCUAUCAAAACACCAAAACUUAACAUAAUUUGAUUAGAAUUGAUUGCAAGGAUCCUUAAUAUGUUAAUUGGGUUAAAAGGUGAUAACUACUACUCAAAAGUGUUUAAAAGAGUUAAUUACAAGCUAUCAAAUAACACUUUUUGAGUAGUAAUCACUCCCCCCAACCGACAUUGAUUCAUGCCCAAUUGGUGUCUCAGCUGAUUCGUGUUCAGCUGGUGCUCCUUGAUUGAGGGAGUAAUCAACAAAAUUUAUAACCUAUAACACCAUACACUAGGGUAGCAAAGAAAAAGCUACUAUAGUAUAGUGGCUCUAGGAUCGUCCAUUGGGAAAGAUUAACAAGCUAUCAAUGAUACCAAUUCCAAGUGAAUUGGUCUUAUUUCAUUUCAAGGUUAGCUUAAGAAAUAAAACACAAACUUUAAUUGGUAAAGGUUUAGACUUAAACUAACUAACACAACAAGUAAUAGGAAUAACUUAGGAAGAAAAACAUUCCUUGGAGAGUUAGGUUCACUGGGGUGGUUCCUCAUGCAAAAGACAUAGCUCCGGUCAGAUGGUUCAUUUCCUCGCGUUAGAGAUUCAACAUAUAGUCAAUUCUCUAACCGGUGUUGUACAGAUACAUCCUUCAAUUAGAUUUCACUUUAAUUCUCUCACUGAUGCACCUUGCAAUGGUUUAAGCCUAUCACUAAGCCUUAACCAUUCAAGGUGAUCUUUAACCUUGGAUUACCCGUCAAAAGCUCGCAAGAGAUAACUAAUGGAUGUCUCCUUGGAGUCCAAAAGCUUACCAAGUGUUGGCUAUUCUAGAAAAUCCUACCCUAAAGUCACCUCCCAGAGGCUCGCAAGGGGUAAACUAGUGCAUUUCCAUGGUUAGAAAUCACUUGCCUUACCAAGUGUUGGCCCAGGUGACUCCAAGGUGUUUUAAGUUAACUAAAAACAUAGAAAUCACUAAAGGAUUUCACUUCCUCUUCAUUAUUAGCUAAAACCACAAACCUUUGCAUUCUUGCACUUGGAACCUUCCCCGGCAACCUUAGCUCCAAGGAAUUAGAGGUUUAGUUACUCAUUCUCUGGGGAAAACUCCUCAGAGAGUUCAUAACAUAGUAAUAAAUAAAAAAUACAAAGUGAGAAGGUAAGGCAAUACAAAGAACUGAACUUUACUUGCUUACCCAAAACUUUACAAAAGGAUCUCCUCCCUGAGAACAGGCUCCCGAGAGGUAUAUAUAUGAACAUAAUAUAAAACUAAUUAUUACAUAGAUAUUUUCUCUUUUUACUAACUUAAAAGCUAAGGAAUCUUGUAAUUGGUGGCUUACAAGGAGUAUUUUGGGAUUUAGACAACAAAAAUCUGAUGUAAAAUAUCUCCCAAUGUCGGUAGCAAAUAUCGGGAUGCUCCAGGAACCAUUUCGCAAUAGAAAAUGGUGUCUGCGAGAUUUCGCAGACACUCAAGAGGGCUGCGAAAUCAUUUCGCAACAACAUGCUAUCUUCGUAGGGCUGCGAAGUUGGCUUCCACCUUGAGGUUCCUAGCUUCCCUCUCGCGGUAUAUGUCGGGCAACUUCAGAAGGAAAUACACCCUACUGUACAAAAAGGCUGCGGAAUCACUUCGCAACAAAAGGGUGAUUUCGCAACACUUUGCAAAAUGCUUCCUUCAGCUCGGAGUGAUUGGCUUGCAAUGGCUGUAACUUCUUCAUUUCAACUCCGAAUUGCGUACCAUUUGAAGCAUUGGAUUGUUGACUUCUUGAGCUUUUAAAUGGUAUAUAGAAUGCAUCAAUUGGACUUCAGAAAGUGCUCCAAAAGUGGCUGCUACGACUAUCAUCAAGAAUAUGCUUCAUGGCAGAUUCUCUUUACUUUUUCUCCUUGCAAUCCGGGUUUACUCUUGGCAAAUGACUUCUAAGCUUUGCCCAAGAUUCCUCAUAACUCUCCUCAGUCUUGAAUUGCUUUGGUGAUCAAAUUACUAAAAAAACACCAAAACUUACACAAAGUGAUUAAAAUUGCUUUAAAGGAUCCUUAACAUGCCAAUUGAGUUAAAAGGCCUAAACUACUACUCAAAAGUGUUUAAAAGGAUUAAUUAUAGGCUAUCAAAUAGCACUUUUUGAGUAGUAAUCACUCCCCCCAACCAACAUAUUGCUAGUCCCUUAGCAAUAUAGGAGAGAAAAAUGAAAAUAAAAAGCAAAAUAAUCUAAAAUUUACAACAUCAUGCUGAUCAAAAAUUAAUUCUCAAAUGGCAUGAUGAUCUAAUUCUCUCAUGAAACAUUAAAGAAAUACAAACCCAAAUUUCAACAAGAGUCAUAACAAACUAUGCUAAACACUAUCAAUCAAGGGAAUGCAUUAUGCAAACUGAAGUUUUAAAAUCAUUUCCACUUUCAAAGAACCAAACUUUAAUCUUCCACAAAAAUCUAUGUGUAUUGGUUCCUUAGCUUCCGAGAAUAAUAUGCUAAACUAAUCUCUCCCCCCAACCUAUCUUUUUUCAAUACUUAGCAAACUGACCAAAAUCAAUAAGAAAAGAACACACCUUUUUUUUUAUUUUUUAUUUUUUUAUUUUUUAAUUUUUUAUAUGAGGCUUUAUAGGGUACUCUUUCUGAAUUGUCCAUGUAAUGGGGGUCCAUCGAUGACUCCCAACCAAUUAAGGUUUAGGGCACCAAGCUUUAAGGAUCUUUCAACCACUAACUCCUCGGAUUUUUCCCCGGACUUUUAAGAAUGAAUUUCUAAUACCCAAGCAUCUACCAUAUGCUAACUCUACCUAUUCACCCUUGUAACGAGCAUUGAGGUCGGUGACUCCCAACCAAUUAAGGCUUAGGGCACCAGGCUUUAAAGAUUUUCACCAUAUACCCCUCAGACCUUGCUCGGGUUUCAAGGCAAGCAAACAACUUUCUUUAUUUCAAAGGCUCAUUGGCCUUUUGCAGGGUGUUUCAAUUUUAUCAAAUGAGGUCAAAUAUACCAAGUCCCAAAAUUAUCCUAAGUCAAGAGGGAAAUAGUUUUUCAUCUUAUAAUCAGAAUCUAAUGUGCACAGUGUGUGAAUAGCUUAAAGUGGAAGAACUAAAUUCAAUUUCAAUAGAAGUUUCAACAAUUGAACCACUUUAGUGAGCAUAAUCCAUACUCUAAGUCAAGUGAAAAACAACAGUUCAAUUUCUCUUGGUUUAAUUUGAAAAUUUUUCCUCAAAAUUCAUGGAGAAUAGAGUAAAAAAAAUAAAAAACAAAAACUACAACUAAUUAACCAAAAUAAUUGCAUUACCAAAAUACUUCCUUCCCCAAUCCCCCCCAACCGAACUGAGCAUUGUCCUCAAUGUGAUAUGAGUGACUGUAUUUAAAGGGAGGAAGUGGUACCUCCUGGUUGAUAUCAAAUUCGAAUAUUGAUUGGAGAAACCACAUGUUUCAAAAAGAAUAGAAUAUGUGAGAAAAGGAAAUAAGGAUAACUUAAUGCUAACUGUUAAUAAGAAAUAUUAAACUUGUAUUACUUUGAAUCCAUUUAAAUACAAUGCAAAAGAAAAGUAAUACAAGCAAUCCCAAAUAUAGUACCAAAAUAAUGGGAUUUAUUUCCAACUAAAAAAAAACGAAAUACAUAAAACAAAAAUAGUAGAUAUAUAAUAGUCUGAUGAGUGGGUGGUGCUAGGGCUAGGCAGAAGGGUCUGCCUCUUCAGUAGGUGCAUCAGUUGGGGCUUGGGGCUUUGGAGGAUGAGACUCUGAGGGAUGAGAGUGUGGCACUGCUGGAGUAGAAGUGGAGGGCUCUACAGCUGGUGGCAGGUCAAAAUGAAGUUGGAGCUGCCUUAAGAUGGCAGCUUGUUGAGCCUGAGUGGCCAACAUCUGCUCUUGGCAUGCUCUAAUGGCUGCCAUCUCUUGAGCAAGACUGCUCUGAGAAGCUGUGAGAGUCUCCAAUGCACGACACAACUCUCUAUAUUCAGAUAUAGGAAUGGCCAUCCUCGGUUCAACUGAAGUGGAUGGCUGAUAUGAAGCUGGAGCAGCUGGUGGAGCUCUAGGAAUGGCAAGAGCAGCAACUGUUAUACCCUCAGGUAUGUGUCGUGGGGAUGCUCUCCUUGCAGCUGGCUGUGGUGGCUCUUACUGAUCAACUUUAUAGGUCGUCAUGUUGUUCCAUUUAUCAAGAGUGAAUGGCUCACGGCAAAUGCGCUUUCUCUCCAACUGAGGCUCAGAAGGAUAUCCCAAGUGCUCCAGAAUUUGGCAUAGCAGCCUUGGAAAGAGGAGGGGAAUGCAAUCAGCCCUAUAAAGCUUCUUUCUGUGAACCUUCUCUUCGAAAUAGAGAAGGGCUGCCAGGAUCAGAUGAUGAGGCCCAAAGAAAAAUCCUUCUGACAUCUUGUACAGGGCUUCUAAGAGGACUCCCCUUCUUUGAGUCCAAUGCUGCAAUGGGUAGAGAUUAUGACGCAAAAAUGCAUCAAUGAGAAACAUGACUGGAGGAAUCUCCCCCCUCAACAGAUGUGAUCGAUUUGCAGCUCCUCUGGAAAUGGUGCGCACCAUCUCCAGCUCAGUAAGAUUGGUCCAAGCUCUAAAAUUAUCGAAUUGGGUUGGCUCAUAGGGAAUUUGCAAGGCUUCAUCUAUAUGGCGUGCUCCCAAUAUGCCAUGCCUCCCAUCGAUAGUGAAAUGAAUUAAAGUUGGAUCCCUGACCUGGUUGGUUGUCAUGGAUUGAUAGAAAUCCAUGGCUAUCCGAGGGUAGAAAAAGUCUCUCGGAGUCAGCAAGUGCUCCAUGUGGUACCUUCUCAGCAGGUUGAAUGACUGUGUAAGCUCUGGCCUCACUUCGAAUGCCGCUAUGUCGAAGCACAGCUCGGAAUGGAAUGGCCGAGCUCUACAAUCCAAAUUUCCCUCAAUUGGGGGCUGAGUUAGCAUUGGCCUCCUGAUUACUUCUUCCGGAGCUAUUUCAGCUGGAAUUUGGGGCUCGGGAAGUGGCACUUGAGGCUCCUGAGAUUUUUCUUGCGGCGCCGGAGAUGGCACCGGCGAAUGAACUGGCGAAGAUACCGAAGAAGAUACUGGAGAGGAAACUGGUGAUGAUAUCGGAGAUGGAACCGGCGACUGCUCUAGUGACUGGUCAGUCAAAUCGAUGGGCUCUGAGCUCUCAACCCUUGGUCUCUUUUGCAAUGGCCGACCUCCUGACCUGGUUAGGUAACGUCUCACCGGCGGCUUUGGCGGCGCGGGCUUCACCGGAGGAGGAAUUGGUCUUAACUGCGAAGGCUCAGGAGCAGGAUCUGGAACUGGCUCCUUUCGCAGGCUUUUCUUGCGGCUCGAAGGAGAUGAAGACUUAGCCCCUCUUGUUCGCGCCAUUUUGGGUUACCGAAAUUUGGCCGGAGCUUCUGAUCGGAGAAGAUGACCGGAGACUUGCACGGUGAGGCUCAAGGAAGAAGAUGAACAGCCUGCGAGAAUGGCGCGAUCUGAUUUUGAAACCUUUUUCGCAGCUCAAAUGACCGGUAUAAAUAGGAAAAACGAAAGACUAGGGUCAGUUUGAGUUUCGCAGCAAAACGCCAAUUUCGCAGCAAAAUGCCAUUUUCGCAGCAACUUCGCAAUGCAUUUCGCAGCUGCGAAAUUAAUGGUACUGUGCUGCGGAAUGGGACUUUUGUUGCGAAAUCAGGCUUUUCCUCUUCGCAAUGCGUUUCGCAGCUGCGAAAUGAGGGUUCCUGUGUUGCGAAGUGGCACUCGUGUGCCAUACGCACUUUCGCAAUUGCGAAAAUUCUCGCAGAGAACUCCAAAGUGUUGCGGAAUGGUUUGGCAACAAAAUGCUCAUUUCGCAGAAGUUUUCUUCAGCCUGGGAAAUUUCACAGAGCUCUGUUUUUCCUCUGUUUUUACUCUGUUUUUGCUCCGAUUUCGAUCCGAUUUUUUUCUUUCAAUUUCCUUGAAAUUUCUUCCACGUGGGAUCAUUUAAAAAGAUUAAAACACACCUAAAAACAUGAUUUAAGAUCAAAAACUAAGAUCAAAUGUAUGGAAAAAACUUGAAAAUUUACAAAAUUUACAAAAAUUUUGGACUGUGGUAAAACCACGUCUAGCAAACCCUUCUUUGCUUAGGCUUUUUGAGGCUCAAGGAGGUUGAUUGCCUCCUUUUCUGGUUUGAAUGGCUCCAUGAAUGGCUUGAGACGAUAUCCAUUGACUCUAAAGCUGUCCUUGCCAUUGGAAUUCAAUAAUUCCACAACUCCAUUGGGAUAUACUCGAUGAAUAAUGAACGGGCCUAUCCACCUUGACUUGAGCUUCCCAGGAAAGAUAUGGAGUCUUGUAUCAUACAAUAAAACUCUUUGCCCUUCCUGAAAUUCCUUGUUGGAGAUGAGUUGGUCAUGCCACUUCUUCAUCCUCUGUUUUGCAACUUUAGAAUUGAUAUAAGCAUUAUUUCUUAAUUCCUCCAUCUCAUUAAGGUCUAGAUAUCUCUUUUCUCCUGCCUUGAUCAAGUCCAUGUUCAGCUUCUUUAUUGCCCACCAAGCUUUGUAUUCAACUUCCACAGGGAGAUGGCAUGCUUUGCCAUAGACAAGACGAUAUGGAGACAUCCCAAGAAUAGUCUUAUAAGCUGUUCUAUAUGCCCACAAUGAAUCAUGAAGCCUAAUAGACCAAUCCUUUCUGUUGGAAUUCACCACUUUCAUCAAUAUGUUCUUUAUUUCCCUGUUAGCUAGCUCAACUUGCCCGGAAGUCUGAGGAUGAUAAGGUGUAGCCACCUUAUGCUUCACUCUAUACUUGGAUANNNNNNNNNNNNNNNNNNNNNNNNNNNNNNNNNNNNNNNNNNNNNNNNNNNNNNNNNNNNNNNNNNNNNNNNNNNNNNNNNNNNNNNNNNNNNNNNNNNNUUAAUUCCUCCAUCUCAUUAAGGUCUAGAUAUCUCUUUUCUCCUGCCUUGAUCAAGUCCAUGUUCAGCUUCUUUAUUGCCCACCAAGCUUUGUAUUCAACUUCCACAGGGAGAUGGCAUGCUUUGCCAUAGACAAGACGAUAUGGAGACAUCCCAAGAAUAGUCUUAUAAGCUGUUCUAUAUGCCCACAAUGAAUCAUGAAGCCUAAUAGACCAAUCCUUUCUGUUGGAAUUCACCACUUUCAUCAAUAUGUUCUUUAUUUCCCUGUUAGCUAGCUCAACUUGCCCGGAAGUCUGAGGAUGAUAAGGUGUAGCCACCUUAUGCUUCACUCUAUACUUGGAUAACAAAGCUUCAAAAGGUUUGUUGCAAAAAUGAGCACCUCCAUCACUGAUUAUGGCUUUGGGCACCCCAAAUCUUGAGAAAAUGUUCUCUUUAAGAAACUUGAGAACCACCCUGUGAUCAUUUUGUUUACAGGGGAUUGCCUCAACCCACUUAGAAACAUAAUCUACCCCCACCAAAAUGUAAGAACUACCAAAAGACAUUGGGAAAGGUCUCAUGAAGUCAAUGCCCCAUACAUCAAAUAACUCAACUAUUAGAAUGGGGUUCAUAGGCAUUUGAUUUCUUUUUGUUAGCUUUCGAAGCCUUUGGCAUCUAUCACAACUCCUACACAUGAUGUGGGCAUCUUUGAAAAGAGAUGGCCAAGUAAACCCUGAUUGCAAUACCUUCAUGGCUGUUUUUUGAGAGGCUAAAUGGCCUCCACAUGCAUUCUCAUGACAAUGAGAUAGAAUCCCUUGCUGCUCAUCUUCAGGGACACACUUCCUCAUGAUCUGAUCUGCACAAUACUUAAAAAGAAAGGGCUCUUCCCAAUAAUAAGCAUGAAUUUUGGCAAAGAAGUGCUUCUUGUCCUGUGCAUUCCACUCACUUGGAAUUUCACCAGUUACUAAAUAAUUAGCAAUAUGAGCAUACCAAGGAGUUUUCACUAGGAACAUGAGUGAUUCUUCAGGAAAAUCAUCAUUAAUAGGCAAGGGAUGGGAAUUAUGUGCUAUAACUAACCUUGAAAGGUGGUCAGCUACCACAUUCUCCACUCCUUUCUUAUCUUUGAUUUGGAGAUCGAAUUCUUGUAACAAAAGAAUCCAUCUAAUCAACCUUGCUUUUGCAUCUUGCUUUGUCAAUAAAUACUUCAAGGCUGAAUGGUCAGUAAAGACAAUGAUGAAAGACCCCACUAAAUAAGCACGAAAUUUGUCCAAAGCAAAUACCACAGCAAACAAUUCUUUCUCUGUAGUUGUGUAGUUCCUUUGAGCUUCAUUUAGUGUUUUACUUGCAUAGUAAAUCACAUAGGGCUUCCCAUCUUCUCUUUGGCCAAGCACAGCUCCUAUAGCAAAGUCACUGGCAUCACACAUCAGUUCAAAAGGUAAUUGCCAGUUAGGGGCUCUCACUAUUGGAGUUGUUGUUAAAAAUUUCUUCAGUUGAUCAAAGCUAUUCUGACACCUUUCAUCCCAUAUAAACUUAGCAUCCUUAGCUAACAGCUCACAAAGAGGUUUUGAAAGACUUGAAAAACCUUUUAUAAACCGCCUAUAGAAACCUGCAUGGCCAAGGAACUGCCUUACUCCUUUUACAGUUGUUGGGGAUGGUAAUUUGACAAUAAGCUCCACCUUUGCUUUAUCAACUUCAAUGCCUUUUUCAGAAAUGUUAUGGCCAAGGACAAUUCCUUGACGUACCAUAAAAUGGCAUUUCUCCCAGUUGAGCACCAGGUCUUUUUCAAUGCAUCUGUGAAGAACUGCUUCCAAAUUAACUAAGCAUUCCUCAAAUGUACCUCCAUAUACGGUGAUGUCAUCCAUGAAAACCUCCAUAAUUCGCUCCACCAUAUCACUGAAAAUACUCAACAUACAUCUUUGAAAUGUAGCAGGUGCAUUGCAUAAACCAAAAGGCAUUCUCCUGUAAGCAUAUGUUCCAAAUGGACAUGUAAAAGUAGUCUUUUCCUGAUUUGCCAAAUCAAUUUCAAUCUGAAAAAUACCCUGAAUACCCAUCCAAGAAACAAUAGAAUGGAUGUCCAGAGACUCUCUCCAGCACUUGGUCAAUAAAUGGUAAUGGAAAAUGAUCUUUCCUGGUUACAGCAUUCAUCUUUCUAUAAUCAAUACACACCCUCCAACCUGAAGUGAGGCGUGUAGUAAUUUCUUCCCCUUUUUCAUUCUGAAUCACUGUGAUCCCUGACUUCUUAGGUACCACUUGAGUAGGACUCACCCAAGGGCUAUCAGAUAUAGGGUAGAUGAUUCCUGCUUGAAGUAGCUUCAGCACCUCAGCUCGCACCACCUCUUGUAGAUGAGGAUUCAACCUUCUUUGAAAUUGACGAAAUGGCUUUGCUUCCUCCUCCAUAUAUAUAUGAUGAGUACAAACUAAAGGACUAAUGCCUUUCAAGUCAGAUAUUUGCCAUCCUAUUGCCUUCUUUCACCUCUUGAAAACUUCCAUUAAACAAUUCUCUUGAUAAUUGGUCAGAGAUGAAGAUAUCACAACAGGACAUUGCUUAUUUUCUUCAAUAAAUGUAUAUUUCAGCUCCACAGGUAAAGGCUUCAGAUUGAGUUUUGGAAUUUCUUUUUCAACAGCUGCCUCCUCUUCUUUAUUGAACAAAGGUAGAAUCUCUUCUAUCUUUCUCCAACUUUGUAGAGUAGCAAACACAUUAGGAGAUUCAGACAAACCUUCUUCAAAAUCCACAAGACUUUCAUUCAACUUGUCUUGCAUAUUUUGAUUACAGUGUUCCUCCACCAGAGUGUCAAUAAUGCAUAGCUCUUUUGGACCUUCUUCUUCUUCCAGAGUGAUUUGCUUUUUAGAAAUAUAGAAAAUAUUGAGAUCCAGUGUCAUGUUACCAAAAGUAAGUUGCAUAAGUCCAUUCCUGCAGUUGAUGAUUGCAUUUGAAGUAGCAAGAAAUGGCCUUCCAAGGAUGAUAGGAACUAAAUUAGCUUCCUUUACAGUAGGAUCUGUAUCAAGAACAAUAAAAUCUACUGGAUAGUAGAAAUUAUCCACUUGAACCAAUACAUCCUCAAUUACCCCUCUUGGAAUUUUCACUGAUCUAUCUGCCAGAGAUAGAGUGAUUGCUGUUGGCUUUAACUCUCCAAGUCCUAAUUGCUUGUAGACGGAAUAUGGAAGCAAAUUCACACUUGCUCCCAAAUCUAGCAAUGUUUUUUCUACUAUCUUUCCUCCAAUCAUAACUGAAAUGGUAGGACUUCCCGGGUCUUUGUACUUCAAAGGAGACUUACAUUGUAAGAUUGCACUUACUUGCUCAGUUAAGAAGGCUUUCUUGUUUACAGUCAACCCUCUUUUGAUAGUACAUAAGUCCUUUAGGAAUUUUGCAUACGUUGGAACUUGUUUAAUCAUAUCCAACAGUGGGAUAUUAACUUUCACUUGCCUCAAUACUUCAAGGAUUUCAGCUGCAUUUCUAAUCCCCUUUUUCUCAUGUAAUGCUUGAGGAAAAGGUGGAGAAGUUGAUUUCUUCAGUAUUUCUUCCUUCAGAAGCUCCUUCUCUGGAAUUGCUUUCAUUGUUGAAUCAGAGUCCUUUUCUUCACUGAUCUCACUCUCUUUAUCUUCCAUUUUCUUCCCUUUCUUUAUCUCUUCCUCUUUCUCAACAUGUGGCUCGGGUGUUGGCUUCUCAAUUUUUUUACCACUCCUUAGAGUGAUCAAGGCUUUAACAUCUUUCACCUGUGAUGAUUCUCCCUCUUGGCUUUCCACUUCAUGGACACCUUUGGGAUUUUGGUGAGGUUGAGAAGGAAAUCUUCCCUUUUCUUGCAGUGUAUUCAAAUUUGUAAGCCUUGAUAUUGAAUACUGGAUGUUAUCAAACUUUUGGUUCAUAUCAUUUUUCAUUCCAUCCAUCCUUUUAUUCAACAUACUCUCUACUCUAUCAAUUCUUUGAUUGACUUGAGCAUUGGUGGUUUCUUGGUUUCCAACAAAAUCUCCCACUACCUUGCUGAGAUUAGCUAUUGCUUGUUUAAGACUUGAAGAUUGUUGAGAUGGUGGAUCCAGCUAUUGGUACUAAGUUGCUCUGGCCUUCCAUGAGAAAUUUGGAUGAUUCCUCCAACUUGAGUUGUAGGUAUUUCCAUAAGGCGCAUUGUUAUUGGGCUUGAAUUGUCCAACAACAUUUGCUUGAUCUCUAAACAUUUCCCUUUCAGCUAAAAUUGCAGGGCAUUCCUCCACCAAAUGUUCAUAUGAUUGACAAUUGGGACACAGCUUCACUUGCACUAGUGCUUCAGCAACAACUUGCACUUCAUGUAUUCUUUUCAGCUCCAGCUCCUCCAAUCUUCUUGUCAUAGCUGCCAACUUUGCUUUCAUAUCAUCAUCUUCUUUCAAGGUAUACAUCCCAGCCUUUGCAUUGAAAGCAUUCAGCUGAGACUUCAUCUUUCCCACUUCUCCUUUAGUUGGUUCAUCCCAUCCCCUUGAAACUUCAACCACAUAACUCAAAAAAUCCAUAGCUUCCUCUGGAUUUUUGCUCAUGAAAUCUCCUCCACACAUUGUCUCGAGGAUUUACUUCAUUGAGGAGGACAUACCAUCAUAGAAAUAACUCACCAGUAGCCAAGUAUCAAAGCCAUGGUGAGGACAAGCAUUUAUAGCUUCCAUGUAUCUUUCCCAACACUCAUAGAAUUUCUCAUUCUCUUUAGCUGAGAAAUUUGAAAUCUGCCUUUUCAAGCCAUUUGUUCUAUGAGUGGGAAAAAAUUUCUUGAGGAAUUCAGCUUGUAAGUCAGUCCAAGAACGGAUACUCCUUGGCCUUAAAGAAUUAAGCCAAAUUUUGGCCUUAUCCUUUAAAGUAAAAGGAAAUAACUUAAGCCUCAUCAAAUCAAUUGAAGCUCCUCCCUCUUGGAAUGUAUUACAAACAUCUUCAAAUUCCUUGAUGUGUGCAUACGGAUUCUCACUUUCCAUCCCAUGGAAAGUUGGUAGAAGUGGAACAAGAUACGGUCUGAUCACUAGCUGCUCUGUAGGGGGCACUAUACAUGAUGGUGCACUCAUACGAGGUGGAUGCAUAUGAUCCCUCAUUGAUCUGAAUUCAUUGAGAUUAUCUUGACGACCUUGGUGACUAUGCUGAUCUUCAAGUGUAGCUUCCAUGAUAUUCAAGCUCAAUUCAAAUUCUUCUUUCUGAGGCAUACACAACUAGUAUCUAUCUACAACUUAAAUGAAAAUAAAGGACAACAAAAGAAACAGGGCUACAACAACAAAAUUAAAAUAGGCUAAAUUUAAAAGAUAAACUUAGAUUAUGAAUAAAUAAAGAAAGAAUGAGAAUUAGUAAAGUGAAAGAAACGUUACCAACUUGUGAUGAAAAUCACAAGUGCUCAAAAAUGGUAUCACUAUAAACUUGACAUUGUCCCCGGCAACGGCGCCAUUUGAUUCAUGCCCAAUUGGUGUCUCAGCUGAUUCGUGUUCAGCUGGUGCUCCUUGAUUGAGGGAGUAAUCAACAAAAUUUAUAACCUAUAACACCAUACACUAGGGUAGCAAAGAAAAAGCUACUAUAGUAUAGUGGCUCUAGGAUCGUCCACUGGGAAAGAUUAACAAGCUAUCAAUGAUACCAAUUCCAAGUGCAUUGGUCUUGUUUCAUUUCAAGGUUAGCUUAAGAAAUAAAACACAAACUUUGAUUGGUAAAGGUUUAGACUUAAACUAACUAACACAAUAAGUAAUAGGAAUAACUUAGGAAGAAAAACAUUCCUUGGAGAGUUAGGUUCACUGGGGUGGUUCCUCAUGCAAAAGACAUAGCUCCGGUCAGAUGGUUCAUUUCCUCGCGUUAGAGAUUCAACAUAUAGUCAAUUCUCUAACCAGUGUUGUACAGAUACAUCCUUCAAUUAGAUUUCACUUUAAUUCUCUCACUGAUGCACCUUGCAAUGGUUUAAGCCUCUCACUAAGCCUUAACCAUUCAAGGUGAUCUUUAACCUUGGAUUACCCGUCAAAAGCUCGCAAGAGAUAACUAAUGGAUGUCUCCUUGGAGUCCAAAAGCUUACCAAGUGUUGGCUAUUCUAGAAAAUCCUACCCUAAAGUCACCUCCCAGAGGCUCGCAAGGGGUAAACUAGUGCAUUUCCAUGGUUGGAAAUCACUUGCCUUACCAAGUGUUGGCCCAGGUGACUCCAAGGUGUUUUAAGUUAACUAAAAACAUAGAAAUCACUAAAGGAUUUCACUUCCUCUUCAUUAUUAGCUAAAACCACAAAGCUUUGCAUUCUUGCACUUGGAACCUUCCCCAGCAACCUUAGCUCCAAGGAAUUAGAGGUUUAGUUACUCAUUCUCUGGGGAAAACUCCUCAGAGAGUUCAUAACUUAGUAAUAAAUAAAAAAUACAAAGUGAAAAGGUAAGGCAAUACAAAGAACUGAACUUUACUUGCUUACCCAAAACUUUACAAAAGGAUCUCCUCCCUGAGAACAGGCUCCCGAGAGGUAUAUAUAUAAACAUAAUAUAAAACUAAUUAUUACAUAGAUAUUUUCUCUUUUUACUAACUUAAAAGCUAAGGAAUCUUGUAAUUGGUGGCUUACAAGGAGUAUUUUGGGAUUUAGACAACAAAAAUCUGAUGUAAAAUAUCUCCCAAUGUCGGUAGCAAAUAUCGGGAUGCUCCAGGAACCAUUUCGCAAGAGAAAAUGGCGUCUGCGAGAUUUCGCAGACACUCAAGAGGGCUGCGAAAUCAUUUCGCAACAACAUGCUAUCUUCGCAGGGCUGCGAAGUUGGCUUCCACCUUGAGGUUCCCAGCUUCCCUCUCGCGGUAUAUGUCGGGCAACUUCAGAAGGAAAUACACCCUACUGUACAAAAAGGUUGCGGAAUCACUUUGCAACAAAAGGGUGAUUUCGCAGCACUUUGCAAAAUGCUUCCUUCAGCUCGGAGUGAUUGGCUUGCAAUGGCUGUAACUUCUUCGUUUCAACUCCGAAUUGUGCACCGUUUAAAGCAUUGGAUUGUUGACUUCCUGAGCUUUGAAAUGGUAUAUAGACUGAUCAAUUGGACUUCAGAAAGUGCUCCAAAAGUAGCUGCUACGACUGUCAUCAAGAAUAUGCUUCAUGGCAGAUUCUCUUUACUUUUUCUCCUUGCAAUCCGGGUUUACUCUUGGCAAAUGACUUCUAAGCUUUGCCCAAGAUUUCUCAUAACUCUCCUCAGUCUUGACUUGCUUUGGUGAUCAAAUUACUAACAAAAACACCAAAACUUACACAAAGUGAUUAAAAUUGCUUUAAAGGAUCCUUAACAUGCCAAUUGAGUUAAAAGGCCUAAACUACUACUCAAAAAUGUUUAAAAGGAUUAAUUAUAGGCUAUCAAAUAGCACUUUUUGAGUAGUAAUCAGACAUAUUGCUAGUCCCUUAGCAAUGAAGGAGAGAAAAUAGAAAUAAACAGUACUAUAAUUUACAACAUCAUACUGAUAAAAAAACAAUUUUCAAGUGGCAUGAUGAUCUAACUCUCACAUGGAACAUUAAAGAAAUAAAACUCAAACUUCAACAAGAGUUAUCAAAUAACUUGUGUAAUCGCAAUUCUUAAAGAGAAGGCAUUAUGCAAAUUUAAGCUUUAAAAGAGUUUCCACUCCCAAAGGGUCAAACCUUACUCUUCCAUAAAAAUCUAAGUGUUAUUUAUCAGCUUCCGAAUAUAGUAUGUUGAACUAAUCUCUCCCCCAAACCUAGUUCUUUUUCAAAGCUUAGCAAACUAAUCAACCUCCAAUAGGCUAAGAACGCACCUCUUUUCUCAAAAAAAAAAAUUCAUUGUAGGAGUGUAAGGCUAAAGGUAUUCUUUUCUAAAUUGUCCAUGUAACGGGGGUCCAUCAAUGACUCCCAACCAAUUAAGGUUUAGGGCAUCAAGCUUUAAGGAUCUUUCAACCACUAACUCCUCGGAUUUUACCCCGGACUUUUAAGAAUGAAUUUUAGUACCCAAGCACCUACAGUAUGUUAAACUCCACCUAUUCACCCUUGUAACGAGCAUUGAGGUCGGUGACUUCCAACCAAUAAAGGCUUAGGGCACCAGGUUUUAAAGAUUUUCACCAUAUACCCCUCAGACCUUGCUCGAGUUUCAAGGCAAGCAAACAUUUUUCUUUCUUUCUUUUUUUUUUUUCAUCAAAGGCUCAUUGGCCUUUUAUAAGGUGUCCCAACACUAUUAAAAUGAGGUCAAAGGUACCAAGUCUAAAAUUUUCCUAAGUCAAGAGGGAAAUAGUUUUUCAUCUUAUAAUCGGAACCUAUUGUGCACAGUGUGUGAAUAGCUCAAAGUUGAAGAACUAAGGUUGAAUUCAAUAGAAGUUUCAAAAAUUCAUCAAUUUUAGUAAGAAUAAUACAAACUCUAAGUCAAGUGAAAAGACAAAAAUUCAAUUUCUCCUAUUUCAAUUUGAAAAUUUUUCCUUAAUAAUCAUGGAGAAUAGAAUAAAAAACUUUAAAAAAUUUUAAAUUUAAGCAAAAAGCAACUAAAUUGCCUAAAUAACUUAGCAUUAAUAACAAAAACUUCCUUCCUCAACUCUCCCCCCAACCAAGCUGAACAUUGUCCUCAAUGUGAUAAAAGCGAUUGAAAAAUAGGGAGGAAGUGGUACUUCCUGAGUGACGUGGAGUGAUGCUGUGGAAAUGAUGGCUCAGCUGACUCUCCUGUAGGAGGCUCUUGAUGAGGCAUAGGCUGAUUAACAAAAGGAGGGGCCUAUGAUGGCUCUAAUGAGCUGGGAAUGGCAUCAGCUCGGAACAGCUUCUUUCUGUUUUCUUGCAAUUCCUCUUGAUUUUAAUCAUUCAAAAAAUUAAGUUACAAUUAACAUAAUUUAAGACCAAAAUUACAAUCAAAUAAUUUACUAAACUUAAAAAUUAACAUAUUCAACAAAAUUAUGGACUUUGGUGAAACCAAGUCCAUCUAACCCUUCUCUGAUCAGGCUUUUUGUGGAUCAAGGAGGUUGAUCUCCUCCUUUUCUGGCUUGAACGGCUCAAAGAAUGACUUGAGGCGAUGACCAUUGACUCUAAAGGUGUCUAUGCCAUUGGAAUUUAGUAAUUCCACCACUCCAUUGAGAUGUACUUGGUGAAUAAUGAAAGGACCUAUCCACCUUGACUUGAGCUUACCUGGAAAGAUAUGGAGCCUUGAGUCAUAGAGUAGGACUCUUUGUCCUUUCCACAAUUCUUUGUUGGAGAUUAGUUGAUCAUGCCACUUCUUCAUCCUCUAUUUUGCAACAUUGGAAUUGAUGUAAGAAUCAUUUCUUAAUUCCUCCAUCUCAUUAAGGUCUAAGCACCUCUUUGCCCCAGCUCUGAUCAAGUCCAUGUUCAACCUCUUGAUUGCCCACCAAGCCUUAUAUUCAACUUCCACAGGGAGGUGGCAUGCUUUGCCAUAGACGAGACGAUAGGGGGACAUGCCAAGAAUAGUCUUAUAAGCUGUUUUAUAUGCCCAUAAUGAAUCAUGUAGCUUAAUAGACCAAUCUUUUCUGCUUGUAAUCACCACUUUCAUCAGUAUGUUCUUUAUUUCCCUGUUUGCUAGCUCCACUUGCCCGGAAGUUUGAGGAUGAUAAGGUGUAGCUACCUUAUGUUUCACUCCAUACUUGGCUAAUAGGGUUUCAAAAGGUUUGUUGCAAAAAUGAGUUCUUCCAUCACUGAUUAUGGCCUUGGGCACGCCAAAUCUUGAAAAGAUGUUCUCCUUAAGAAAUUUGAGAACCACCCUGUGAUCAUUAUGUUUAUAGGGGAUUGCCUCCACCCAUUUGGAAACAUAGUCCACCCCCACCAAUAUAUAAGAGUUACCAAAGGACAUUGGGAAAUGUCCCAUGAAGUCAAUACCCCAAACAUAAAAAAGAUCAACUAUAAGGAUGGGGUUCAUGGGCAUUUGGUUUCUUUUUGUAAGCUUCCCGAGUCUUUGGCAUCUAUCAUAACUCCUACACAUGAUGUGGGAAUCUUUGAAAAGCGAUGGCCAAGUAAACCCUGAUUGCAAGACCUUCAUGGCUGUUUUCUGAGAGGCAAAGUGGCCUCCACAGGCAUUCUCAUGGCAAUGGCUGAGGAUCCCUUGUUGCUCUUCUUUAGGGACACACUUCCUUAUGAUCUGAUCUGCACAAUACUUGAAAAGGAAGGGCUCUUCCCAAUAAUAAGCAUGAAUCUUUGCAAAGAAGUGCUUCUUGUCUUGCGCUCUCCACUCUCUUGGAACUUCACCAGUAGCCAAAUAGUUAGCAAUAUGAGCAUACCAAGGAGCUUUCUCUAGCAACAUAAGUGAUUCCUCGGGAAAGUCAUCAUUAAUAGGUAAUACAUGGGAAUUAUGUGCUAUAGCCAACCUUGAAAAGUGGUCAGCUACCACAUUCUCCACCCCUUUCUUGUCUCUGAUUUGGACAUCAAACUCUUGUAACAAAAGAAUCCAUCUAAUCAACCUUGCUUUUGCAUCUUGCUUCGUCAAUAAAUACUUCAAGGCUGAAUGGUCAGUGAAAACAAUGAUGAAAGACCCUACCAAAUAAGCACGAAACUUGUCUAAAGCAAACACCACAGCUAACAAUUCUUUCUCUAUAGUUGUGUAGUUUCUUUGAGCCUCGUUCAAUGUUUUGCUUGCAUAGUAGAUCACAUAGGGCUUCCCAUCUUCUCUUUGGCCAAGUGUAGCUCCUAUAGCAAAGUCACUGGCAUCACACAUUACUUCAAAGGGUAAUUGCCAGUUAGGAGCCCUUACUAUUGGAGUAGUUGUCAAAAAUUGCUUCAAUUGAUCAAAACUCUUUUGACAUCUCUCAUCCCAAAAAAACUUAGCAUCCUUAGCUAAAAGUUCACAAAGAGGCCUUGAAAGCUUAGAGAAGUCUUGUAUAAAUCUCCUGUAGAACCCUGCAUGGCCAAGAAAUUGCCUUACUCCUUUUACAGUGGUUGGGGAUGGCAAUUUGGCAAUAAGUUCCACCUUUGCUUUAUCAACUUCAAUGCCUUUCUCGGAGAUGAUAUGGCCAAGGACAAUUCCUUGAUGUACCAUAAAAUGGCAUUUCUCCCAGUUGAGCACCAAGUCUUUUUCAAUGCAUCUUUUAAGAACCACUUCCAAAUUUACUAAGCAUUCUUCAAAUGUACCUCCAUAUAUGGUGAUAUCAUCCAUGAAGACCUCCAUAAUUCGCUCCACCAUAUCACUGAAGAUACUAAGCAUACAUCUUUGGAAUGUUGCAGGUGCAUUGCAUAAACCAAAAGGCAUUCUUUUGUAGGCGUAUGUUCCAAACGAACAUGUGAAAGUGGUCUUCUCCUGAUCUUCAACAUCUAUUUCAAUUUGGAAAUAACCUGAGUACCCGUCCAAGAAACAAUAGAAAGGAUGGCCAGAGACUCUCUCCAGCACCUGAUCAAUAAACAGGAGUGGAAAAUGAUAUUUCCUUGUCACAGCAUUCAAUUCCCUAUAGUCAAUACACACCCUCCAACCUGAAGUGAGGCGUGUAGCAAUUUCUUCUCCUUUUUCAUUCUGAACCACAGUAAUCCCUGACUUCUUUGGUACCACUUGAGUAGGACUCACCCAAGGGCUAUCAGAUAUGGGAUAAAUAAUACCAGCUUGGAGUAGCUUCAGUACCUCAGUUCGCACCACUUCUUAUAAAUGAGGAUUCAAUCUUCUUUGAGGUUGACGAAUUGGUUUAGCUUCUUCCUCCAUAUAUAUGUGAUGUGUACAAACCAAAGGAUUGAUUCCUUUCAAGUCAGAUAGUUGCCAUCCUAUUGCUUUCUUGUACCUCUUAAGAACUUCAAGUAGAGAAAUCUCCUGAUGACCAGUAAGAGAUGAAGAUAUAACAACAGGACAUUGGUUAUUUUCUUCCAGGUAUGUAUAUUUUAACUCCAUGGGCAGAGGUUUCAAAUUGAGCUUCGGGAAUUCUUCUGUUACAUCAUCUUGUCCCUCCUCUUUAUUGAAUAAAGGUAGAAUCUCUUCUUUCCUCCUCCAACCUUGUAGAGUAGCAAGGACAUCAGCGGGUUCAGACAAUCCUUUUUCAAGAUCCUCAAGACUUUCAUUCAACUCAUCUUGCAUAUUCUAAUCACAAUGCUCCUCCACUAGAGUGUCAAUAAUGCAUACCUCUUCUGGACCUUCUUCUUCUUCUAGAGUAAUUAGCUUCUUUGACAUAUGAAAGAUAUUAAGCUCAAGUGUCAUGUUGCCAAAAGUGAGUUGCAUAAGUCCAUUCCUACAAUUUAUGAUUGCAUUUGAAGUAGCAAUAAAUGGCCUUCCAAGGAUGAUAGGAACAUAAUUAGCUUCCUUAACUAAAGGAUCAGUAUCAAGAACAACAAAAUCUACUGGAUAGUAGAAAUUAUCAACUUGAACUAAAACAUCCUCAAUUAUCCCCCUUAGAAUUUUCACUGACCUAUCAGCUAAAGAUAGAGUGAUUGAUGUUGGCUUUAAUUCACCAAGUCCCAAUUGCUUAUAAAUAGAGUAUGGUAACAAAUUCACACUUGCUCCCAAAUCUAACAAAGCUUUUUCCACUACCUUUCCUCCAAUCAUAACUGAAAUGGUAGGACAUCCCAGAUCUUUGUACUUCAAAGGAGAUUUGCAUUGUAUGAUGGCACUCACUUGCUCAGUCAAGAAGGCUUUCUUAUUCACAUUCAACCCUCUUUUGAUAGUACACAGGUUCUUUAGGAACUUUGCAUAUGAUAGAACUUGCUUAAUCAUGUCCAGCAAUGGAAUGUUGACCUUCACUUGCCUCAAUACUUCAAGGAUUUCUGAUGCAUUUUUUAUCCCCUUUUUCCCAUGCAAAGAUUGAUGAAAAGGUGGAGAUGUGCAUUUCUUCAUCAAUUCUUCCUUAAUAAGUUCUUUCUCCGGAUUGACAUUCACUGUUGAAUCACGGUCCUCCUUCUCUUCACUGAUAUCUUUCUUCUUUCCUUUCAUUUCCUCUCUCUUCUUUGUCUCUUCUUCUUCCUUCUCUUCAUCAUAUAGCUUGGGUGUUGGUGACUCAACCUUUUUACUACUCCUUAGAGUGAUCAAGGCUUUAACAUCUCUCACCUGUGAAGAUUCUCCCUUAUGAGUUUCCACUUCGUGGGUACCCUUAGGGUUUUGGUGAGGUUGAGAAGGAAAUCUACCCUUCUCUUGCACUAUGUUCAAAUUAGUGAGCCUUGAGAUUGAGUAUUGGAGAUUAUCUAUCUUUUGAGAUAAGUCAUUUUGCAUCCCAUCCAUCCUUUUAUUCAAAGUAUUUUCUACACUGUCAAUUCUUUGACUGAGUUGAGAGUUGAUGGAUUUUUGGUCUCCAACAAAAUCUCUCACAACCUUGCUGAGAUUCACUAUUGCUUGUUCAAGACUUGAAGCUUGUUGGGAUGGUUGAGAUGGUUGAGCCGGCUUUUGGUACUAAGGUGCUCUUGGCUUCCAUGAAAAAUUUGGAUGAUUCCUCCAACUUGAGUUAUAAGUAUUUUCAUACGCAGCAUUGCUAUUAGGCUUGAAUUGUCCAAUGACAUUUGCUUGUUCUCCAAACAUUUCUCUAGCAACUGGAAUUGUAGGGCACUCCUCCACCAAGUGUUCAUAAGAUUGACAAAUAGAACAUGGCUUUACUUGCACUGGUGUUUCAGCAACAGCUUGCACUUCAUGCAUUUUUUUCAGUUCUAGCUCCUCCACUCUUCUUGUCAUAGUUGAAAAUUUUGCUUUCAUAUCAACAUCUUCAUUCAAGGUGUACAUCCCAGCCUUAGCAUGAAGAGUAUUUGGUUGAGACUUCAUCUUUCCCACUUCUCCUCUUUGCGGUUCAUCCCAUCCCCUUGAGACUUCAGCUACAUAACUCAAGAAAUCCAUAGCUUCCUCAGGAUUCUUACUCAUGAAAUCCCCUCCACACAUUGUUUCGAGGAGUUGCUUCAUCGAGGAAGACAUCCCAUCAUAGAAAUAACUCACCAACAGCCAUGUAUCAAAGCCAUGGUGAGGACAAGCAUUAAUGGCUUCCAUGUAUCUUUCCCAACACUCAUAGAAUUUCUCAUUCUCUUUAGCUGAGAAGUUUGAAAUUUUCCUUUUCAAGCCAUUUGUUCUGUGAGUGGGAAAGAACUUCUUGAGGAAUUCAGCUUGUAAAUCAGUCCAAGAACAGAUACUCCUUGGCCUUAAAGAAUUAAGCCAAAUCUUGGCCUUAUCCUUUAAAGUAAAAGGAAAUAGUUUAAGCCUCAUCAGGUCGAUAGAAGCUCCUCCCUCUCAGAAUGUAUUACAAACAUCUUCAAAUUCCUUGAUAUGGGCAUAGGGAUUCUCACUUUCCAUUCCAUGGAAAGUUGGCAGAAGUGGCACAAUAUGGGGUCUAAUCACUAGCUACUCUGUAGGGGGCACUAUACAUGAUGGUGCACUCAUACGAGGUGGAUACAUGCAGUCCCUCAUUGAUUUGAAUUCAUUGGGAUUGUCCUGAUGACCAUGGUGACUAUGCCGAUCCUCAUGUGUAGUUUCCAUGAUGUUCAAGCUCAAUUCCAACUCCUUGUUAUGAGGUGUUUCAAGUUUAACAAGCCUUCCUCCACUAUCUCGUAUCCACUUUGGCAUACACAGCUAGUAUCAAAUAUGCACUUAGAGAACAAGAGGAAAGAUUACCAAAAUUUCUAAAAAGUGAAUUAAGCACAAGCAAUUAACUUCAUAGAUAUUAUGUUUUCCUACGCUGUCCAAUUGGACAAUUCAAGCAUCAUUUGCAAAAAAAAAAAAAAAAUCUAUAUCACACGCUAGACAAUUUAAAAGUUGUCAACUUGAAAGUGGCCUAGAUAAAACCUUUUUCAUCUUUGACAACUUAAAUGUCUUUAGUAUGUAAUAAGAGAAACUUUUAUCUUACAAUGAUACUUGACUUGGAACUCUAAGGUUUUAUGCAUGCAUGUUUGAUUAAAAUUAAAACACAAUUACUUAUUGAAUAGUCUGAUAAUUAUAAAACACCUAAAGAUGUUCCAUAAUUAUUGGUAUAUUUCAUGUUAUCCAUUACCCAUUAAACAAGAUUAUUAUAAGAAAGUAUAUGUAUGGCCCAUGAUUUCCAAAUCAAGUCUCACCAGGCUAUGUCAUAGCCUUGGGUCAAAUUUUGGGCCUUGGUAUCAAACUAAGCUGGGGAAUAACUUGUAGAAUUCAGGUACUCAAUAAGAUUUAAACAAAAUAUAAAAUAAUGCCUCCAUUAUAUUCUUGUAACCACCCAAAGUAAAAAUGACAUUAUAAAUAAAAUAUGUUGGCUUGUAUAAGGAAAAAUAGUGUACCUUCCUCAUUCUAUCUUUGUCUCAAGUCUUGCAUCACACACCUCUCGCAAUCCAAUGUAGGUCACUAUCCCUUAAAAGAUGUAUAUGCAAAACAAAUAAUAAAUAAAUAAAUAAAAUAAAAUUGAUUAGUAAAUAAUUCAUUUAAUAUUUAUGAUGUGUGGUUAUUAAAAAAAUAUUCUUAUUUUAAUAUUUUGUGAUUACAACUACACUAAAAUUGAUGUAGCAAUAGCAAAUGGAGGGGUCAAAUGGACUUUUGUUUUACCGAAAUUCCUUUUUCUUGGUAAGACUUUCAAUGAAUUGAAGUUGAUAAUUUGGGUAACUAAAGUUUUUUUUUUUUUUGUUUUUUGAAUUCCAAUUUAUCUUAACAGUACAACAAACAUAAUUAAUAGCAUAAUCAAUAUAAUUAAUUGUAAAGAACCCUACUUUGGAGGCAUGAGGAAAGCUACUAUCGAAGAUAAUAAAGAAUUUUGACUGACUUUGGUCAAUAAAAUCAUAAUAUGGAUUAUCGUGCUUAAUAAAAAUAAUUAAUAUUCAAAAAGUUGAUUAAAAUUUAUGUAUGAAACAAUUAUUAAAAUAUAUUUGUAAAUAGGGAGAAAUCAUUAAAUAUGUAUACUAAAAAAUAAUUUAAUUUUAUGUUUUUGGUUUAAAGAUCAUACUUAUUUAGAAAAGUCAGUUUUUGAACCUGAAAUUUACUAAAUGAGAAUUCUAAGGGCCUAGGACCUCUCAUAAAAAAUGCUUAUAAAUUUUUGGAUGGGGAGACACGACAAGGUGACCAGAGUGGAGCUGUAUGGGGUUACAGGGGAUAUGGAUAUAACUAUCCAGAUAAUUAUAAUCACUCAACUAUCAUGGUUGAAAUAAUUCCUUUUUAUUUCUUCUUUCAAUUUUGAGAAACAAGGGAAGAUAACUGGAUAGAACACAUACUUUCUUUAAAGGAUUCAAAACAAACAAACAAACUUUCUGAUUACCAUGAGUUACCAAAAGCAAAUAGAAAUAUACAAAUGGCUGGGUUCAAGUAGGAUGUCAAUGAAAAAAUAAAAUAAAUCCAUUUUAUUUCAUCUUACAGUGUCAACGUAUUCCUUAUCCUUUUUUUUUUUUUUUUUUUUGCAUAAAAUUGCAUGAUGUUUUAUUUCAUCUUACAAUGUCAACCUAUUAUUUUUUUUCCCUUUUGUGCAUAACAUUGCAUGAUGAAGGCAAAAAAAGAACCCUUUGGAGAAGAAACCCUAUCGUCCUAAGUUGUUUUGAUGACUUCUUGAUGAUUAAUUAGAUGGUGCCAGUAAUCUAAUUCUUACUACCAAUUUAAUCGGCACAUCUCAGCAGAAUGUCUUAAUCCAUAUAGCUGGCUUUAAUUCAAUCUAUGUAAUAAAAAUGGCCAAUUAUUGUUCAUUGUUUUUCAAAAUGAUAUAAACUCUAUGUAAUCAUGCCAUGAAUUUUAAGCAUAUUUGUUCACAUGAUACUUGAGCUCAAGAAUUCCUGAAUGUUCAUAAUUCUUAAUUUUAGGUCACAGGUCAUGCCUUUGAUGCCCGAAUAUAUGCCGAAAAUGUUUCAAAAGGAUUUCUUCCAGUCACUGGAAUUCUUCAUCAUUAUCGUCCUGUCCCAGUCUCUUCAACAGGUUUAGUCACACGCCAAUUGCCAACUUAGUUAACUAUAGUGAAACAAUCAUCCCAUACCUUAUUCAACAAUACUUUAGUAAGAAGACAACUUUGCUAAAAUUGUUCCAAUAAGAUAAUUUUAACCAGCUUUCAAUUCGAUAUCCUUUUUGUUCAAUAGUCAAAUCCCUUGUGAAGUUCAAGAAUAUGUGGGAGAUAGGAUGGUUAUGAACAUCCUGUAGCCAUUUUUUAGGACUUCAUGAUUCCAUUACUUCAUUGUAUAACUUUGAUUUUUUUACUCAUGUUGAAUCUGUGACUUAGCAGUUUGGGUUGAAACUAGAGUUGAACAAGGAGACACUGUUAGCAUGCAUUAUGAUCCUAUGAUUGCUAAGCUUGUAGUAUGGGGAGAAAAUUGGGUUGUAGCAUUAGUUAAAAUGAAGGAUUGCUUAUCAAAAUUUCAGGUAUACCUAAACCUGGUUUCAUGUCUUCACCGCACUAUAAAAAGGGCUCAUAAUGUUUUGUUGGGAGCAUUACACAUUUAUCCUUGGCUCCUAUACCAUAAAUUGCAUAUGAUGGAUCCUUUAAUGGAUAUCUCUGGGACAUGAUCAACCUGGUGGGGUGAUCUUGAUAGUUUUUUUUUUUUUUUCUCAAAAUGUUUUUGAUAGUAGAGGAAAAAAGUGUGAUUUGUUAUUUGGAAUGAUGAUCUUGGUUUUAUAUGGUUCAGUUUGCUAAGUUUGAAUUGGAAGACAUCUUAGAUGGCCCAUUUGACAUGAUGCUUCAAGUGUAUGAAAGAUUAACCCUAUUUAGUAUGCUUGCAGUGGUCUCAUGGAUCACUCUGCUGGGCUGUGUGCAUGCAUGUAAAGUACAUGUGCUUCAAGUGUACGAAAGAUUAGCCUUGCUUGGUCUGCAUGUUUUUUUUUUUUUUUUUUUUUGAUAGAUAAAGGAGCAAAAAUAUUAAAAAAAAAAAAAAAAAAAAAGUUAUACAGGAGGAGCUCAAGGUAUACAGGACCCAUACGCCCACCACUAAAAAGACUCAAAUAGAGAAAGAUCUACAAAAUAAAAGGGACUACAACAUCUCAGCAAGGCCUCAACCAAUCAAUGAAACAUAAUGAUAUUGUGUUUUUUCAGGUUGCAGGUUUGCCAACCAAUAUCAAUUUCCUCCAAAAACUUGCUAAUCAUUAGGCAUUUGAAAAUGGAAAAGUUGAAACCCAUUUUAUUGAGCACUUUAAAGAUGACCGGUUUGUUGAUCCAAGUAAUUUAUUAUUAGCAAAUGAAGCUUAUGAUGCUACUAAAUGCAGUGCAGUUCCUAUAGCUGCAUGUGUUUGUGAAAAAGAACGUUGUAACUUGAAGGAAAGUCCUCCUGGUAAACUCUGAUUUGAAUAUUUUCAGGGUAUAUUUUCUAAAAUUUUUCUUAGUCUUUAUGACUGCUGAUAUGUGCAGGCAGCAAAAGCUCACUCUCAAUAUGGUAUACAUAUCCCCCUUUCAGAGUCCAUCAUAGUGCUAGGUGCACAAUGUAACUUGAGUGGGACAAUGAAUAUGAUAGCAGUAGCUCAAAGAUUUUGACACUUUCCAUCACUUUUCAGCCAGAUGAGAACUAUCUAAUAAAGGUACUUAAAGUGUGUGUUAAAUAAGGGUUCAAUGGCCAGUUAUUGUAUUUGACAUUUCCAAGUUUAAGGUUGCACCUAUUCUAAGUACCUUUCUAGUUUCUUCUUUUGUUACUGUCAUACAGACUAUCCUAAUCUUAAGUUUCUAAUCAAGUUAUAUAUGUGUUCAGACAGGAGAAGAAAAGUCCCUUGAUUGGGAAGUCAAAGUAGCACAUCUAGGCAAUUCUGAUUUCAGAGUUGAAGUUGAUGGUGUGAGCAGGGAUGUUUGUUUAGCCGUUUACUCCAAGGUAAGUUUUUUUCUUGUUUUCUUUUCUGGAGUAUUCAUAUUAUACUUUAAAGGCAUUCGUGACCACAAUUUCUUUCAUUUUUUUUGUCUAGCAUCCUAAUAGAGAUGCAUAAUGUUUUUCCUUUCUUUGUCUAUUAAGUGCUCCAUGCUUCCUUGACAAUAAUUCAAGGCUUGCAGCUACAUAGUUUGAACAUGAAGAACUUUGAUUUCUUGUUUGAAUAUAUGCAAGUCAAACAUUUUAACACCGCUUUGCGCCAAAAUGAAAAGAGGAAAGUAAAAAAUAGUAGAACAUGUCCAGCUACAAAUACUACCAUUCAUAAAACAUGUAGUGAUAGCAAUGGGACUGGUAAUCUAGGGUAUCUGCACCUCCUUGCAAUGCUUCUUUCUUCUCCAAGCUCAUGGGUUAGAAAUGGGUACUUGGUUUCUUAAACAAUGAUUCUAUGCAAGAUGGGGAGAUAACUUUUUUAGAGUAUUAAUCUCCUUGCCUUGGUCAUUUUGUAUUAUUUAAGGCAGAGAUGCACAAAGAGGCACUAUGUGAUGAAUAUAAUCCAUCAUUGAUUAAUCUUCUUCUUUAGCAUCUAACUUCCUCAUUUCACACUUUAUUACUUUUGAUCAAACAUUUGGUGUGGUUUCUUUUUCUCCUAUGGUUUUCACUAAUAUCUAGGAUGGGAUUGCCAAGUGUUAAGUUAACCUUAUACACAAAAUCUAUGCAUAUGGGCCUUUGCAUUCCCCAGCCUUCUCUUCCAUCUUCGAACCUGGUACUACAUUGGAAUUUCAAUCUUAAUCCUGUGGCUGAGUGGUAAUAGACAAGGUUCUUCUAAUGGGUUGGUACCAAGCGAUUCUUUUCCAUUCCCAAUCCGUCCAUUUGACCUCUAUCUGUGGGGGGCUUGAUGUAUGUUUGACAAUAUUAUUCUCAAAACCAUGUCAUAUUUUAGGCUGGCCAUUUUGAGUAUCACAAUAUUGAAAUUUCAAGAACUGAUGCAAUCACAGUUUGGUAAAGUAUUGCAGUCUAAGGCUGAGUAAAGAAUUCUGCCUCUCUCUCUCUCUCUCACUCUCACUCCUAUGUUUAUGUAAAAUCUUGUAACUUGGGCUGCCAGGAUCAGACUAAGCAUUCUAUAUAUGGCAUGGUUCACAUCAUCAUACUUUCAAACAAAGGGUUGGGCUUCAGUUGUUUGCUGAUGAUGAAGCGCAACACAAGCCCAGUUUUGAAUUAGGGUGGCCAUGGUCCUGGAGACACCAGAAUCCAGAAUUCUCCCAACCCAAGCAUUUUCUUGUGUUGGUCAUUAGAAAGACCAUAUCAUAAAACCAGGACUAAAUUGCCAGUGCCAUCUGACUUCAGUCCAACAAGGAAACUGAAAAUUCAAGUCUAGCCAUUUUAUAUAAUUUAGCUAUAUUAAUAUUGAAAUUCUUAUCAUUUUAUUUAUAUUAAUUCUAGUGGUCAGCUUUAAGUUGACCAUGCAGUUAAAUUUAAUCCCAACCUCUAGAUAAAUUAAGCACAUUCCAAGGUAGUUUAAGUCAUCUUCAUUGAUGGAAUUGUUUGAAGUCCUCACUAAAACGAUGGUCACCUUAACAUGCAAAAGUGCACAUGGGCUGAGAUUCAACUGAGGUUACGUUUGGCCAUAAACUUCCCGACCUGUCCCAUGAGUGACUAGGAAUACCCAACCAAGGCCAAAAUUAGGCUAAUUUUUAGGCCUAAGCCUAGACCACUUGUUAUCUAGAUAUAGACCAAGCCAAGACCAACAAAUAUCAUGAUAAAUUUUACUGGCAUCCCCAUCUCAGUAACCUAGGGGCAAUUAUUUUGGAAAAACAAAUAACACUAAGCGUUGAAAGUUUCAAACUUCUGAGAAUCCUCUUUGCUGAAUUUGUUUUGAGAAGGAAAUUUCACUGGACCUUCUUUCUCUCUUUCGUUUGCUUCAGUACAGGGAGUAUGAUUUUUAUGAAAGGCUCAAGAAUCUUACAAAAGUCAGUUUGUUAAUAGGAUUAGGAUUUCUAAUUUCUUAUAUUGUAUAUUGAUUUGUCAAACUUAAUUAGUAGCAAAAAUGAUAUACAAUAAAUACAAUCAAAUGUUCAAAAAGCCUUGGGUUCUUGCCUGCCUCUCACCCAGGGCAAGGGAAAGAGAAGGCCUGAGCAAAUUCCAAACUCUAGUGCAGAUGCAAAUUAAAGCCCAUGUCAAGCCUAAAUAAUAAACUUGACUUGGCAGACCAGAUCAUUUACCACCUAUAUUUUUAGGUUUAUAUAUGUCAUUUGAAAUAUAAUCGAAUAAAAAACAGCCUUCAUUUUCACUAGAAAUCUGUGAGAAGCAGUCAGAAAAACACUAAUCACCUUUUUCACUUCCAUUGUUCAAACUUAAAACUCUAAUAUGUUAAAUUUUUCCAUCAAACAACAACGGUCUAACAAGCUUAUUAGUAUCUAGUACAUUAUGAAAAAUACCCUAAUUGGUCCAAAACUAACAAAUUGGGAAGAAGAAAAAGGUAAAACUAAUUUCUUAUACUUCAUAAAUACAAAAGGAAGGAAGAAGGUAAAACUCAUUGUUGUAGUCACAAGAAGAAGAAGCAGCAGCAGAAGAAAAAGACAAAGAAAUAUAGACCAAUGACAUCCAGAUAACAUAUGAUUAAGCUGAGAUUCAAUUUCCAAACAAAACAAAAAAAAAAUUUUUAAAUAACAAACGAUUAAGCUUAGAUUAAAUUCCCAAAUUAAAAAGAAGCAAAUAAAACAACAGAAAUAAAAUCCAGAUAAUGUAUGAUUAAGCUUAGAUUCAGCUCCCAAAUUAAUAAGGAGAUAAAACAAAAAUAACAUCUAGAUAACCCAUGAUUAAGCUUAGAUCCAAUCCCAAAUUACCUUCACUGGUAGGUUUUCAUUGUUUAGAUUAGUCAAAUGGCGAGUUUUGUGGAAUGACAGUUCACAUAGCUGCAUCAGAAAUUGUGGUUAUCUUUCAAAUCAUAACAUAUGCAAUAUUCAAUUAUAGCAGUAAAAUAAGCCACAUAUCAAUUUUUUUCAUUAUAUGCCUUGUUAUAAAGACAUCCAAUUGCAAGGCCCAUCCCACUAGUUUUACAAGAAGCCAAAAAAUGAAAGUCCAACCAAUAAAAAAUAACAGGAAUAAGAAAAUGGAGGGUAUUUUAUUUCACAUUCUUAUAUUCACAAAUGAAUUGCCAGAUAUUGCUAAGUUUUUCUGGAAAACCAUAAACAUACACCAAGAGAGUAAGAAGUAGGACAAGAUUCUUCAAGCCAUGUGCAUUGAGGACAAAGAAAAAAAGAAGGCAUCAACCAAGAAAUAAAACAGAGGAGCAUACCCACCCUGCGCGCCCAAAAUCCCACCACUCCCCUAGCUAGAACCAACCUGAAGCCAAAACCUAUAAUGGAGUAUGUGAAUGUCUCCUAAAAACUAUCAAGGAAAUCAGUUUCCCUUUGACAAGAUUUUUUGCCUUCUGGAUCAGGGAAUCCAUCUAAAUUCCAACCCCAUGCUAUUCUACCUAUUUACAAUCUCUUUUUUCUUUCUCUUACCUUUUUCAUUUUUCAAUGAAAGAAAAUAAAAUUCAUUAAUAUUGAUGAAAGUACAAUGAAGGAUAAGAUAUUCUUCAAGAAAGAUAAAAGAUGAUAAAGCAGGAAGACUAAUUAAAAACACUAAGAAAGUAAUUAAGACAUCUAUGGAAAACCAAGGUGGCAAAGAACCCACAAAAAAUGUGUCAUCUUCCAAGGUGUAUGGAAGAUGCUUUACUAAGAAAAGGUAGAUCUUAAGUCCUUAUGGUGGAAGGAUUAAUGAGAUUUCAGAGACUGAAGUUCCUUUCCCACACAGAAAGGGGAACUUGUAUAAAUUCAAUACUUGGUUAGUUGGGAUGAUGAAGGAGAUAGGGUGUCAAAGAAGCACAUAAAUUGGAUAAUAAAGCUUACUGAUAGCGUAAAGAAAGGCUACAGAAGAAAUUCGAGAUAUCCUUCUAAUUUUAUUUUUUAUUUUUUUAAAAAAAACCACUAAAUAUAAACAAAAAAUAGAGUAGAAUACAACAAUUGGUUGUAACAUCCUAUCAAGUCAAGGAAAAACAAUAACAAAAAUGCAUUGUAUUUAUUUAUGAUACCAUCUCCUUGAUUUCGUCCUUCCAAAAUAAUUUCACCAUCCAUGAAACAAUAAUAUCAGAUAUUUGGAAUAAUGAAAACCCAUCCAUUUGUCUUCAUCCAUACUAAUCUAUUCAAGUAUGAGGAAAAAAACUUUAGUUGAGAAAGAGAUUUACCCGUAACUAUGAUGCUCCAUGGUAGAUUUUGACAGUGGUGACCUCCCAUGGAAGUUAGACAUGGUCAUUCCAAUGGAUUAGGGCAUUUUAGUGGUGGACUUUGCAAGGGGAAUGGAUUUUGGCAAUUGAUAUGGUGUCAAAUGAUUUAGGGCAUUGCAAAUUUCACUAAAAACAAAAGCAUUAGGGCAACUUAAUAAUGGAUGAAGCAAGGGUUUCUCACCACGUUGGUUACUUACGAAAGCACUAAUGUUUAUAGAGAAACCUGGGAACUCUUCGAAACAAGGUUAGCUUCGAUAGACAAAGUUGGGGCUUAGGAUAAUGGCUCUACGGUAAGUCUCUGACAACUCAUCAUUUGGUCACCAUUCAUUAGUUAAUCUUAGUGAGAGCUUCAAGGUUUCGGGGUUUAUUGAGUUCUGAAAUGGUGGAGGGAAUGUUUGGCGAGCACUUGUAGAGAGGGAAAAGGUUUUAAUUAAUAUAUAUUCAGAACACACAUAUAUAUAUAUACUAUUAUUUAAUGUCACUUGAUAUAAGCACCAAUGUAAAAUAUCACAACUAUGACACUUCUAUAAAGCGUCAUGGCAUAACUAGUUAUACUUAUAAAAACCACAUCAGGCCAUGAUACUUUAAAUAAGUGCCAUGAAAUAAAUAAAUAAAAACUUCUAUAAAAAAUGACACUUUUGAAAAGCGCCAUUGUAUAUCCCAAUAUAGCGAUACUUUAUGAAAGCGCCCAGGAUUAAAGCGUCAUAAUUUUCUAUUUUUGUAGUAGUGUGAACAUGAAGUUAAAGGAAGGAAUACUAAUGACAGAUCACUUGAAUGCUUUUCAGAGUAUUGUCAAUCAAUUGGUUGCUAUGAAAAUGACUAUAGAUGAUGAGAUGUAAGCAUCCUUAUUGCUUUGUUCAUUGUCAAACAGUUGGGAAACUUUUGUGGUGAUCAUUAGUAACUCUAUUCUAAAUGGUGCAUUGUCUAUGGAGCUUGUGAAGUGAAAUUUGUUCAAUGAAGAGAAAAGAAGGAAGGCUUAUACCAUAAAAAAAACCGCAUGCUCUCAUCAUUGAAAAUAGAGGAAAAAACAGGAAUAGAGGAUAGAAAGGCCAUGACAAGUCCAAGGAAAGGUCCUAGUCUAGAAAUAAAAUAAAAUGUUUCCAUUAUGGAAAAGAUGGGCAUAUGAAAAGGAAUUGUCAUAUUUGGAAAAGGGAACAAAAUAAGUAGAAUCAGAAAAAGGAAGAUGACAAUAAUACCAUAGCCUUUGUAUAUAACAGUGAUGAAGUUUUAAGGCUCUUAGAUGAGUGUGUGCAUGUAGACGAAUAAGGAGUUGAGUGGAUUGUAGACACUAUAGCCUCCUACCAUGCUACUCCUCACUUGGAAUUGUUUUUUGAUUAUACAAUUGGAGAUUUCAGCAUAGUUAAGAUGAAAAAUUCUAGACACUCCAAGAUUAAUAUAAGAAUGGGUGGUGUUUGCUUUGAAACUAAUAUGGGGUGUAAGUUGACAUUGAAAAAUGUAAGGCCUAUUCCAUAUUUAUGCUUUCAUUUGAUGUUAGGUUUUGCCUUGGACAAGCAAGGUUAUGAAAACCACUUUGGCAAAGGCAAAUGGAAGCUCACUAAAGGCCUAUUAGUUGUUGCAAAAUGAGAAACAUGCUGCAUUUUGUAGAAUACCCAAGGGAAAGUUUGUAAUGAUGAGUUAUAUGUUAUAGAGGGUACUUCCUUAGAGUUGUGGCAUAAAAGGUUAGGCCAUAUGAGUGAGAAAGGAUUGUAAGUUUUGGAAAGGAAAUUUUUAAUUCCCUUGGCCAAAAAUGAAUCCUUAUCUUCUUAUGAUCAUUGUUUGGUUGGAAAACAACAUAGGGUUUCCUUUAGUAGCAGUUCUAAGAAGAAGUUAAAGAAAUUGGAGUAGGUAUGCUCUGAUGUUCGUGGGCCUAUGCAUGUGGAAACUCUUGGAGUAAACAUAUACUUUGUCACUUUUAUUAAUGAUGUUACCAGGAAGGUAUGGAUUUAUUUCCUUAGAUAAAAUGAUCAAGUCUUUCAGUUUUUCCUUCAAUUUCAUUCCAUGGUUGAGAGAGGGACUAAAAGGAAAUUGAAGUGUCUUAGGUCUGAUAAUAGAGGUGAGUACACCUCAAGGGAGUUUGAAACUUACUGCACUAAGAAUGGUAUAAGGCAUGAGAAAAAAAUCCUUGGUAAUCCAUAGCAUAAUGGUGUGGCUGAAAUGAUGAAUCGCAUCAUCAUUGAGAGGGUUAGGUGUAUAUUGAAGACUACAAAGUUGCCUAAGGUAUUUUGGAAUGAAGUUGCUUCGAUUGCCUGCUAUUUAAUGAACAGAUUUCCAUCAGGCCCAUUGAACUUUGAGGUUCCGAAGAAGGCAUGGAUAGGAAAAGAUGUUUCUUAUUUCCACUAGAAAGUCUUUAGGUGUAAAACUUUUGUGCGUGUUCCUAAAGAAGAAAGAUCCAAACUUGAUGAUAAAGUAGUUCCACAUGUCUUUUUUGGUUAUGGUGAUGAAAAGUUUGGAUCCAGAUUGUGGGAUCUGACCAAAAAGCAAUUGGUGAGUAGAGAUGUGGUCUUCCAAGAGAAUCAGACCUUGGGAGAUUUUGACAAAGCUAAGAAAUCCAAAGGUACAAGUGAUGAAUUUAUUGAGUUGGUACCUAUUCCUUCAUCAUUAGAGCAACCUAGAAAUGAAGAAAAGGAAAUUGAGGAGCUACCAAGAGAUGAUAGUGCAAGUGACAUACUUGCACAAGUGCUAGUUGAGCAUGAGAAACAAGAGGAGUAGUCAGUUCAUUAAGAGGGUUUGGUACCUCAGGCUAGGAGGUCUACUAGAGAGCAUCGUCCUUCUACUAGAUAUCCUUCUUCUUAGUACUUGUUAGUAAUUGAUAAGGGGUAGCCACAAAAUUUUUUAGAAGUUAAGUCUCAUGAAGAUAGUAGUAAUUGGAUGAGAGCUAUGCAAGAUGAGAUGGAUUCCUUGUAGAAAAAUGAACCUAUGAGUUGUUACAACUUUUUAAAGGAAGUAAAGCAUUGAAAAACAAAUGGGUGUACAAGUUCAAAAGGGACAAUAGUGGAAAAAUAGUGAAAUAUAAGGCUCGAUCAGUUGGUUGUUAAGGACUUUAGACAGAAAAAAAGGUGUGGAUUUUAAUGAAAUUUUAUCCCCAAUAAUGAAGAUGACUUCCAUCAAAUUUGCUUUAUGAUUAGUAGCUAUUUGAAUCUUGAGCUUGAGCAGAUGGAUGUGAAGACAACUUUUCUUCGUGGUGAUUUAGAGGAAGAAAUCUACGAGGAACAACCAGAGGGUUUUUGAUUCGCGUGAAACUCCAGUCAGGUCAUUUAAUAAAAAACAUUUAUAAAACCUAUGACCUCAUACUAGCGUAGCAAAGCUACUAUAACAUAGUGGCUCUAGGGUCGAACUCUGGGAUGGGUUUUCAUUCUACCAGUGAUAUACUCAAGAUUAGAAAUUGAAUUUAAUGAUUUCCUUUAUCAAAAACUUAAAGUUUAAAAGAAAAUAAAAUUUGUUUUGAAAGUGUUUGAAACUAAACUAACAUAAACUAAGUAAAAAUGGAAGAAAGAAAGUCUCCCGGAGCUAGAGGUUGCUAGGAUCAAGUUUAGAAUGCAAAGUGGAAAAUUCCGGAUUUUUCUCCUCGCAUUGGGGAUUUAACCUAUAGUUAUUUCCCGAACCGGUAUAGGUUUAACAAUGAAGAUUUAAUCCAUAAAAAGUCAAUAGAAAUGGUAGUCAAGGUCCAUUAAUGGCUUUAGACACUAUGGGUCUUCACCUUGAGUCACUUUCCAAUGGCUCGUACAUGAUAACUAAUGGACUGAUAUGGAUCUAGCAAUAAGCAUCCACAGAGACCUGAAGCUUACCAUGUAUUGGCCAUUCAAAGUGAUUCUAAGGGAUUUAAAGAAAAACUUUGGAUUUAGAAGCCAUUUUUGAACUCCAACUACCUGUAUUUAAUGCACGGGAGUUUUCCACCUUUGCAUCUGGACUUUUCACCUAGCUUCCUUCACUCCAAGAAACCAAAAGUUUAGCCUCUCAUCCUUCGAGAAAACAUCCUCAGAGGUUGUUUGGCUUCCAAGAAAAAGAAAAUAGUAAAGAGAAAAGGGAAACGAGAGAGCUCUCUAUUUCACUAAGUGUAAAAUAUAACAUAUAUGUUCCUUUCCUUUUCCAAGAGGUGAUUUCCACCCCUUAUAUAGUCUUUACAAAAGCAAAGCUUGUGAUUGGUUAGUUACAAGGAUAAGAAAGGAAAUUACAUCAAAAAAUACAUAGGAAAAGAUCUAAAGUGGAGUCGGCAAAAACAGAGGAAAAUUCGCACCACGCAUGGGCUGUGCGAAUUUGGAAGGUGUUGUGCGAAUUUCGCACAAGCUGAAGGUGUUGUGCGAAUUUCGCACAAGCCUGGAGCAGUUGUCUUCUGAAGGCCAUAUCUUCCUCAUUUCAACUCCAAAUUGUACACGGUUUGAAGCAUUGGAUUCUUCACUUCCUGAUAUUUGAAAUGGUAUAUAGCAUGUAGAAAAUGGACUUCGGGAAGUGCUCCAAAAGUGCGAAGGAAGACUGCAGCUGCUGUCCUCUAUUUUCUUCAUUUUCUCUUUGCUUCUCUUUGCUUCUCUCCUUUACUUGGCUUGUCUUAAUGAUCCAAAAAGCUGUCAAAACACUAAAACUAGCCACAAAUAUGAUUGAUUAGAAGUCAUUGCUAGGUCCUUAACAUGCCAAUUGGGAUAAAGAUGGAGAACUACUACACAAAAGUGCUUAAAACAUAAUGAAUUAAAGGUGUAAAAUAGCACUUUUUGGGUAGUAAUCAGUUUUGUAGCAAAAAAGAAAGAGCACUUGGUCUGCAAAUUGAAGAAAAGUCUUUAUGGGUUGAAGCAAGCUCCAAGACAAUGGUACAAAAAGGUUGACUCGUUUAUGAUGGGCCAUGACUUCCUAAGAACCAAAGCAGAUCCUUGUGUCUACUUCAAGAAAUAUUCUACUGACAGUUUUAUGAUGUUAUUAUUAUAUGCUAAUGAUAUUCUUAUUGCAGAACAAGAUGCUAAGUUGUAGAAUAAGUUGUCAAGUGUUUUUUACAUGAAGGAUCUAGGAGGUGUUAAAUAGAUUUGAGGGAUGCAAAUCACACAUGACUUGAAUUCCAAGAAAUUAUGGUUGUCUCAACAAAAAUAUGUUGAGAGGUUGCUUGAGAGGUACAAUAUGAAAGAAAAUAAGCAAGUUAGCUCUCCUCUUGGUGAUCACUUCAAGCUUAGUAGGAAAUGUUGUUUUACUUUAGAUGAAAAGAAAAAGAAGAUGAAAAAUAUUCCUUACUCCUCGGUUGUGGGGAGUUUAAUGUAUGUUAUGGUAUGCAUAAGGCCAAAUAUAGCUCAUGCAGUUGAAGUUGUGAGUAGGUUUUUGUCAAAUCUAGGAAAAGAGCAUUGGAAGGUAGUAAAAUGGAUCUUCAAGUACUUGAAAGGUAGCUUAAGCACAUGCUUAUGUUUUGGGGGAGCUCAGAUAGUCUUUGAAGGGUUUACAGAUGCAGAUAUGAUUGGUGACAUUGAUAAUAGAAGAUCUACACUUGGGUAUCUAAUCACUUUUGUAAGAGGAGCUGUGUCAUGGUAGUCUAAAUUGCAGAAGUGUGUUACUUUAUCCACAACAUAAGCUGAGUAUAUAGCAACCUGAAUGAAUGAAAGAGAUGUUGUGGUUAAAGAGUUUUCUCCAAGAACUGAAUCUAGAACAAGAUGAGUAGAUGGUUUAUUAUAAUAGUCAAAGUACCAUGGAUGUAAGCAAGAGCACCAUGUAUCAUUUCCCUAACCAAACAUAUUCAUGUAAGAUAUCAUUGGUUAAAGGAUAUAGUUGAAGAAAAGGCAACCAAGUUAAAGAAAAUUCAUAUAAACAACAAUGCCUCGAACAUGUUGACAAAGGUUGUUCCUAAACAAAAGUUUCAAUUGUGCAUUGGUAGAGCGGGUUUCAACUCCAUGUGAUGGAGUUACAAAUUGGCAUUCCUCCCUCAUGUGUUGGAGGGGGAGAUUGUUAGGCUAUGCUUGUCAGCCUAUGAGCCCAUAUAUUAGGCUAUUUUAUAUUUAGGUAUUCCCUAAGCCCUAAUAUAUAUAUAUAUAUAGCAUUAGGGCUUUGGUAUUAUGAGAGAAGGGGAUUUGAUUGAGAAAAGGAAAGAAAAUCAACGUUGUUUUUUGGGCACUGUUCUAAGCCUCAAGGGUGAAGUUAUAGGUUUCUUGAUCAACUUGUUGGGGGAAUUUAUGUAGUAUGUUUUCUCCUUGAUUUCUUUUUGAUAAUUGUUUUUGCGGUGAUGAUUAUCACCCUAAGCAUUAAGAUAUUUAUAUAAAUUUUCAAGGUGAACAAACCUAUGAUGACUUAAUUAUUGUAUUCCUAUUUUAUUGAAGUGAAAGAAAUUUUCUUUGUGGUUUUUUACUUCCAUUUGGAGGGUUUUUCCCCUUAUAUUUGGUGUCUUUUUUUUAGUUGAAUGUUCUUGGAUUAUCAUUCUUGAUUCUUGUUAGGUUAUUAUUAUUGUUGAGUGGUGGCUAUUAUUGUGGAGAAUUUUUUCUUGGCAGGUGAAUACUCUAGAUCUCUCCUUUUAUCUUCCCAACACCUUUAUCACCCUGUCAUCUAGACUACCCAUACCAGAUAGAUGCAAUAGGCUAGUUCACUGGAGUUGUCACACCCCAAAUUCUUGGCAACCCAAAAUUCGACUCGUGACCUAAGGUCAAAGGUUUGACCCUAAGGGUUACUCCUAUACACACUGGCAAUCAAUCCUGCUAAUAUGAUUUUUCUUGAAUAAAUAAACAUCUAAUCCCAAAUAAAUUUAUUAAGCUAAGAUUUUAUUAUAUGAUUUUUUUUUUCCAAAACCAAUCAUCACCUAUUCAUAAGUAUCAUAAAUCUACCAAUAAAUCCUACCACCUAAGGUGAUAACCCAAAUAUUUACACUAAUCUCUAAGUCAAAAUUAUUUCGAAAAAUAUUUUACAAACUAACAAAAUAUAAUUUAAGUUACAAAAGUUCAUAUAACUCAAAUUAAUACAUGAAAAAAGGUAAUAUAAAUUAAAAACAACCAUUAUUAUUGUUCUUUUACUUUCUUAGGCUUUCUAGAACACUUUCUGAUCUUUUUGUGGUUUCUUAGAAACUAUAUCUACAUCUAAAAAUUUUAAAAAAUAAAGGGUCGAGCAUUUCCACAUUGCUAGAUGCUGAGGAUACCAAGGCUUGGGACAAGCAAGAACUAGCCACACAUACACUAUGGUGGCCAUGCAUGCAGGUUGCAUGCACAUGAAAAGGACAGUGCAUCAAGAACUCCUUUAGCAUUUUGGAUCUUUGGCAAGCUAAAGUUCGAUGAAACAAACUAAAGAGAAGAUCGGACGGUUGUACCAUCUGUGGUUCAAAGUCGUAGUAUCGGUCACUGACUCGAAAGGUCCCAAGGCGUAUCGGUCUCGUUGUAUCGGCUUGGUAUCAGAUGAUACGUAAAAUAAGCUAAUUAGAAAAUUCAAAAAAUUAUAAAAAUAUUAUGUAAAUCAUUAGAAAAAUAUAUGCAAUUAAAUAAGCUCAAAAAAUUAAUAAAAUAAAAUUGUCUCACAUUUAACAUUAUUUAAAUAGUUAUAAAAGAAUAUGCUCAAAGUUAUUUAUGAUAAUGCUAAUAAAAGAAAAUUAUUUUAUUGCAAAUAUAAUAACAUUUUUACUAACAAACAUACAAUGCAAUAAUCAAUUCCAUGUUGUGACAAGGGGGUUCAAAAUCAUCAUCAUUAGAGUCCUAUGACGAGUAUACAAAUUGGGAUGACAAUUCUCGUAGUGAGGAUGUGGUUGAAAGAGUUGUUCAUAACUCGAAUAUGUUGGCUGAGGUGAUUGGCUUGAUGAUCCAUAAUCAAGAAAAUAUGGUUUCGAAGGCUGUUCGGGAUUAACACCAUAUUGAUAGCAUCUAAAACCUCGAUAAGCAAUGCUACUACUAGUAGAAGAUUGAUCAUAUCCAUAGGAAUCAUUAGCUCGUGUUCCAGUAUUUGAAUAUCCCUUUGGAUGCAUCAUUGGAAAUCAAACAAAAUAAUUUGUACUAAAAGUACUGGAAGAGCUAUCAUGGUCUCUAAAGUUGUGAUAUGAUCUAUCAUCUACCCCUCUAAAAUACAACCUUGAUCCUAUACCCAAAUUCUGUAAGGGCUCAUCAAUAUGGUGAUAAUUUGAUCUAUGAUAAUCAUGCCCACUAGAAUAAUCAUCAUCGUUAGGAAAUGUAGUUAGUCUUUCCAAAUGCUUUCGUUGUUCUCAUAUCCUCGGUCAAUAUCGAUGAUCUCUAUCUUAUGUGGCAUAGCAAUUUUCAUUUCCUUGUGCCCAUGACAUGUCAGGAUCUACUUGACUAACAUAACCACCCCUAGUGCUACCAUAUCCUCCAGUACCCUCACCAGUGCCACCGACUCCUCUACUGCCCCCACUAGUGCCACCACCCCGCCUAUUGCCCCCCCCCCCAUUGUCACCAUCAUCACUACUAGAACUUGAAGAAGUUUUUCUAGGAGCCUUACCUUUAUGACAUGAAUCAAUAUCUCUUUCUUGUGUAGCAUUACUUGUACACCUACUAAAUCUACGAUUUGUGGCACCAUCAUCUUCAUGAACUGUUUCUCUACCUUCUUCAUUAGUGGGAAGACCUUUAUCCAGCCAAUCCAAAUUAUCAGAUGAUAAAAUAGGCUCCUCUCAUUCUCGUAUCCACUCAUCUAAUAUAUCAUCAUGAUUAAAGAUAUGAUUCAGAUCAAUUGGAUUGUAUAAAUCUUCAUUGUUUCACUCUUACAUCAAAUUCUUAACUCGAAGUUGCCUAUUGUAGUGCACAUAAACUAACUUAUGCAACUUUUUCAUUGCCAAACGAUUGCGCAACUUUGUGUGAAUUAAUGACCAUGUGCUCCAAUUUCUUUCACAGCCUGAUGAAGAACAAGUUUGGCUUAAAAUUUUAACAACAAUGUUUUGGAGAUGUGGACCUUCGUCGCCAUAGUUGUUCCACCAUUCAUCUAUAAUAAAGAAAAUGCAUACUUAUUAAUCACUAUGAUAUAUUUAACAAAAAAUGAUGAUAAUUUCUUAUUAGUAAUAGACGUAAAUGUAUUGAGUACCUGGAAGAGAUUGAUUUAUUACUUUCUUUGUAAGUGCACUUCCAAAUUCUCCUUGGCCAUCAACAAAUAAUUUCACCUACAUCAUUAACAGUUUUUUUUGUUAAUGCACAUUGCAUAUACAAAAUGUAUUAUAUAAAGGUCACAAACUAUUAUUAUACCUUGUUAAUAGCUUUUGCUUGUCUAUCCAAAUAUGGCUCUAAUCUCUUGAUAACCUCCUUUAAUCCAAUUUAAUUUCUAAAUGGUUGGAGAAAUACUUUGAAUAUUGGAACAUUAGAUUUAAAAAAUAUGUUGCCAUAAGUUAAAUAAUGAUCAAUUUAUAAUAAUUUGUACUUGAAAAAAAUAAUAAAAAACAUAUAAAGAAUUUUUUUAUUACUUACAGCAUACAAAUCUCUGUGCAAUUGACCUUCCCACCUUCUAUCAAUGACUUCCCAAUACUUUUUCCAUUGCUUAAUCGAUGUCUUGAUAGCCAAUUUAGCGCUAUCCAUUGCUUCAUAAAUGACUGAUAGUGUGGGCUUUUUAUCUUGAUCAACUAAUUUCAAUACUUUGACGAGAGGUUCCAUGAUGGUUUGAACUUCCCCUAUCUUAUUCCAAAAUUGAUCAGUUAAGAUAAGGUUGGAUACCUUAUCUCUUAGAAUUUUUCUGCUCCCAUCUUUAUUGAAUUCACGCCACUCAUUUGUUGUGCACAUUCUCUUCAAAUCAGCCUCAUAACAUAUAAGACUCUCAAGUGAAAUGAAUUCAGUGGCAAAACGGGUUAUUCUUGGCCUUAAUAGAUCUCUAUCCUUGGUGAACACUUUCAUCAAAUUCACUACUUUCAAGCUAUUAUAAAUAAAUCAUGUGAUCAUCUUAGCUUGAUCUAAUGUCUCCUUAAUCUGCUUCAUGAUUGCAAUAUCUUCAAGUAUUAAAUCAAUAUAGUGGGCUACACAAGGAGACCAAAACAAAUGUUUUUGCUUCUCCAUCAACAACAUAAUGGCUGCUUUAAAACUUGCCUCGUUAUUAGUGACUAUUUAGACAACAUUUUCCUCCCCAACCUCCUCUACAACUUUAUCCAUAAGGGAAAAAAUGUAGUCUAUUGUCUUAGGUAUGUUGGUAGUAUCAACGAAAGAAUGGUAUAUCAUACUUCUAUCACAACAAAUCAUGAAAUUGAUGAUAGGCUUUCUAGUCCUAGAACUCCAACCAUCACACAUGAUUGUGCACCCAUAUAUAGGUCAUUUAGCCUUCAAUGUUGUUAUAUAUACCUCAAGCUCUUGCACCUUCUCUUCCAAAUAUGUAUUUCCAAUUUUCUAUCCCGUGGGAUCCUUGAUGCUUGGACCUACUUUUGCUAUGGUAUCAAUCAUUGAUUGAUAGCAAGGCCCACUGUCAACUGCAUUAAAGGGUAUUACAUUAAAGAGAAAGAAUUUAGAAAUAGUUUUGCCCACUUUCUUCAUGCCUUCAGUAGAAAAUAAGCUUUUUAUUGAUUUCUGCUUUGAUGGGAACAUGUAGGGAUCAAUUCCUUUUGGAGGUGUGCUAGCUCCUUCUCUUACAUUGAAGCUACAUGUUAGUCCAUGCUUAAUCAAAGCAUUAGAAGGUUGUGAGGAACUAGUACCCUUUUGAUGCUCUUGUCUACCUUCUUCAAAAAUUUGACUACUUUCUUUCAUUGCUUGUUUCAUUUGUCUUCUUUCAAAUUCAGUCAUAGCAACUUCCUCAAUUUCAUAGAAAUUUUCUUUAUUCAAGGAAAUCAAAAGUCGUUCUUUUUUUUUUCUUUAACUGUGCUUUUUCUUUUGAAGUAUCAGACAUAUGUUGUCUAACACUAUGUGUCACUUUUACUGGUACACGUGGACAUCUUUCCACUUGUCCAAAUAUAUGUACGAUGUGUUACUUUAAUCUUGUUAUACCGCCAUGUAUAACUUUCCCACAAUAUUCACACUUCGUGGUUCUUCUACUACCACCAACAGGUUCUACAUGCUCUCAACCGAUAACAUGUUUUGAAGCCAUUUUGAAAUUUUAACCUAACCAUGUAUAAAAGGAAAACAACUUAUUUUUCAAAUUAAAUAUAUAUAAACACAUUUAUAUAAGAAUUAUAACAUUCAAUUUUCCACUCAUAUGUUUUAUAUUGUUACCAAAUAAAAAUAAAUUAUACUAAAAAGAGCAAUAAACACGAUCUCACCUAAGUUCACCAUAUUUUAUUUUCCACUUAUUUAUAUUUUUUUAAUUAAAAUAAAUAAUAGUUAAAUAAAUGAAUAUUUUUGUAAAAAAAUUUCUUUUUAAAAAGUUUGUUUUGAUAAUUAUUGAUUUCCUAUUGUAAUUUAAUUGUAUAAUAUUACAAAAUAAAAAAUCUACAUGAUAUAAUGAAGUAAAAUUGAUUCAAAUAUAAAUGUAAUUUCUCUAUACCAUGUAAAUACACACCAUUGAAUCUGUAUUAUUAAAUCAUUACUUUUAUAGUUAUGAUUAUUUGAAAAACCAAAUUGUUUUAAAUAAUUAUUAAUUUUCUAAUGUAAUUUAAUUUUGUAGUAUUAUAAGAUAAAAACAUAAAUUAAAAAUACAAUAUCUAUAUCACAUAAAGUUUACCAUAAUGUAUUUUAUAUUAAGAAAUAUAAUUUUUAUACCAUGCAAAAAUAAUUUAGUGAACCAAUUUAUUGUUUUGAUAAUUGUUGAUUUCCUAUUGUAAUUUAAUUGUAGAAUAUUAUAAAAUAAAAAGUCUACAUGAUAUAAUGAAGUAAAAUUGAUUCAAAUAUAAAUGUAAUUUCUCUAUAUCAUGCAUGUAAAUGCAUAGCAUUCAAUCUAUAUUAUUAAAUCAUUACUUUUAUAGUUAUGAUUAUUUUGAAAAAAAAAAUAAAUAAAUAAUCAUUAAUUUUCUAAUGUAAUUUAAUUUUGCAAUAUUAUAAGAUAAAAACAUAAAUUACAAAAAAUGAUAUCUAUAUCAUAUAAAGUUUACCAUAUAAAUGUAUCUUAUAUUAAGAAAUAAAUUUCUAUAUCAUACAAAAAUAAUUUAAGUGAACUAAUUUAUUGUUUUGAUAAUUAUUGAUUUCCUAUUGUAAUUUAAUUGUAGAAUAUUAUAAAAUAAAAAAUCUACGUGAAGUAAAAUUGAUUCAAAUAUAAAUGUAAUUUCUCUAUACCAUGUAAAUGUAUACCAUUCAAUCUGUAUUAUUAAAUCAUUACUUUUAUAGUUAUGAUUAUUUGAAGAAAAAAAUUGUUUUAAAUAAUUAUUAAUUUUCUAAUGUAAUUUAAUUUUAAAAUAUUAUAAGAUAAAAAAAUAAAUUAAAAAUACAAUAUCUAUAUCAUAUAAAGUUUACCGUAUAAAUGUAUUUUAUAUUAAGAAAUAUAAUUUCUAUACCAUACAAAAAUAAUUUAGUGAACCAAUUUAUUGUUUUGAUAAUUAUUGAUUUCCUAUUGUAAUUUAAGUGUACAAUAUUAUAAAAUAAAAAGUCUACAUGAUAUAAUGAAGUAAAAUUGAUUCAAAUGUAAAUGUAAUUUCUCUAUAGCAUGUAAAUGUAUAUCAUUCAAUCCGUAUUAUUAAAUCAUUACUUUUAUAGUUAUGAUUAUUUGAAAAAAAAAAUGUUUUAAAUAAUUAUUAGUUUUCUAAUAUAAUUUAAUAUUUCAAUAUUAUAAGAUAAAAACAUAAAUUAAAAAUACUAUAUCUAUAUCAUAAAAAGUUUACCAUAUAAAUGUAUUUUAUAUUAAGAAAUAUAAUUUCUAUACCAUACAAAAAUAAUUUAGUGAACCAAUUUGUUGUUUUAAUAAUUAUUGAUUUCCUAUUGUAAUUUAAUUGUAGAAUAUUAUAAGAUAAAAAAUCUAAAUGAUAUAAUGAAGUAAAAUUGAUUCAAAUAUAUAUAAAUGUAAUUUCUCUAUACCAUUUAAAUACAUACCCUUCAAUCUGUAUUAUUAAAUCAUUACUUUUAGAGUCAUGAUUAUUUGAAAGAAAAAAAAUAUUGUUUUAAAUAAUUAUUAAUUUUCUAAUGCAAUUUAAUUUUUCAAUAUUAUAAGAUAAAAACAUAAAUUAAAAAUAUAAUAUCUAUACCAUAUAAAGUUUACCAUAUAAAUGUAUUUUAUAUUAAUAAAUAUAAUUUCUAUACCAUAUGAAAAUAAUUUAGUGAACCAAUUUAAUAUUAUAAGAUAAAAAAUCACAUAAUUUAAUAAAUUAAAAAUAUAAUCUCUAUAUAAAAUAAAAACAUUACAUAUAAAUAUAUUUAAUAUUAUCAUAAUAUAUAUAAAUAUAUCGGACUCAUUGCGGCUGGCGUUGAGGCGGAUACAACUCAGCCGAGUUGUAUCGAACUUGGCCAAUUUUUUGAACCCUGGUUUAAAUAGUGAACUUCGGUUUCCCAAAACUUAAAAAAAAUAUUUAAACCCCAAAGCUUAAGGUUCCAAGAAAAACCCCAAAAUGAAUUCAUUUAUGUGAUACCCAGUUCUCCAAAAUAGACCCAAAAGGGUAAAAGAUCUAGAAAUCUAAAACCCAACUAAACAAGGGUGUGUUUAAGCCUUAACUAGAAUAUACACACCUUCGAAUCUCUAAGGAGAUUCAACGAAACAUAUCUUUGGGUUAUUGGGAUCCAUCAGAAAGCACAUUGUCUCAAGAAAGGCUCUGCUAUCAUUUAUAUAGCGGUCCGGAUCCAAAAUCAGAAUUGACAUCCCUUUAAUAAGAAUUCACGGUUGAAUCAAAUCAUUCCUGGCAGAACAUGACCAAAUUUACAAGACCCUCUGGUCUCAUUUUCAUCCUUGAAACCAAAUAAUCAUAGACUGAUAGUACUGUUAGAGGCAUUCCGAAGAACCAAAACAAGUAGGUUGUAAAGCUCCUUCAUCAUGGUGAUCUAACUACUAGCCCUCUCUAAAUCUUUGAAACAGGGUGAGAUUGGUGUUUGAGAAGAAGGUUUGCAUGUAUGGACCUAGUGUCAGACUCGAUCUCCAUGGCAAUGGCUCGCACCCAUUCGCGUAGUCUUUUGUGCUAUUCCAAUUGAUAGGUGAAGCUCUCAAAAUACUUGUCCAUAGAGGAAGGUAUGGUAUGAAGGCGUAUCAUGAAGCCAAGCAUGAUAGUUUUCAUAUACUCCCUACAUAUGCUCUAAUUUUUAUCAACAAGCACCGAGUGCUAUCUUAUAUUCAUCCAUCUCAGUUUCCUCAUCCUCAAAUAUAGCAUCAGUAGGCGAAUCAUGAUCAUCAUAUUCUCUGCUCUUCUCAUUGACAUCUCCUUUGGGCUUCUUCUAGCACAGGGCCUCCCCUUCUUUAUCCUCCUAAAUUUCAACUCAUAUGAAACGUUUACAAAAUAGUCACUAGAAAACUAGGAGGAAGAGGCCAAAACAAGUAUAAUGGAGAAUAGAGAAAACUAGAAGAGAAUAAACAGGCAAAAUAAAAAUCAAAUAAAGCCACAUCUCAUGAUUUUUCAAUGGGCUCAUACUAGUGGAAAAAAUCACAAACAAAUUCAAAGCAAAAGUGCAACCAAUAACUCUAAAUGCCCCAUAGUGAACUUGAUAAAGAGCCUUACCAAAUUUCAAGUCAAGCCAAGGAAACAAAAGAGGAAGAAACAACAACAAAUAUGUAUGAACAACCCAUAAAUUAACAGAGAAUCAAGUAAGGUAGUAUUAAAAAUGAGAAAACGCAAGGGUUCACAAUGAACAUACUUGGAAGUCCUCUGCUUCUCCAAAAACCAACGAGCUCCUCUUCUCUUUGACCAGACCCCUAUAACCCAAAUGAACUCCCUCUCCUCUUCAAUGUGUGCUCAAAGUUGAAAACCUCUCCUACCCUCCAAAACCACCAGCCCGUGUUUUUAUGGUAAUUGGCAGCCGUCCAUCAUGAGGAGUCCUCCUCUCUCCAAAUUCUAUGUCUUCUCCACCAGAAAAAUCCUUUUGAAUUUCAAAAACCAAUCCAUGCAUAUCACCUAAGGAGUUCCACCACUUUCAAAAACUUCCUCAUCCAUGUUCAACUCUCCAAAGGUGAUCUUCAAUAACACCCAAAAGAGUUUUUUCCUUCUCAAAGUCUUACAAAAAUCAACUCUUUCUUAUCCAUUGGUAAAUUUCCCUAUAAAAACAUAAAAUUUUUAUAUCAAACAAAUGAAUAAAAAUUUUAGAUAAUGAUAAAAUAUUAAUAAUAAUAAAUAGAAAAAUAAAAAUAAAUAUAAUAAAUAAAUAAAUAAAUAAAAGUGAUUGAUAAUAAUAAAAAAUAAAAAUAAAUAAAUAAGUAAAUAAAAAAAAUAAGCCACGCAAGCCAUGCAACCAUGUAAGUCAUACAAGUCAUGCUAAGAAUGUCUAAUGGGCCCAGUGUGCCUAAGUGAGCUAAGUGGGUCUAAGUGACCUACGUAGGCUUAAGGUGGUGCCUAAUGAGCCCAAUGUACCUAAAUGGGCCUAAGGUGAGCCUAACCGAAUCUAACCUAAAGUGCACCUAAGAAAAAGUCUAAUCUAAACUCAAAUGGCAGCCAAAGUCACAAUGAGGAGCCAGAUAAACCCUCAACCAAAGUUUCUAAGGUGGCUUAGAAAAUAUAAACUACAUGAGAAGUAAUGGGCCACCAGGGAAUCGCUAUAAGGUACCAAACGAAUACCUAAUAGGACAUGUGAUAGGAAGACAAAAUGGAGGGUCUACAAAUAUGCCCAUCCUCGGUAGAGAUCACAAGUGUAGGAAAUGUGAGUAGAAAUACAAAUAAUGAAUGGAAUGAGCAAAAAAAAAACACUAGAGAUUUUGUCCUAGCACAUGACAAAGGUAAGCUUGGAACAUAGGGUCGCAAUGACAAGGAUGAAACAACUCUAUGUGGGGGAAAUGACAAUGAAGGGAAAAAGGGUAUGUAAUGAGUAGCACAAAGAUGAAAGGGGUGAAAAAAAGGACUCAAGGUCAUGGAUGAGAUGAAUGGCUUUAAGUCAUGGACAAGAUGAACGACUUUGGAUCAGAAAUAGGAUAAACGAAUCUAGGUCAAGAGCACAGGACCCUAAAUAUAAAUAAAAACCCUAGGUCAUGGAUGAAAUAAAAGACUUUGGGUUAGGAACUCUAGGCUUUAAGUGCUAUGAAUGACUCUAGGUCGAAAGCUUAGGGCUUUAAAUGCUAUGGAAGACUCUAGGUCAGAAGCUUAGGGCUUUAAAUGCUAUUAAUGACUCUAGGUUAGGGACAAGAAUAACAACUCUCGGUCAUGAGCUUAGGGCUCUAAAUGCUAUGGAUGACUCUGGGUCAUAAAUUAGAAGAACGACACAGGGUCUUAAGCUCAAGGCUCUAAAUGGAUAGUCGAUUAGGAUGCUUUUUAACUCAUGGUGUCAAGUUAAGACCACUCAUAGGUGGCUAGAAUGAUGAAAACAAAACAUCUUAGGGAUGUAAAGGAUACGAACGACUCUAGGUCGUGAGCUCAAGGUUUGGAAUGCUAUGAAUGACUCUAGGUCAUGGAUGAAAUCAGUAACUUCGAGUCACGAUGAAUAGCUCAGGGCCAUGGAUGACAUGAACGAAUUUGGGUCAUGAUGCAAUGAGUAACUUUGGGUCACAAUGAAUAGCUCAGGGCCAUAUGAAUAGCUCAUGGCUAAGAGCUCUAGGCUCUAAGACUAAUCUGCUAAGAGGAGAAUGCAAUAUGCAAACCCCAGGUCAAACCACUCAUGAGUGACCAAAUGAUGAAGGCUUAGCUCAGAGUUGGAAAGGUUUUGAGUCUUAAGAAAAUGAUAGCUCUAGCUUACCAGACUGAGAGCCUAAAAGGAAAAAUGAUAGCUUAAGGCUACUAAGUUCAAGGUCUAUAAUGAAUGGAUAGUUCAGGGCUAUGAGACUUAGGGCUUAAGAGAAUUCAAACUCAAGUUUAUAGUGGUUCGGCACUUCCUUGCCUACGUCCACUCUCCUCAACCUCCUAACCGAGUGAGGGUUCCACUAACUUGAAGCUUCAACCAAGCUUCCAAUCUUCUUACAAUUGGAUUUGGCUCUAAUGGGCUCUUAGACAACCUCUUCAAGAUUCAACCCUCUUGAAGGCUUUAACACUCAGAUUUUUACAAGAUAUAUUCCCUCGACCUAGCUUAAGGAUAGCUCAAAUACAAGACAAAGCUAGGAUGACACACAAGAGUGCUCUAAAGGAUAUGCAAGUGGUGAUUUAAUGCACUAUGAAAGAAAUGAGAGCUUUUUUAUCAAGAACAUGUAGGUAGGCUAUUGAAUGCAAGUGUUCUCUAGUCAAUAAAUGAAGUGGAGCUCUCAAUUUAUAGUUUUCCAAGCUUGGGAGUUAAAAACAGCAAAAGGUAACCUCGUCCAGUCGAGCUAGGGGUCGACCAGUUCACUAGCCGUUGGAGCAUUUAAUGCAUGGCAGGUUAUCGUUGCCUCAACCGGACCUCGACCGGUCCUCGGCAGAACAUCGACCAGUAAGAGAAACACCUUGACCGAGAAGAGAAAGUUACUGAGAGAGAAAAGGUUUUUGACCUCCCUCGACCGGACGAGCACAACCGGUCGACCGAUUCCUCAACCGGUUGAGCCUUUUUGGCCCUGAAAACCUUUUUUUUAAUUCCUUUCUUCUCUAACACUUAGGCAAGGUCUUUAGGUAAAUUAUUAAGCCAAUUUUGAAACAUUUUGCCUAAGGUACAUUAGUUAAAAACUCGGGUUUUAAUGAAAUCGACAUUUUAAAGAAUAAACCGAGUUUUCAAAGAUGCAUGAAACGUGUGAAAAUCCUAAGUGCACUUAUGCAUUCAUCUUACAUUAGUUUCCUAUUAUCACAAGUCUUCCAAGCGUCUCGAUCUUGUAUCCAUUUGGUCAUUUGAUGAAUUUUCGAGUUUAUACCUGAGAUUCUUAAUCAUUAAACCAAUUAGUCACUUAACCAUGGUUUGUUAUCAUCAAAACCUGAUUAGGAGAACCCUUGGGCUAACAAAAAAGAUGGCUCAAGGCUAUGGGGCUCCAGACCUAAGAAAAAAGGGCCGCUCGAGGCUAUAAGGCUUAAGGCCUAAAAGGAAAGGAAUAAUGCAAACUAACUUAAAAGCGAAUAGGAAAGAAACGGACUUUGAGUUGCAGGCUCCAAAUGCCAAGAAUCACACUAUUAGGCUUAGGAAGGAAAAUAUGCCCCAGUAUCCAAGGUACUUGCAUUGUUGAGACAAAUAGUAAAUCAGUCAUCUGCUGAAAUCAAUGGGUUGGAAAUCAAUACAUCAUGGUGAGAAUCUUUGAAAAAUCUGAAUUGAAAGAACUCUUUGUGUCUUAAAAGUUGCUCUAUUGACAAAUCUUAAAAGAUAAAUCUCGAAGUGUGUACAUCACAAUUCAUCUAAAAAAACAAAGCUCAAAGUGCACAAAAUACUACUCAUCUGGAUAACCUAAUCUACAAGGUAGCUAUGACGAAAAUAAUUUAUCCCAUAAACGCUCGACUAGAGAAUCCAUCAAUGCUCCUCAGGUGAAACCUAAUGUGAUCCAUCUCUAUCUCAAUGAAAUCAUGUAGGGAAGUCUUAAUAUCAUUAAUCGUUGGAAGUCCCAAACUAGUGCUCAAUCUAAAACGAAGUUGGUCGUUGUCUCAAUCUUAAGGAUACUCAAAGAAAAAAUGGGGAAAUAUGCCCAGUAUAAGACCUGAUGUCAAAGUGAUGAGGUAAAUCAUCCAUCCUCAUACCUCUACCCAAAUAAAAUCUCAUCAAGGAGAAGGGAAUAUGCCCCAGUAUAAUAUCUGAUGUCAAAGUCAUGAGGUAAACAACCAAAAAUGAUCAAGGAGAGGAGAAUAUGCCUUAGUAUAAAUAUCUAAUGUAUAAUAAAGAAUCUACCAACAUCAAUCAAACAUCUCUAUAACUAUGAAUAAGGAUAGCCAUACAACCCAACAACUAAUAGGGAUCUCAAUGUAAGAAGGGAAUAUACCCCAAUGUGGAUAUCUGAUGCACAAUCGAAAGGAUGAAUCCAAUAUCUUGAAUCAACUAUCUCUAAACUCAAAAACAAAAAUCUAUCAACCAUCAAUAUGCCAAGCAAGAGGAAGAAGUCGAAUGUCUCUACAAGCAUCAUCCAUAAGAGAAAACAUAGUAGCAACUAUACUUCAACCAAUUUUCAAAAGCCUUCCCAAGUGAAGACUCUCAAAGAUAACAUUUGAUCUCAUGGCCUCAAGGUGGUCUUAAGACAUGAGACGCAAUGUAGGCCAGGGUGAAUAGAUAAAGAAACGAAAAGAAACUAAACUCAAAUACCCAAUGAUCGAACCUAUACCUUUAUGUAUAAUGUACAACACAUAGGAGAAUCUCAUGAGCAUGUGAACUUAAGAGUAGUCGAUGGAAAUAUCGUUGGUGAAAUGAAAAAAGAGAAGAAGUGAUCAAGCCAUCAAUGGAUCAUGUAAAUGAUGUGAAGAAAGCUGUCAGGUCAGGAAUGUGCAUCGGUGUUGGAAUGGGACGAAAAAAUGGAAUAAAUAAUAGAAGAGAAAUUAUGGGAAAUCAAAUGAAGCUAGUGAGAAAGCAAAAAAAUGACGAUCAACACAUAUCAAUACAAUAAAAGAAAAUCAUAUCACCAAUGGUAGAACGAUGGAGAAGACACUGAUUCGAAGACCCUAGUGAAAGGUUACUCAACUCUCAUACCCACAAUGUAUAUGAACUUUGAUCCAAGAGGCAAAUGAUCUCAUAAAACUCUCGCAACAACUCUCAUCACCCCUUAAUGCAUAACAAAAGUGACUUAAGGAGUGAAAAGCCCUCAUGGAAAACUCACAUGAACCCUCCAUGAUAAAUAAAUCCAAUGAACAACCCUCAAAUAGCAACAAAACAAUGGAGUAGGAUACCAUAUACGAACAUAACACUGUGCUUUUUCUUACUUUUUUUUGUUCUUUUUUUUUUUCUAAAAUAAACAAAUGUGAAUACUCUAACCAUCAAUGAAUCAUGCCCCAAUGAGGAAAGAUAUAAAGAAUGAGAAAACUCUCCCCAAUCACUAAUGAAAAUGUGAACCCCCACCUAGGAGAUAACCUCUCAAGCUAAAAUCUUAGAAUCAAUGCCAAAUGAUGGGAUGAAUGGAGUGAUAUGACUGUCCUUUUUGCACCAAGAUGUGAAUAAUUAUCAAUCCAAGGGAGCGAAGAGAUAAGAUGAAACAAAUAAUGAUAAAAAAAAGGAAAAUAAUGGAGAAUGAUAAAAAAAAUGACAGAACCGUGAGAUGGGGUGAUAAUAUCAAGGAUGAGGAAAGUAGGCUUAUAAGUCCAAAGCUCAUGAGACUUUCCUAGCAAAGCAUACCUAUACAUCAAGAAGGCCCCAACCCAAGUGUAGAAAUGGUAAGCAAGGCUAUAAGAGAGAAAAAGGCUAUAACAUACCACAUAAGACUCAAUGGGCUAGCAACGAUCUAUAUAUAUCGAUAGAGGUGAUAAAGUGUAAGGCUAACUGAAAUGAUGGCCACCCAUCCUACAACCAUGGUCUCAAAUGUAAUACUUCUUCAACUGAUCCACAUUAGUCGAUUUUGAGAACUGGUUUCCAUCUAGAUUUGUCAACCAUGUAGCCCCAUCUACAAUCAAAUCUAGAAUAACAUAAGGCCCACUCUAACUAGGUCUGAACUUUUCUCUAAGGUCUCUAACCAAAUCCUCUCUCUAUAAUGGUCUUAACUUGACCCGUUUCUUAAAGGUAUGGGCCAUCUUCCUCUGAUAAGCCUGAACAUGAUAUGUUGCUCUCAAUCUCUUCUCAUCUAAAAGGUUAAGCUAAUUAAGUCGAGCCUGAGCCCACUCUGUUCCAGAAAUCUACUGCUCAAGAACUACUCUCAAUGAACCCAUCUUUGUCUCAAUUGGCAAAACUGCCUUCAUACCAUACACCAAAGACUAAGGUGAAGCUCUUGUAGAGGUGCAAAAGGAGGUACGGUAUGCCUAUAAUGCAAAAGGGAUUUUCUCCUACCAGUCUCAAGAUUUCUUGACCAUCUUGCUAAAAAUCCUAUUAAUUUUCUUAUUUGUAGCCUCUAUUACCCCAUUAGUCUAUGGCCUGAAUGCAGAUGAUUUGUGAUGCUGGAUGCCAUACCUCUAUAACAAAGUGUCAACCUCAGCUUGAAAGUGUACCCCUCUAUCUAAAAUCAACUUGUGAGGAGCCCCAUAACAACAAAUGACAUGUGAUCUGAUAAAACUAACAACUCUAGCAAAUGUCAACCUUGCAUACAAUGCAGCUUCCACCCAUUUGGUGAAAUACUUUAUGGCGACUAGGAUGAACUCAUGACCUUUGGAAGAUUUUGGUGAGAUCUUCCAAAUAAUUUCAAUACCCCAUAUUGAAAAUGGCCAUGGUGAGGUCAAAGCAUGUACCUCUAAUGGCAGUGCAUGAAUGAGAUCACCAUGUAUCUGAAACUCUAGGCAUCUUUGAACAAAUUGACAAUAAUCUGUCUCCAUAGUUAUCCAGAAAUAACUUGUCCUCAUAGUCUUAUGGGCUAGCAUGUGUCUUCCCAUAUGUGAACCACAAACUCCUACGUGAACCUCCUCAUCACACAGCUUGCGGAAGCUUGAUCUAAACAUAAUAGAAGCAUACCAUCAGUUGAUCUCCUACAUAGGAUCUCCCCACAAAUCACAAAUCUAGUGGUCAACUACCUCAAUGCUCUCCCAUCCUUGGCUGUGGCUACCUCAUGUUAUGUGCCAAAUUUGAGAAACUGAUAAAUGUCAUGAUACCAAGGUAGAUCAUUUCAUACCUCUAUUUCUCCAAUAAGAUAAUAGUUAGAAGGUGCAUACCUCAACUCAAUCAGCAAUGGACAUAUAUCCACAUCAGUUCCACAGAAGAAGCUAGGGUAGCUAAGGCAUCAACAAACUGGUUUUGCAAUCUAGGCAGAUGAAUAUAUCUCAAGUCCUCGAAUAUCCCAAUGAGUAACUCUAAAUAGGUGUGAUAUAACCUAAGCUUUGCAUCCUUAGUCCUCCAAUCUCCCUGAAUCUAUCUGAGUACUAGAUUAGAGUCACUAAACAUCUCCAUUUUUCUUAUGCUAAGCUUCAGUGCAGUCUCUAAAUCGAGGAUACAAGCCUCAUACUCAACAAUGUUGUUCGUGGAAGGAUGUCGAUCUGAAAAUGCCAAAUGAGCAGACCUCAGAAUAUGAUCACCUUGAAGGGAUACCAACAAAACACCUAUUCUAUACCCUGAGUGAUUAGCUACACCAUCGAAGUACAUGCACCAACUUGAUAAGCUAGUCAUAGCAAUAAACUCCUUAUCUAGAAAGUUAUCAUCAACUGGUCUGCUCUCAGAUAUCAGUAAUGAGACCAAGUGAUCGGUGACAAUGCUCCCCCUAAUAGACUUUUGAGAAACGUACUAGAUAUCAAACUCCGUUAAAAAUAUAAGCCAUCUGAUAAAUCUACCAGUCAAUACGGGUUUGUCAAAUAAAUAUCUUAACAGAUCUAGGCAAGAAUUCAGAUGCACUGAGUACUCUGUCAUGUAAUGCCUCAAUCUCUUCAUGAUCCAAACUAGCGCUAAACAAAGGUGCUCAAUCAUAACAUAUCACAUCUCAUACUCUAGCAUCCUCUUACUCAGAUGAUAAAUAGCUUACUCCUUCUCUGAGUCAUCAAGUGGAGCUAACAUACAUCCUAAGGCCAUAUCUGAAACUACUAAGUGUAGAAGAAGUGGACGUCUUGGUAUAGGAGGUACUAAAACUGGAGGGGAAAGAAAAUACUCCUUAAUCCUCUCAAAAGCAAGCUAGCAAUCAUCAUUCCAAACUGUUGGCUAGUUUUUCCUCAAAAGACGAAAGAUAGGCUCACAUAUGUUUGUCAAUCUAGUUAUGAAAUGACUGAUGUACUAUAACUUGUCUAGGAAACCCCUUAUUGUUUUCUUAGUCUUUGGCAUGGGCAUGUCAAGUAUGGCUCUAAUUUUAUCUAGGUCAACCUCUUUGCCUCGCUCACUGACCUUAUGCCCCAACAAUUUCCCAAAAGUCACUCCAAAAGUGCACUUCUUAGGGUUUAAACUCAAUCUGAACUUUUGGAUCCUCUCAAAGAAUCUCUUUAAAGAUAUUAGUUAAUCUGCUCUAUCUCGAGAUUUCAUAAUCAUAUCAUCCACAUAUACCUUAACAUCCUUAUGCAUCAUGUCAUAAAACAAAAUGGUAGCGACCCUUUGAUAAGUGGCUCCUGCAUUCUUCAACCCAAAUAGCAUAAUCCUAUAACAGUAGGUAUCCCACUCAAUGAUGAAGGUUGUCUCCUCCAUAUCCUUUAGAGCCAUCAAAAUCUGAUUAUACCUAGAAAAACCAUCCAUGAAAGACAACAUUGAAUGACCUACAAUGCUAUCAACCAACAAAUCAAUAUGUGGGAGGGGAAAGUCACCCUUAGGACUAGCUUUAUUAAGUUCUCUAAAAUCAACACAAACUCUAACCUUGCCGUCUUUUUUAGGAAUAGGGAUAACAUUAGUCAACCACUCUAGAUAUUCAACCACUGAUAUAAAACCAACAUUAAGUUGUUUUUGAAUCUCCUCUUUCACUUGUAGGCUCCAACAUGGGUGUAAUCGCCUCAACUUCUACUUAAUUGAUCUAACAUGUGGCAGAAUAGGCAAAUGGUGUUGAACUAUGGAGGAAUCAAGGCCAAGCAUGUCCUCAUAAGACCAUGCAAAGACAUCCAAGUAUGACCUGAGUAAAUGAAUAAGUUUAUUCCUCUCAUCUGUAAGUAGGGGUAAACCAAUCUUCAACUCUCUAGGUUGAUCCUCUAGACCAAAAUAAACAGUUUUAACAUCCCCUGUAGCAGGUGAAACUUUCUCGUCUAUGGGAUCUAAGUCAUGAUAGAAAGAAUCUCUAUCUGAAUCAGGCUAUGCAAUCUCAUCAUCUAUAUCAAAUAUCUAUAAAGUGGGUAAGUGGGGUGCAGAUAUAGAGAUACUAUCAUAAGAGACAGAAGAAUACUAAAAAAAAAAAAGAAAAUACUCAAACCUAUAAAUGAAGUAAUAGAAACAUUAUCAAAGCAGGAGACAAAUCCUGAUAAAACAUCAAAGGAAAGAGGUGGGUCCACAAGGUCGAACGCUCCCUCAACUAGGCUAACAGUGCCCUCAAAUAAACUACUAUCAUCCUUUAAAGCUCUAGAAAAAUGAUAGUCUAGAUCUCCUCAACAACCUUAAUGGUAGACACCCUAAACAAAUCAAAUGACCAAGUAAGCUCAGACUGAGUAAUGCUAGUAAUCUAACUCAUACCCAACACGUCCAUCUCAUCUCAAUACUCAUCAUGGGGGACAACUCCAUCAAUCAUCUUAGUGGGAUCAACGACCACUCCAUCAUCAAUGACCUCCACUAGGAAGCAUAGGGUCAACAAACUAGCUUCAUAAGGAAAAAGUGGAGCAAUCACCAUAGAAACAAAUGUGUCAGGAGUCCCAUCAUCCAAUUGUAACUAAUGAAAUAAUAGCUAAAACUCAAUCUCUCUAUCUGUAUCAACCACAUAAUCAAUCUCCUCUAAAUGAGGUCAAAUCUCUAAUCCUCUAACAAAGUAAUCGACCAAACUCUUCUUAUAAGGGAGAAUAGGAUAAUCAAAUGGUACGUGAGACAAUUGGGCCCUCACCCUCUCCUUGCGCAGUCACGCCAUGAAUCGAUAAUCAGCUUCAGUAGGAAUGAACCUAAGUCCAAAUCUUGUAUCAUGAUCAAUGGUAACUAUAAACUCAUUAGGCAUAUGUUGACGUCAUUCUAACCUCAUGCUAGGUAGAAAAGACAUACCCCUCAUCAUGUUAAGAACCAUUGUACUGUUGUGUUGAUCAAAUGAAAUAGCUACAAAAUCUCUAUAGAAGUCUUCAAUCUCAAGAGUUUAUACCUCGUCGAAUGUUAACCCAAUAAAAAAUAAGUCAUCCUCACUAUGACUAAUAUGAAGCAUUGGCUCAGAAGAUGCAAACAUAUCUUUGGUAGAUUACACCAUGAUGACCUGCCCAUUAUGAAUGAAUUUCACCUUUUGAUGGAGGAAAGAAGGAAUUUGUCCAGUUAUAUGAAUCCAAGGUCGGCCUAGUAGUAGGUUAAAGGAUGUGGGAAUCCUCAAAACCUAGAAUAAAGUAGGAAAUGCAGUUGGACCAAUCAGUAAAUCAAUCACCAAGGUACCCAUAACCUCCCUCUUGGUACUAUCAUAUGCUCUAGCUGUCUGAGUAGAGGGACCAAAACCUGAAGGUGCGAAACCAAGGGCUAUAGUGGUGGCUAAGGUGUAGACGUUUAGGGCUGAGCCAUUGUUCAUCAAGACAAUGAGACUCUAUAGCUUGAAUAACCAAUUGAAAUGUAUAAAGGGCGAGUGUGGUCUGAACCCUUAGGUGGCAAAUCAUCAUCUAAAAACACAAUACAAGUGGCUUUGUCAAUUGUCAUCAUGUAAAUCAACCCGUGGUGGUAAUCUCUACCCUGAUCUGACUCAAAGCUUGAAUCAAAGCAUCUCUAUGAGUAAUGGAAGAUGGCAAUAAACUCCAAAUAGAAAUACAAGUCUGGAUGUUCUGCAACUGUCUUAAAACCUCAUCAUUCUCUUUCCUAACCUCCUCACAAGAGGCUACACCCUCAAAUAGCGUAGUUGUUAGAGGUGGAGGUUAGGCUAUCCUCCCACUAUGGAUCACAAUUUGAACAUCCCUAUCCUAAAACUUAACAUUCUUCCCACGUGCAUACAAUCUGCAUGCAUGGCCACCCCCUCUCUCUUUUUUCCUCCUUAGGUGCACAGUCCCAAAACUUAGAUCACUGUAAUUCUAAUUUUAAUAAAUACUCCAAUGAUUUUUGUAUGCUUUUGUAUUUGUUUUAAAAAUACAUGUGUCCCUCUUCUUCAUUAUUUGGCCAAAAGGAUGCAUGCUUCCCACAUGCAUACAAUUUGCACGCAUGGCCACCCUUUCUCUCUCUUGUUCUCCUUAGGUGCACAGUCCCAAAACUUAGAUCAAUGUGAUUCUAAUUUUAAUAAAUAAUCCAAUGACCUUUGCAUGCUUUUAUAUUUGUUUUAAAAAUCUUGUUUUCAAUGAAGUCACUUCACUUUUGUAAUUCCUUCUUAGAAAUUUUAGGUUACUAAAAAAAUAAUUUUAAUAAGCUUGCUGACAUACUUCCUUUCAACAUGCACCUUUCUUUUACUUUUCUUGAUUUUUAAUAAUUUUCUCGAUUUUAAUAAAUAUGAAUAAAUUCUAUUACUCGGAAAAUAAUGGAAUUCAUCCAAAUUCCUGUGAUCCUUUUCCAUGAGCAUUAGAGAAAUGAAAUUUAUAGAAUUAAUUCAUGUAGAAAUAAAUUAGGCAAUGGUGAGGCCUAACAUAGAUGAUAAUUUCAUUUGAUUAUUAAUUCUAGUUAUUGUGCUUAUCGAAUGAUGAUUGUUUAUGCCUCUCAUUAUGAGAUAUAUGCAUUGUUUUAUACUUGACGCUAUACACUAACAUUAUUUCUCAUGAAACACUCAAUUAGCUACUCAAGUAUGCCCUUUAUCCUUUCUCGUCGGUUUGAUUAUAUGUCUAUCCAUAUCUUGACCAUUUUAUAUUGUGUUUAUUGCUAAUCCAUAGAUUAACCAUCAAUUUUCAUACUUACCUUAACUUGAUUAGUAAAGACCUGAUUUUAAGGCUUAGAGGGGUGCUAUGACUUAUUGCCAUACCUUUCAAAUAGGUAACCUAAUUCCCGAACCCAAACUCAAUUUUUCCUAGACCUGUCUUUUCCUUUUAGGAGUUACGCUUAAGGUUUUCUUUAUUACUUUGUUUUUUCUUUAAAAAAAAAAAAAGUGAUAACUCUAAAAACAAUUUUCAAAAAAUUAUUUUUCACAAUAAAAAGCAAGUCUCACCAUUGAGUAAGAAAGCACGUGAAAAUGUAGGUCCACAGUAGUCAUACUUGGUUGAACCAAGUUGACCAAACCCUAAUCGAUAAGGUCCUGGAUAGUGAUUACUACUCAAAAAGUGCUAUUUUAUAGCUUGUAAUUAACUCUUUUAAAAAAUUUUGAGUAGUAUUUAUUACCUUUUAACUCAAUUGGCAUGUUAAGGACCCUUGCAAUCGUUUCUAAUCAAAUUGUAUUAAGUUUUGGUGUUUUUGAUAGCUUUUUUAUCACCAAAGCAAUCUAAGAUGAGGGAGAGUUUUAUAUAAUCCAUGGCAAAGCAAAUGGAAGCUCAUUUACAAGAAGAAUCCAAGCUUUGGAGCUUUGUAGUCCUUUGCCAAAAGCAAAUCAUGAAUGCAAGGAGGAGAAGCAAAGAGAGAAAUCUAACAUGAAGAAAUUCAAGAGGACAACAACUAUUGGACACAUUUCGAGUACUUCCUGGAGUCCAUUUUAUGCAUACUAUAUUUUUUUUUUUUAAGCUUGGGAAGUCAGUAGUCCAACGCUUCAAACAGUGUGCGAAUUGGAGCUAAAAUGAAGAAGUUAUGGUCGUUUAAAGACAACCGCGCAAAGCUGAACGAAAAUUUUGCAGCUGUGUGCCACUUGAUAAGCUAUGGCCGUUCGAAACCACCUGCAAGCACACGUGUGCCACUUCACAAGUUGAAACUCCAUCUUCGCAGCUGUGAACCACCUUGCAAAAUCACCUCCAAGCUAUGAAUCAAGUUGCAAAUCACCUUCAAGUUGUGGAAUCACCUCCAAGUUGCGAAAUCACAAAUUCAACUUGCAAAAUCAAAGUUUAAACUUGCAAAAUGGAUAAUUCAACGUGUGAAUCACCUUGCGAAAUCCACCUGUGCAAUCUCAGAUAUUUGCAACCGACUUAGUUAGAUUUUUUCUCAAGAUAUUUUGUGUAAAUUUCUAUUUUCUCCUUGUAAUCAGUCAAAGAUAUUAUUGGGAUAUUUCUUAGAAAAUAUCUUUUGUAUAUAUAUCUUUGAACCAAUGUAAAGAACCAACGAAUAUAUGAUAGAUCACAUAUGUAAUCCGACGAGAGGAGGAUCAUAGUAAGAAAUAUAUUUUACAGAGCACUUGCUCUGUUUUUCCUUCAUAUUUUUGUUUUCUCGUUAUUUUUAUUUCUAACCAAACAAACUCUGAGGAUGUUUCCUCAAAGGAUGAGUGGCUAGGAUUUUUGUCUCUUGGAGUGAAAAAGCCGAGUAAGUUUCCGAAUGCAAAAAUUGGAAGUUUUGUUGUUUCAGUUUUUAAUGAAGAGAAAGUGUGAUCCGUUAAUGGUUUUUAUAUUUUUAGUUAACUUAAAAUGCCUUGAAAUCACCUAGGCCAACACUUAGUAAGGCAAGUGGUCUCCAUCCAUUGAGAUACACUAGUUUAUCUCUUACGAGCCUUUGGGAGGUGGUUUAAAGGUAGGAUUUUCUAGAAUAGCCAACACUUGGUAAGCUUUUGGACUCCAAGGAGACAUCUAUUAGUUAUCUUUUGCGAGCUUUUGUCGGGUAAUCCAAGGUUGAAGAUCACCUUGAAUGGCCAAUACUAGGUGAGAGGUAUGAACCAUUGUAAGAUGCAUCAGUGAGAGGGAUUUAGUGUUUGAACCCAUUAAAGGGAAGCAUCUGUACCACAUCGGUUCGAGAAAUAACUAUAUGUUAAAUCCCCAAUGCGAGGAAAAGAUUCAAGUGACCGGAACUCUAUUUUUGUAUAAGGAACCUGAGCCUAGUGAUCUGAAACUCCAAGAAAUGCUUUUCUUUGUAAUUAAAAUCAGUUACUAUUUUUAGUUAGCUAAAAACCAACCUUUUCAAACAUCUUUAUGUUUUCUUUUAAAGCUAACCUUGAAAUGAAAAAUCACCAAUUCAACUUUGAAUUAAUAUCAAUUGUGGAGUGAAAACCCAUCCCAGUGAACGAUCCUAGAGCCACUAUGCUAUGCUAGCUGAGGCUAUCCUAGUACAUGGUAUAAUAGGUUAUAAAUUUUUUUGAUUACUCCCAUUUGAGGACCGAAAUCAAGGUACACCAGCUGGGCAUGAAUCAAAUGGCGCCGUUGUCGGGGAUGGUGCCACUUUAUAGUGAUAUCACCUUUCCAGAGUACUUGUGAUCUUCAUCACAAGUUUGGUGGCUUUUCUUUUCUUUUUACUAACUCUUUUUAUUUGUUUCUUUUUCUUUGUUCAUAUUUUAGUAUAUCUUUUAGUUAGCUUUUAGUUUACCUUAAUUUUUUUUUCUCCUAGAAUUGUUUUUCUUUUGUUUUCUUUGUUUUUAUUUUAGAAGUUACUAGUUGUGCAUGCUUUAUUGGAUACGAGAUAGCGGAGGAAGCCAUGGACUUCUUGAGUUAUGUGACUGAAGUUUCAAGAGGAUGGGAUGAACCAAAUGCUAGAGAUAGGGAAGAAUGAAGUCUCAGCCUAAUACCAAGGGUGAGAUGUAUAUUUUGAAUGACGACAUAGACAUGAAGGCAAAUAUUGCAGCUAUGACAAGGAGAUUGGAAGAGUUAGAAAUGAAGAAGAUGCAAGAAGUGCAAGCCAUCUCUCAGACACCAUUGCAAGCUAUGCCUUGUGCCAUUUGUCUAUCUUAUGAGCACUUGGUGGAAGAGUGUCCUACCAUUACAAUGACGAGAGAAAUGUUUGGUGAUUGCAACACCUACAUUCCAAUUAGAGGAACCAUCCAAAUUUCUCUUGGAAACCACAGCCACCUCAGUACCAGCAACCUGCUCAAGCACCUCAGCAAGCCUCGAACCUUGAACAAGCUAUGGUGAAUCUUAGCAAGGUCGUGGGAGACUUUGUUGGAGCUCAGAAAUCCAUCAAUGCUCAACUCAGUCAAAGAAUUGACAGUGUAGAGAGUUCAUUGAAUAAAAAGAUGGAUGAAAUGCAAAAUGAUCUAUCUCAGAAGAUAGAUAAUCUCCAAUAUUCAAUUUCAAGGUUUUCCAACCUCAACACAGUGCAAGAAAAAGGAAACUUUCCUUCUCAACCUUAUCAAAAUUCCAAGGGUAUCCAUGAAGUGGAGGCUCAAAAGAGAGAAUCUUCAAUGUUGAAGGAAGUUAAAGGGAUUAUCACUUUGAGGAGUGGUAAAGAGGUUGAUUUUCCCACAUCCAAGCUAGAGCAUAAGGUAGAGAGUGAAACAAAGAAAGAAAAGACGGAGGAAAUCAAAGGAAAGAAAAAUGGGAAAAGCAUAGAGAAAGAUGACUAUGAUCUUACUAUAGAUGAAAAACCACAGAGGAUAGUUAUCAAGGAAGAAAUGAUGAAGAAACACAUGCCUCCACCUUUUCCCCAAGCUUUGUAUGGUAAAAUCAUACAGAGCAAGUCUCAAGUGAGAGAUGCAAACUUCAUAUGGGAUCCAGGCAAGUUGAAUCAGGAUCAAAUUUUUUGAUAGACUUAGUCUAGCUAGUCUAUAUCUUUUUAUUUUAUUUUAUUACUUGUUUUAAUUUUGAUUUCAAUGCUUUAAUUUUACUUUGUUUUGAUUUAACAUAGGUUUUUGGAUGAUCAAAAUUAGGAGGAAUUUCAAAAGAGGUGAAGGAAGGUCUAAAGGAGCCAACAGGAACCAAAAGCAAGGAAUUCCAGAGCCCUGCGAAAUUUCGCAACCAAAAGAGCCCCCUUGCGAAAAGGGGCUUCCCCUGCGAAAUGAUUUCGCAGCCCAAGACCCCUCUCUGCGAAAUCAAGGUUUUCGCUGCGAAAAUGGUCAUCCUCUACGAAAUCAUUUUGCAGCCCAAGCCUCACCCCUUGCGAAAAUUUUCACAACUGUGAAACGCCCCUUUGGCACAUGAGUGCCAUUUCGUAGCCCCACACUCCCAUUUUCCAGCUGUGAAAUGGCCUGCGAAAUCACCUUUGAGCUUCGAAAUGGGCUGCGAAAUGGCCUGCGAAAUUGGCCCUUGGCUGCGAAAAUGGCCUUUGACUGCGAAAUCACCUUUGAGCUACGAAAUUUCCCUUUUGCUGCGAAAUCCCCUUUUGACUGCGAAAUAGCCUCCAGGCUGCGAAAUUGACUUGCGAAAUGGGAGGGGUUUGCAAAAACACCUUGCGAAGUCAAGGAAAGUUGCGAAAAUGCCAACAAAGCCCCACGACCAUGCAUAUGAAGAGGAAAGCCCCAUGCACCCUGAGAUCACACACACGAAGCCUCUCACUCCAUCUCUGACCUCCCUAAACCAUCACAGCCCAUAGCUCCAGCUGAGAGCUCCAGUUGAGGAGACUAUGGCAUCCAAGGAGACUACUAGAACAGAGGUCAAAGUCCUGAUCCAACCCACUUAGGAAGCCACCACAGAUGCAUCAGCUCCACAGGACCUUACCAUUACUUGAUCAUCUCUUUACUUUUUGUCUUUACUUAUUAUAUUAGUUUAGAUAAUUCCAUGUUUUUAUGUUUUAUAUUCUGGGAUUGGAUGUAUUACUGAUGAUACAUCAUAUAUAGACAUCAUUUUUGUUUAAACUUGGCAAUUUUCUAUUUCCUCUACUCACUAACUCGUUUGUUUUUUUGAAACAUGUGGUUUCUCGUAUACAACUCAGACUCCAUGUCACUCAGGAGGUACCACUUUCUCCACAUUUUUCAAUCGCUUUUGUCACAUUGAGGACAAUGUUCAGCUUGGUUGAGGGGAGAGUUGAGGAAGGAAGUCUUAUUAUUAAUGCUAAGUUAUUUUGAUAAUUUAGUUGCUUUUUGCUUAAUUUUUAAAAUUUUUUAAAGUUUUUAUUCUACUCUCCAUGGUUAUUAAGGAAACAUUCUCAAAAUGAAAAAGGAGAAAUUGAAUUUUUGUCUUUUUACUUGACUUAGAUUUUGUAUUAUGCUUACUAAAGUUGAUGAAUUGUUGAAACUUCUAUUGAGUUCAACCUUAGUUCUUCCACUUUAAGCUAUUCACACACUGUGCACAAUAGGUUCCGAUUAUAAGAUGAAAAACUAUUUCCCUCUUGACUUCGGAAAAUUUAGACUUGGUACCUUUGACCUCAUUUUAAUAGUGUUGGGACACCUUAUAAAAGGCCAAUGAGCCUUUGAAAAAAAGCAAGAAAAAAUGUUUUACUUGCCUUGAAACCUGAGCAAGGUCUGAGGGGUAUAUGGUGAAAAUCUUUAAAACCUGGUGCCCUAAGCCUUAAUUGGUUGGGAGCCACCGGCCUUAAUGCUCGUUACAAGGGUGAAUAGGUGAGUUUAACAUACUAUAGGUGCUUGGGUAUUAAAUUCAUUCUCAAAAGUCCGGGGUAAAAUCCGAGGAGUUAGUGGUUGAAAGAUCCUUAAAGCUUGAUGCCCUAAACCUUAAUUGGUUGGGAGUCAUCGAUUGAUGUGACUCAUGGUAGCUUAGCUUUAAAGGCGUAUCAACAAAAUUUAUACCUUAGAUACUAUUACUAAAGUAGCCAAGCUACUAUAGCAUAGUGGUUCUAGGAUCGUUCACUGGGAAGGGUUUUCGCAAACACAAGUGAUAUUCAAAUUAGGAAAAUAGGUGAUUUUCUUAUGGAUGUUAGCUUUAAAAGAAGAUGUAAAUGUUUUAGAAAGAUUUAAACUAAUCUAAGCUAACAUUAAACACUAAAAUGAAAGGGUGUAAAAACAAGUUUCUCAAAGAUAGGAUAACUAUGCUCUGACUCUUAUGCAAAUUGGAAAUCUUAGGAUAGGCUUCUCGCGUUGGGGUUGCAACUAUGGUGAUGCUUGCUUCCCGAACCGGUAUGGAUUUAGCAAAUCAAGUUUUAAUCCUUUAAAAUGGCAAAACAGAUGGUAGUGAAUUUCAUCGAUGGUUAUUCACCUUAGACUUCCUUUGAAUGGCUCGUAAGAGAUAACUAAUGGUCUAAAGCCAAAAGCUUACCAAAUAUUGGCAACUCAAAGUCAUUCCAGGUGAUAAACUCACCUUUCAAUGGCCAUUGAAAUUGGUUCUAACGGAUUAAUGAAAAACUUGGAAUUGAAAACCUCACCUUCCAAUAGCUCGUAGGAGAUAACUAAUGGAUAGAAAUCCAAAAGCUUAUCAAGUAUUGGUCGUUGGAAGUUGUCCAAAGGAAAUAAAAACCAAACUUUGCAUUAAUGACCCUUUAAUGAAAAAUGACUACCUUACCUUCCGGGUGCGAGAAAUUUCCAUGGGAUUGCAUCCAAGCCAUCACAUAACAUCCAUACUUUGAGAAACUAAAAGUUUUAGCCAAUCAUCCUUUGAGGAAAAGCCCUCAGAGGCUGUUUGGCUACUAAGAAAAUAGAAAUGGGGAAGAACAAGUGAAGAGAGAAAAAUAGAGCUUUAUAUAUUUCUAAGUGUGAAACGUAACACGCAUGUUAUAUAGUCUUUACAAAAGCAAAAGCUUGUGAUUGGUUAGUUACAAGGAUAAGAAAGGAAAUUACAUCAAAAAAUACAUAAGAAAAUAUCUAAAGUGGAGUCGGCAAAAACAGAGCAAAAUUCGCACCACGCAUGGGCUGUGCGAAUUUUGAAGGUGUUGUGGGAAUUUCGCACAACACAAGGUGUCGUGCGAAUUUCGCACAACACAAGGUGUCGUGCGAAAUUUUCGCACAAGCCUGGAGUAGUUGGCUUCCGAAGGCCAUAUCUUCCUUAUUUCAGCUCCAAAUCGUACACGGUUUGAAGCGUUGGAUUCUUGACUUCCUGAUCUUUGAAAUGGUAUAUAUAAUGUAGAAAAUGGACUUCGGAAAGUGCUCCAAAAGUGUGAAAGAAGAAUGCAGCUGCUGUCCUCUAAUUUUUUCACUUUGCUUUCCUUUUCUCCAUUGUUCUUUACUUGCAUACUUUGAACGACUUUGGAAAAGGGCUAUGGAGCUCCAAAGCUUGGUUCUUCAUGAAUUUGAGCUUCCAAAAGCUUUGCCAUAACUUGUCCAAGUAGCUCCUCCAUCAUUUGGCAUGCUUGAAUUGAUUCAUAAGCUGAUAAAAACAUGUAAACUUGCCACAAAAUGGUUAAAACCAAUUACUAAGGACCUUAAUGAAUUAAUUGGGUUAAAUGAAUAUGAUUACUACUCAAAGGUGCUUAAAACCAUUAUAAUUAGGUCUACAAAAUAGCACUUUUUGGUAGUAAUCAUCGAUGGACCCCCGUUACAUGGACAAUUUAGAAAACAAUACCUUUUGCUUUGUACUCCUACAAUGAAAAAAAGUGUGAAAUAAAUGAGGUGCAUUCUUAACCUAUUGGAGGUUCAUCAAUUUGCUAAGCUUUGAAAAAGAACUAGGUUAUGGGGAGAGAUUAGUUCAACAUACUAUAUUCAGAAGCUAAUAAAUAACACUUAGAUUUUUGUGGAAGAGUAAGGUUUGACCCUUUGGGAGUGGAAACUCUUUUAAAAGCUUAAAUUUGCAUAAUGUCUUCUCUUUAUGAAUUGUGAUUAGACAAGUUAUUUGAUAACUCUUGUUGAAGUUUGAGUUUUAUUUCUUUAAUGUUCCAUGUCAGAGUUAGAUCAUCAUGCCACUUGAAAAUUGUUUUUUGAUCAGCAUGAUGUUGUAAAUUAUAGUAUUGUUUAUUUUAUUUUUCUCUCCUUUAUUGCUAAGGGACUACCAAUAUGUCGGUUAGGGGGAGUGAUUACUACUCAAAAAGUGCUAUUUUAUAGCUUGUAAUUAACUCUUUUCAACACUUUUGAGUAGUAGUUAUUACCUUUUAACUCAAUUGGCAUGUUAAGGACCCUUGCAAUCGUUUCUAGUCAAAUUGUGUUAAGUUUUAGUGUUUUUGAUAGCUUUUUGAUCACCAAAGCAAUCUAAGAUGAGGGAGAGUUUUAUAUAAUCCAUGGCAAAGCAAAUGGAAGCUCAUUUACAAGAAGAAUCCAAGCUUUGGAGCUUUGUAGUCCUUUUCCAAAAGCAAAUCAUGAAUGCAAGGAGGAGAAGCAAAGAGAGAAAUCUAACAUGAAGAAAUUCAAGAGGAUAGCAAUUGUUGGACACAUUUUGAGUACUUCCUGGAGUCCAUUUUAUGUAUACUAUAUUUUUUUCGAAGCUUGGGAAGUCAGGAGUCCAACGCUUCAAACGGUGUGCGAAUCGGAACUGAAAUGAAGAAGUUAUGGCCGUUUGAAGACAACCGCACAAAGUUAAGCGAAAAUUUCGCAACUGCAAAAUGAAAUGCACUUGCGAAAUUUCGCAAGGUGUUUCGCAGCUGCGAAACCACCUACAAGCACACGUGUGCCACUUCGCAAGUUGAAACUCCAUCUUCACAGUUGCGAACCACCUUGUGAAAUCACCUCCAAGCUACGAAUCAAGUUGCAAAUCACCUUCAAGUUGCGGAAUCACCUCCAAGUUGCGAAAUCACAAAUUCAACUUGCGAAAUCAAAGUUCAAACUUGCAAAAUGGAUAAUUCAACGUGUGAAUCACCUUGCGAAAUCCACCUGUGCAAUCUCAGAUAUUUGCAACCGACUCAGUUAGAUUUUUUCUCAAGAUAUUUUGUGUAAAUUUCUAUUUUCUCCUUGUAAUCAGUCAAAGAUAUUAUUGGGAUAUUUCUUAGAAAAUAUCUUCGGUAUAUAUAUCUUUGAACCAAUGUAAAGAACCAACGAAUAUAUGAUAGAUCAUAUAUGUGAUCCGACGAGAGGAGGAUCAUAGUAAGAAAUAUAUUUUACAAAGCACUUGCUCUGCUUUUCCUUCAUAUUUUUGUUUUCUCGUUAUUUUUAUUUCUAGCUAAACAAACUCUGAGGAUGUUUCCUCAAAGGAUGAGUGACUAAGAUUUUUGUCUCUUGGAGUGAAGAAAGGCGGGUAAGUUUCCGAAUGCAAAAAUUGGAAGUUUUGUUGUUUCAGUUUUUAAUGAAGAGAAAGUGUGAUCCGUUAAUGGUUUUUAUCUUUUUAGUUAACUUAAAAUGCCUUGAAAUCACCUAGGCCAACACUUGGUAAGGCAAGUGGUCUCCAUCCAUUGAGAUACACUAGUUUAUCUCUUGCGAGCCUCUAGGAGGUGGUUUAAAGGUAGGAUUUUCUAGAAUAGCCAACACCUGGUAAGCUUUUAGACUCCAAUGAGACAUCCAUUAGUUAUCUUUUGCGAGCUUUUGAUGGGUAAUCCAAGGUUGAAGAUCACCUUGAAUGGCCAAUACUAGGUGAGAGGUAUGAACCAUUACAAGAUGCAUCAGUGAGAGGGAUUUAGUGUUUGAACCCAUUAAGGGGAAGCAUCUGUACCACACCAGUUCGGGAAAUAACUAUAUGUUAAAUCCCCAAUGCGAGGAAAAGAUUCAAGUGACUGGAACUCUAUUUUUGUAUAAGGAACCUGAGCCUAGUGAUCUAAAACUCCAAGAAACGCUUUUCUUUGUAAUUAAAAUCAAUUACUAUUUUUAGUUAGCUAAAAACCAACCUUUUCAAACAUUUUUAUGUUUUCUUUUAAAGCUAACCUUAAAAUGAAAAAGCACCAAUUCAACUUUGAAUGAAUGUCAAUUGUGGAGUGAAAACCCAUCCCAGUGAACGAUCCUAGAGCCACUAUGCUAUGCUAGCUGAGGCUAUCCUAAUACAUGGUGUAAUAGGUUAUAAAUUUUAUUGAUUACUCCCGUCUGAGGACCGAAAUCAAGGUACACCAAUUGGACACGAAUCAGAUAGCAUGCCAAAGAGUAGUACAAUGGUUUGUAUCAUUUCAUAAGCCCUAAUUUAUACAAUUGAAUAAAUAGAAACCUAUAUUUAAAAAAUUGAAACAAAAAAGAAAAAAAUAAAUGAAAAUAAAUAAAUGAAAAAAAAAUGAGAAGGAUGUAACCCAAACAUAGCAAAACAAUCUCGAGCAAAAGCUUAAAUACAAUAAACUAACUUCAAAACUGUUUUGCUAAAUCUAAGAAAAAUAUUAAAGGAAAAAAAUAUAGAGAUAGCUUCCUUAGAGGCUUGUCACCCAUACUUAUCCUAACAAAGCAAUCAAAGAGUAAUCACUAAAUUGAGAUAGUUGUAGAGUUGACUUCCUCUUUUGCAUUGUCUCCCAUCACCUCAAUCAAUCAUUCAAUUUAAAGCCCAAAUAAAAUGAAUAAACAAAUUGGAAAAAAAAAAUACAGGAUCAAAUCUUCAAUUUAACACUACAAAUAUCAAAAAAGGUUUUACCUAUACUUGACUGAAGAAAAUAAAGAAUAGAUGGGUGGCUAUGAAUAGUGGUUGCGGUAGCUCGUGGGUAUAGUGGAAUGUGGACCGGCAUCGAAGAUGAAGAGGAUGGAAUUGUGGCAAUGGAUGGAGAUGGCAGCAAUAGCGUGUGGGUAUCUACAAAGAUCAAAAAAUGUUUUACCUAUGCUUGAUUGAAGAAAAUAAAGAAUAGAUGGGUGGCUAUGAAUAGUGGUUGCGACAUCUCGUGGGUAUAGUUGAAUGUGGACUGUCAUCGGAGAUGAAGACGAUGGAAUUGUGGCAAUGGAUGGAGAUGGCAACAAUAGCAUGUGGUUAUCUACAAAGGUCAAAGAAGGUUUUACCUAUACUUGAUUAAAGAAAAUAAAGAAUAGAUGGGUGGCUAUGAAUAAUGGUUGCGACAUCUCGUGGGUAUAGAAUUUAUUUUUCAUUCUUCUUUAGCAUCAUAUUUGUUUAUUUUCAAUAUCAAUUUCACAAAUUCUUUUGCUUUUGCAUAAUAAUUCCCUCUUGGCCAUAUCAUUCCUUAUUAGUUCUCCUCAUUUCUUUUCCAAUUUUGGUUACCAUCUUUAUUCUCUACUCCAUUUAUAAACUUCUCUACAUUUUGCUCUUUUCAUAUACAGCUUCCAUCUGUAUCAUCAGCCAUAUGUCUCUAUUUCUUCUGCCUCUAAUCCAUAUCAACCCCUUCAUUUUUUGGUCCAAGACAUGGCAGUUGCUCACACCAUUUUGACAUUAAUUCUAUCUGCGAGGAGAGUAUAUAUACCUCCAUGUAUCUAAGGAUAGUAAAAAUUCCCAAACAAUAUUACCUAAUCACGUUAAUAAUUAUACUUAUAUAAAAAGUUUUAAUUCAAAAAAUUGAGAAGAAAUUGGAUUAAAGUAGUCUUAUUUCAUGCAUAAAGGCUUUAGUUCUAUCAAUUAUUACCUAAAUUAUUUUAAAUUACAAUUUUAUUUUUCUCUAUCUAGGAAUAAUUAUGGCUAAGAGUAUGCCCAUUUAAAGUUUAGAAUUUAAUUUUAGAGUUAACAUCGUUUGCUUCUAUAAAUAUCUAAUAAGUAUGAAUCUUAUUGUAGCUAUACUAUAUGUUCAUAAUGAUGAAGAAAUCAUCAUCAUACACUCGUGGUUAUAAAAAAUCUUUCACCAUGAGUUAAAGUAGAGGAAAAAUUGUGUAGUUAUACAUUCUAUCCAAAAGUAUAAUUGUUUUUUUCUAAGAUAUUUGAAUAUAUAUACAUUAACUAGGGCCAUGCACAUCCUUACGAAGGAGUCCACCAUGUGACUAAAAGUAAUAAUUAAUCAGUCCAAAGGCUUCAAACAUAAUGAAGAAGACUUGUUUGAGGUUUGCCUUUAUUACUUUUUCAUUUUCCCAGCGUCAUCACUGACGUUUGGACAUUACUUUUAUUUUCCAAACGUCAUCGAUGAUGUUUGGACAUUGGAUAGAAAGGGAAUUCUUGACCAAUAUUUCUACUUUGGUUGGAUGUAUUUUGAACAACUUGUAUUAUGUAAAUUUUACAGCCUAAAUGCAUACAUAAAGGAGCUCAGCUGCUAUUUCAUUUGCAGAUAUCAAAACAUUAUGGCAGAAGAAGUGAAACUUUUCAGAACAUGGUCCAGUCCUUUUGCCCUGAGGAUUGUUUGGGCUCUCAAAAUCAAAGGCGUAGAGUAUGAAACCAUAUUUGAAGAUCUCUCCGACAAGAGCCCUUCACUUCUCCAGUAUAAUCCUGCCCACAAAAAGAUUCCAGUUCUUGUACACAGUGGAAAACCCAUCGCUGAAUCGUAUGUCAUUCUUGAAUACAUUGAUGAGACAUGGAAGGAAACUCCCUUGUUGCCUGAAGACCCUUACGAGAGAGCCAUGGCCCGCUUCUGGGCCAAAUUUGGUGACGAUAAGGUU